UUAGCAUAUGUUCUGUAUUUGUAUAAUUUCGAUGAUGAUCAUGAGAUUGUUGGGAUAAUGGAGGCAUAUUAUUAUUGGGUAUUAGUCCGUGACUCCUACAUCUCGGAGUAGGAGGUCUUUGUGGUAUGACUAUACCAAGAUUCAGGGCCUUGCCUGAUGUUUUUGAAGCUUGACCGUGAGCAUAGAGUGGAAUCAAUGUUUUUUGUGAGACUUCAGCUUUGCAAACAGGGCAAUUUGGCUGUUGAUUAUCGAUGUUCUUUGAUGAAAUGGUCUUAAAAUGUAUCCAUUUGUAGAUGCAAGGCCAACAAUAGAGGUGACCACAUAAUGUAACAACAGGAUCAUGUACAACAUCCAGGCAAAUGUUGCACUCGAAACCUUCAGGUGAGUUUUCUUCAAGUUUAUCAAGAUCAAUUGUGUUCCAUUUUUCAAAGGAAAUAUCGCGUUGAUCAAAGGUAGUUUCUGGUAUUUGGUCUUGAAAAAUUUGUUGUAAGGCCAUAUUUGCCUCUUGGUAUUGAUUUAUUUUGAUAAUGGCAAGAUGAAGAAUGGUUAGAAUUCAGGUUUUUAAUACAAUUAGAAGUGAGUAUUUAUAAGGACAAGAAUAGUAGUUUGCAAACAAUGAUUCUUAAGGUUGUCACUUGUCAACAUCACAUUAUGUUAAAGGGGCAUGGCUAAAAAGAAAAGGCCCUACACAUUACUCCCUCCGUCCCUAUUUACUUGUCCAUAUUUCCUUUUUUGGUUGUCCCUAUUUAGUUGUCCAUUUUGACAAAUCAAGAAAGGACAACAAAUUUUUUCCUAUUAUACCCUUAUUUACACUUCUUGAAAAUUGUAAAAGUGUAUGUUGUUUCCCUCCAAUUUAUUUCACUUGAAUUCAAAUAAGUGGUUGUAAUUUUGAAGUGAAAAGUUGUCAGGGUAAAAUUGUAACUUCACUGUGCUAAUCAUUGUUGCCUUAAUCUGUGUGUCAUUUCUAAAGUGGACAACUAAAAAGGGACGGAGGGAGUAUUAAACAACACUAUAUCAUAUUAGUCAACUCAGUCUUAAUUUAUGCGGUACUGUUCGAUUUGAUAUAACGUUUAAUAAAGAAAAGAAGAUUUUUAAAAUAUGUGGUGUAAAAUAAAUAUUUAAUUAUUUGUGGUUAUAAAUCAUGUCAUUAAGAAUAAUAAAUGAAUUUAAAGUUUUUUCAAUCAUCAAAAUGUGAUAUUCUUUUUGUAUCAGACUGAAACAAAUGUGUUACAUAAAUUGGGACAAAUGAACUAUCACACACAUCAUAAUUAAGUGAUUUAAUGAAGUUGAAAAAUUAAUAUUAAUGGAUCAUGGUUAAGUGAGAGGAGUUUUGUGCAAACACAUCUUUUAUCUAUCUAUUUGAUUUAAACAAGUAUAAGUUUAUCAUAUUAGAAAUAUGAUUAGGACGUUAUAUUAGGCCCCAUGAUAAGAAUCUUAAUCUAGAAAAUAACUUUUAGUCAAUAAAAAGUAGCACUAGUUGCGUAAGUUCAAUUAUUAUUAUUAUUAUAUAUUAAUCUAAAAUUAUUAUAGAAGCUUCUAAACUCUAAAUUCAGAUCCAACUACGGAGUGAAUAUACAUAGUGGGGGAUGGGAGAAAGCAUAUGGACGGUGUGACAAAAAAAUAAAAGAAAUACUCCGUCCAUUCCAUUUGACUUACUAUUGUUUGACUUAAUACGAUGUAUAAGAGGAAAAAUGUAUCUUAGAAAAUUAUACGCUAAACAAUUUUUAUAUAAAUUGUAAAUCAUUUCAUUAAUUAAGGGUAGAUGGAGAAUUUUAAGUUAAAUUAUUUUCAAUUACAAUAAAAUGACAUUUUUAAAGACGGACUAUGAGAAUAGAGUGCCACGUAAAAUAAAACGAGAAAAUACUAUUUCCUUCGUCCCAUUUUAUAUGUCACCUUUUUUACUUUGCACUUGCAUUAAGAAAUAAUGUAACUUUAUCCUUCUACCCUUAUUUAAUGUUUUCUUAAGUCAACUUUAUGAAUAAAUGACAAGAUUAAUUAACUAUUCUAUCAAGGGUAUAAUAGACAAAAUAUGAUAAUUUAUGCAUAAAUUUUAAAUAGUGGCAAGUAUUGUGGUCCAUCUAUUUAUAGAAAGGAAUGACAUAUAAAAUGGGACGAAGUUGGUACUAUAUAUUACUCCCUCCGCUCCAUUUUAUAUGUCAUUCCUUUCUAUAAAUAGUUGGACCACAAUACUUGUCACUUUAUAAAAUUUAUGCAUAAAUUACCAUAUUUUUUCCUAUUAUACCCUUGAUAAAGUAGUUAAUUAAUCUUGAAAAUGUAUUCAUCAUUUAUUAUAAAGUUGACUUAAUAAAACAUUAAAUAAGAGUAAAAGAGUAAAAUUACAUUAUUUUUUAAUGCAAAUGUAAAGUAAAAAUGUGACGUAUAAAAUAGGACGGUGGGAGUACUACAAAAGAACGAGUCCGCACAUGAAUUUUAUAAGUACUACAUGUGUCUCGAAUUUAGCACCCUUUUGUCAACGUUUUAUAUUUUUGUUUACUUCGAAGCAAGUCUAUUCUAUACUAUCCAAUCAAUUAGGGGCGGCCGUUAAUCAGAUAUUAUUAGGCUAAAGAUAACAUAUUACUCUCUCUCUUUCUAAUUAUUUGUCUAUUUUUUUAAAUUGUUUUUAAUUACUUGUCCAUUUUGAUGAAUCAAGCAAGGACAAAUUUUUUUUACCUAUUAUACCCUCAAUUUAUUAUUUUGAAAAAGUAGAACUUCUUGAAAAUCUUAAGUUUUUAAUUUAUCCACUUCAUAAUUAAUAGGGGUAAAAUGGUAAACUCAUUAUGUCAAUAAUUGUUUUCUUAAUAUGUGUGUCAAUUAAAAAAUGGACAAAUAAUUAGGGAUAUAAAAAGUAUAUCGAAAUAAUAUAAUCAAAUAUUAUGCUAAAGAUAAUAAACAAAACUUUGAAGAAUUAUAAAUAAGAUAGCAAAAAAAUCCAUUAGAUAAUACAUAGUAAAUUAACAUGGUUCAACGAUUAGUGAUGGAAUCUGAAUAUGAUUCAAGAUUUUCACUAUUAAUGAAAUUCAAUAGGCAUAAUACAUAAAUGUGCUCUUUAACUUGACUUCAUUUUAUGUUUAUGUCCUUCAAUUUUGAGUAUGCACAAGUAUGCACUUAAACUUGUAUAAAAUUGAACAACUAGCCACAUGAGUUCUACAUGACACAAUACACUUAAGACACCAUGUAGGAUAAAAAAUGACAUGUAGGAUACCAUGUAGGACCUGUGUGUCUAUUUUUUCAACUUUAUACAAAUUUAAAUGUCUACUUGUGCACACUCGAAGUUGAAGGGCAUAAAUGUGAUUUGAAGCCAAGUUAAAGGGUAUAUUUAUGUAUUAUGCCUAUUCAAAAUAUGAAUAAGUAAACAUACAAAUUAGAUGACUACAAUAAUACAAAGACAAUUUUUUUUUUAAUUAUAUGUAUAAAUAGUAUAAUUUUCCAUUGAAGGUGGUUCAUUUGAUUCCUCACUUCUUUCCCUCAUUCAAAACUAUGCAAUAUGAGACUUUCAUGUCACAUGGAAUCCUUCCCUUUUUUUUUUUGGAAAUCUUAAUAGCUCAGUUAGUUGACUGACUAUUUGAAUUCUCGAUUCCCCAUACUGUAAUCCUCUACUCCCAAUUUUUUUUCAUUACCUUCCUCACAUAUGUAUAAUACCGAAUCCAAAGAUCUAAGAUGAGAGAAUUUUGGGAUAGCCGCCACUCCAACUAGCGCCAUGUAUUAUCCAUACUAGAUCUGACCAACUGUCCAUCCUACCCUCCUCUACGUUCUUGACAACCCAUUUUUGUCUUAGUCAAGUCUUUUAGUGGCACAUUUUGACCUUCUUUUCCAUUACUUAGAAAAAGUGAGCUAUUAUUCAGAUACAAAAUACUAUCAUUAUCGCCUAGAAAAUUAGACAUUCAACCCGUAAUCACAAUGAUCCAAUUACAAAUGCUUUGAACCCCCUAGGUCUAGACUGGCUCUGGCCCCUGGUUUUAUCACUUGACCUUCACAUGAGUAAACUCGUUGAUAUAGAGGAUUACAGUAUCGAUUUCUUUAAAAGAAAAAAAACCUUAAUUUAUAAAAGUUCAAAAGAUUUUAAUUCAAUGUUUGUAAGUCAGAAAACAUAUUUCAUAAAACGGUUGCAAAUCACAUCGAAUAAGUUCCAUUGAUUGGUGUAUGGUUCUCAUAAGGGAAGUAACAGCAGCAUAAGCCAUAUAUCCAAAAAAAGGGACUAUCUCUCACUCUCAGUAUGAAAAUGGACAAAUUAAUUGCCACAAGUUAUGUAAUUUUUCAGUUUUUAAGAAAACAGAAAAUGCAAAGAUCUUACUUUUACUAACUAUUUCCAUCACAUUUCCAGCUAGGUCCACUAACAGGAUAAAGUUGAAAGAUGUGAGGUCACUAACCUUAACUUCAAACAAAAGGUCUUUCUUUUAGUUAGGUUCAUAAUCCAUGUAGUGCUGUCUACUCUCUAGUCUCUAUCAACCAGCUCAAGUUUAAGGGUGUGUUUGGUAUGGAGGCCUAGUUUUUCUCAACUGUUCCAGUGUGAAUGUUUUAGUAAUAAAGCUGGUGCCACUGGAUUUAGCCUUUGCGAGGUAGAUUGAGGACUCCCAAGAAAGGAAACACACGUUAUAUAUGGAGCCUGUUCUGGCCUAUACAGUCUGUAUGUACAUAAAAUUUGGAGUAUCUAAAGAACCACUGACAAAUGAAAACGAACAAAAACAAACACUCACACAUUUGGCUUCUGAUUUGACAUUUAUUUCAGAGAACUGGCUAGUCCUCAGAAUACCUUAACUAUUUGAAUUGAUAAAAUCUUACCUAAAAUAAUAAUUGAAAAAAGUAUUUGAAAAAAUUAUUUAUAUAAAAGAUAUUUAGUAGUAAUUUACAUCUAAAAAUUUAGAAAAAUAAAUAAAUACAAAGAAAGUUUAUUUAGAUUUUAGGUCUUUAAUUAAAAUUUUGCUUUAGGCCUUGAAUCAUGUUGAGCCGCCCCUGAUCAUAUUACUCACUCAGUCAAAAUUUAUGUGGUACUAUUUGAUUUGAUGUAACAUUUAAUAAGGAAAUGGAGACUUUUAAAAUAUGUGGUGUAAAACAAAUCUUUAAUCAUUUGUGUUACAUAAAUUGGGACAGAUGAACUAUCACACACAUCAUAAUUAAGUGAUUUAAUGAAGUCGAAAGAUAAAUAUUAAUGGAUCAUGGUUAAGUGAGAGGAGUUUUGUGCAAACACGUCUUUUAUCUAUCUAUUUGAUUUAAACAAGUAUAAGUUUAUCAUAUUAGAAAUAUGAUUUAGGACCUUAUAUUAGGCCCCAUGAUAAGAAUCUUAAUCUAGAAAAUAACUUUUAGUCAAUAAAAAGUAGCACUAGUUGCGUACAAGGAGCUACCACUUGAUGAACUUCCACAGAACCACAUCCCAUAAGUUCAAUAGUUUUCACACUAUAAGAACUAGAUGUUUUUUUCCGCGUGAAUCAAUGAAAAUUGUAUGUUAUAAAACAUGAUUUUUUCCAUUUUAAUUUUAUUAAACUAAUUCACUAAGAAAAUCCAUAACAAAACAUAAGUUCUCAUUGAAAUACUGGAAAUAGUCACUUGGAAAUUUAGGAGUUUUAGGAAAUUAUGCAUCAAAACUUAGGAAGAGGCGGCUCAUAUAGAAAUUUGUUGUUAAAUCAUAAUAUAUACUUUUACAUAUGAAUAUCUUUAUUGAUUUGGUUAAAAUUAUAAUUAAAAAAAUUACAAUACAAUAUAUAUAGAUUCACAUAAAUUUAAUACUGUAAGUUAAUUAUUAUUAUUAUUAUAUAUUAAUCUAAGUUCAAUACAAUAUAUAUAGAUUCACAUAAAUAGAACUUUUUGAAAAUCUUGAGUUUUUAAAUCAUCAACUUCAUAAUUAAUAUGGGUAAAAUGGUAAACUCACUAUUUCAAUAAUUAUUUUCUUAAUAGGUGUGUCAAUUCAAAAAUGGACAAGUAAUUAGGGAUAGAAAAAGUAUAUCGAAAUAAUAUAAUCAAAUAUUAUGCUAAAGAUAAUAAACAAAACUUUGAACAAUUAAUGUAUGUAUGUACAUAAAAUUUGGAGCAUCUAAAGAACCACUGACAAAUAGCUAUACGAAAGAUCAUAUACAAUUAAAUUACAAGCCAUUUGCAAUCAUCCUGCCACCUUAUGCAGAAAAAAUGAAAACGAACAAAACAAACACUCACACAUUUGGCUUCUGAUUUGACAUUUAUUUCAGAGAACUGGCUAGUCCUCAGAACACCUUAACUACUCGCUGCAAGAAAAAAAAGGCAACAAAAAAUAGGAAAAAUAAUAUAGUUAGAUGUCCAUAAUUAAGGAACAGGAGAACAUUAUAGACAAGAAUGAGCAUGCAGGUAUAAGAACUUACACAUUAUUGCGGCAAGAAGCAACUUCUUUCUCAAAGUCAACAUCAUCAUCUUCAUAUGUUGUCACACUCUUGGGAAUGCUAGCCACAAAAGAUGAAAAAUGAAAUGUUACACUUCCCAAAAUCAAGAAUGAACAUGCAAGUAUAACAACUUACACAAUAUUGGAAGGAUUCGAAUCAAUCACAAUGACAGCAUCAAGAACUUUGUUGAAUUGGUGCAAUUUGACUUACUAAAGCUAUUAUCCAGAUCAUUAUCGAGUUUACUAUGAUGAUGAGUUGUCAAAAUCACAACAGUGAAACCUUGUUGAAAUCACUCAACAUCAAAGGGAGCUUUGGAUACAAGCAGUUAUCAUCAGUGAUGAAGAAGAAAAGAACUGUUCAUGUAAAAUGCAAAGCUUCGCUUUGGAUGUAUUGAUCUAAUGAGUAUUUAUACAAGAAAUGUAAAACUAAUGCUCUGUAACAAACUAACUGAAAGGAAUCUUCUAACUAACUACCAGCUGUACUAUACAACACUAUUAACUACCAGCUGUACUAUACAACACUAUUAACUACCAGCUGUACUAUACAACACUAUUAACUACCAGCUGUACUAUACAACACUAUUAACUACCAGCUGUACUAUACAACACUAUUAACUACCAGCUGUACUAUACAACACUAUUAACUACCAGCUGUACUAUACAACACUAUUAACUACCAGCUGUACUAUACAACACUAUUAACUACCAGCUGUACUAUACAACACUAUUAACUACCAGCUGUACUAUACAACACUAUUAACUACCAGCUGUACUAUACAACACUAUUAACUACCAGCUGUACUAUACAACACUAUUAACUACCAGCUGUACUAUACAACACUAUUAACUACCAGCUGUACUAUACAACACUAUUAACUACCAGCUGUACUAUACAACACUAUUAACUACCAGCUGUACUAUACAACACUAUUAACUACCAGCUGUACUAUACAACACUAUUAACUACCAGCUGUACUAUACAACACUAUUAACUACCAGCUGUACUAUACAACACUAUUAACUACCAGCUGUACUAUACAACACUAUUAACUACCAGCUGUACUAUACAACACUAUUAACUACCAGCUGUACUAUACAACACUAUUAACUACCAGCUGUACUAUACAACACUAUUAACUACCAGCUGUACUAUACAACACUAUUAACUACCAGCUGUACUAUACAACACUAUUAACUACCAGCUGUACUAUACAACACUAUUAACUACCAGCUGUACUAUACAACACUAUUAACUACCAGCUGUACUAUACAACACUAUUAACUACCAGCUGUACUAUACAACACUAUUAACUACCAGCUGUACUAUACAACACUAUUAACUACCAGCUGUACUAUACAGGUUUUCAGUGUUCUAGUAGAUCUUCUAGGUUGAACAGAUACAUCAAUGAGAGGGGCAACAUGAUCUGGAGCAGUAGGUGGUUCAAGUAUACGAGAAACUGUGGAUGGUAAAGGGGAAUGAAUUAUAGGUUCAGAUGGCAAAUUGCAUGUGACAGGUGAUUCUCCUAGAUUAGUUUGAGAAAUGCAAGUGGUAGGACUGUCAGUAUGAUCAAAAAUGUCAACAAAAGGAACAGAAGGCAACACAGAGGAAGGAAUGGAAGGAGUUGAAUUUGUAUGAAAAGGAAAAAUGUGUUCAUAGAAAACAACAUCCCUAGAUACAUGUAUCCUCUUUGUGGACAGGUUAAGGACCUUAUACCCUUUAGUCUCAAAAGGAUAUCCAAUGAAAAUAUGAGGUGUAGUCCUAGGUUCAAAUUUUGUUCUAUGGGGUAUUGGAACAGUAGGGUAACAUAAGCACCCAAAGCUUCUCAUAUGAGAAUAAAAAGGCUUUUUGUUAUAUAAUGCUUCAUAAGGGGACUUAUUUUUCAACACAGUUGAGGGAAGUCUAUUGAUUAUGUAUGUGGCACACAAAAGACAGUCUCCCCAAUACUUUAUAGGGAGUUUAGAUUGGAAUAAAAGUGCUCUAGCAGUUUCAAGAAGGUGUUUGUGUUUUCUUUCCACCACACCAUUUUGUUGUGGUGUGUAUGGACAUGUUUUCUGGUGGAGGAUACCUUUGGUUUGAAAGAAAAGAGUUGUUUCUGAAUUGACAAACUCUAAGCCAUUGUCUGUUCUGACUGUCUUCACAGUGGUGUUAAACUGAUUUUCUAUCAUGGCAACAAAAACUUUUAAUGCUUGUAGAGCAUUGCUCUUGGAGCUUAACAAUGUGGUCCAUGUAGAUCUACUGAAAUCAUCUACUAUUGUUAUAAAGUACUUAAAAUGGUCAUGUGUAGGUGUAUGGUAUGGACCCCAUAAAUCUACAUGUAACAACUCAAAAAUGAAAGAAGUUAAAAAGGUUCUUGUUUUGAAAGGGAGUCUUUCUUGUCUUGCCAUAGGACACACUGAACACAUAAAAGGUUGUUGUGGUGAAAAACUAGCAGGGAUAGUGGAAAUGCAUUUCAUUUUGACAAAAGGAACAUGUCCCAAUCUAUUGUGCCACAGAACAUUUACAUCAUUUUUAGCAUGUGCAUGAUGAUCUGAAACUGUAUUAUGCAAAUGAGAAGGAGAAGCUGAAAAAGAAGGAACAUGAGACUUGGCAACAAAAUCUUUAUUUCUCAAAGUCCCUUUUUCAGGGUAAUGUGUACAUUUAUGAUUUUUCAAACAAGAAGUAUCAGCUGCAACAUGAGGUUUACAAGAAUUGCACAAAUUUAAAUUGCUAGAUGAGGUUGAGUCUUUCAGAAACAAUGAACUAGAUGGGUUGGAACUCUGGACACACUUGGGACAUAGAAAAUAUAGGCCAUCUUCUGCCCUACCAAUCACCAGAGGCCUCUUCAUUGAAGGGCCCUGCAUGUAACAAGAAACUUUGUUGAAACUGACAGUGCAAUUUGAAUGUGAAGUCAUGGUAUGAAUAGAGAUUAAGUUGUAUUUGAAAGAUGGAAUGAAGAAAACCUUUUUCAAACUAAUCAUGGGAGACAAUGUCACACUACCAAUUUGUGUUACCUUAACCUUAUAUCCAUUUGGCAAUACUACUAAUAUUGGAUAUGGGAGUGUGAUAAUAUUGUGCAGUAAGGAUAUGUUGAAAGUCAUGUGGUUUGAUGCUCCAGAAUCUAGUAUCCAUGAGUCAGACUUAUUUUUGAAACAUUCACAUGAUAGUUUCCCAAAAUCAAUAGAGGAGGUGCAAACUAUAGUACCUGCAAAGUCAACAGUGCCACCAGUGAAAUUUGAGUUGCCAUCAUCACCAUGCUCUCCCUGAAAAUGUUGAAGCAUGUCCUGUACUCGACCAUAUUGAUCUUUGGUAAGAUUCACACUGUACAUCUCCUCAUGAUUAGAGUUAUCUGCAGAUCUCUUCCCAUUCUCGGAAUCUUGUGCACAAUGGACAUUUGCGACUGCCCUAUGUCCAUUACCUUUGAAUCUAAUGCCCUGUGGAUUAUGUCCUCCUCGAACAUUGUUAAAUCUCUGAUUUGAGCCUUGGUAGUCAUUGUUUCUCUGAUUUGGAACUGGUUUGUUGGAAUUUGGAUUAGAAGAUUGGCGGUUGAAGGUUUGGUUUGAAUUGGAUGGAUAACCAUGAAGCCGAUAACACUUCUCAACAAGAUGACCAGUUCUCUUGCAAUAGUCACAGAAUUUGUCUUUGUACUGCAGAGAGGGUUUGGAAGUAUUUGUGGUAUAAUUUGUUCUGUAAUUGGAGGAUCUGCUGGUACCAACAUGUAACGCAGCAGACUCCAAGUUUGGGUGAUUGGCUGGCUUAAUUUCCCUCUGUUGUUCCUCCUGAACCAACAAGGAAAAAGCUUGCGCCAUAGAUGGCAAAGGAUUCAUCAUGAGUAUGCUACCUCGCAUUAUUGUAUAAACUUCAUUAAGUCCCAUAAGGAACUGAAUCAAACGACGAUCCUGCUCCACCUUGUGAACAAUUGCCUUGGCUCCACAAGUGCAAUCACAGGUGCAAUUAGCUUUGGCACUCAAAGUACUAAGCUCUUCCCACAACUUCUUCAAUUUGGUAUAAUAUCCAGUUAUAUCCAGUGAUCCUUGAGACGUAUCAUUGAUCUCUUUUUGGAUUUGAUACAGCUUCGCUCCAUUAGUUUGUUCAUACCUGUCCUCCAAUUCUUUCCAUAGCUCUGUUGAAUCCACAACAUACUCAACACUAUCAGCGAUUUCCUUCGAUAAGGAGUUAAGAAUCCAUGAUGUGACAAUGUCAUCACACCUUUCCCAUUGCCUGUAGGUUGGAUCAAUGCUUUUGGGUCGCCGACAUUCUCCAUUGAUGAAACCCAAUUUGUUCUUCACUGACAGUGAUCGUAGAACACUCCUCCUCCAUGAUCGAUAACCAAUCCCGGCAAACGGUACUGACACCAACAUAGCACCCGGAUUAUCAGAUGGGUGCAUAUAUAAGGGAUGGUUGGAAUCAAUUGAGGGAACGACUGAAUCACUUGACUGAGCAGAAUCACCUGGAAUGGCCAUUUCUCAGCAAGAAAAAAAAUCGAAGAACACCACAGAAGAAAACAGAGAAAAUUUGAUCUGAAAACGAAUACAAAUCGAACACCUCAGAAUCGAGUGUGCUCUGAUACCAUGUCAAAAUCACAACAGUGAAACCUUGUUGAAAUCACUCAACAUCAAAGGGAGCUUUGGAUACAAGCAGUUAUCAUCAGUGAUGAAGAAGAAAAGAACUGUUCAUGUAAAAUGCAAAGCUUAGCUUUGGAUGUAUUGAUCUAAUGAGUAUUUAUACAAGAAAUGUAAAACUAAUGCUCUGUAACAAACUAACUGAAAGGAAUCUUCUAACUAACUACCAGCUGUACUAUACAACACUAUUAACUACCAGCUGUACUAUACAACACUAUUAACUACCAGCUGUACUAUACAACACUAUUAACUACCAGCUGUACUAUACAACACUAUUAACUACCAGCUGUACUAUACAACACUAUUAACUACCAGCUGUACUAUACAACACUAUUAACUACCAGCUGUACUAUACAACACUAUUAACUACCAGCUGUACUAUACAACACUAUUAACUACCAGCUGUACUAUACAACACUAUUAACUACCAGCUGUACUAUACAACACUAUUAACUACCAGCUGUACUAUACAACACUAUUAACUACCAGCUGUACUAUACAACACUAUUAACUACCAGCUGUACUAUACAACACUAUUAACUACCAGCUGUACUAUACAACACUAUUAACUACCAGCUGUACUAUACAACACUAUUAACUACCAGCUGUACUAUACAACACUAUUAACUACCAGCUGUACUAUACAACACUAUUAACUACCAGCUGUACUAUACAACACUAUUAACUACCAGCUGUACUAUACAACACUAUUAACUACCAGCUGUACUAUACAACACUAUUAACUACCAGCUGUACUAUACAACACUAUUAACUACCAGCUGUACUAUACAUAUAUAUACAUACAUCAUACAUUAUAAUCUCAACAAAUAUUAUUGUAAUUUGUAAAUCAAGGAAGAAGAUGUCUUACAAAAGCUCACGAGUAUGGACCUCGAUAGAGCUUCCAUAGUUGUCUUGAAUGUCCUGUUGAAUUUGCUUGGCGGAAUUCCCAACAGAUUGUUGACAUUUACUUAUAUCAAUAAGAGCAAGUGUGGUUAUAUCUGCAAAAUCUCGAGGGAUUGAAUCCAAAGAAUAGCAAUCUUUAAGAAAAAGUCGUUCAAGGUACGGAAAGUGAUCACUACUAGCUCUCCAGUACUGAAUGUAUACGUCAUCCAGAGACAAGAACUUCAAGUGAGGAAACCCUUCCUCAACUACUUCCCACUCCUUGCCUUUGAAGGCAUUGCCUGAUAGUUUAAGGACCUCGAGUUUGGGUAAUUUACCAACAAUGCUCAAAUCCCUCCAUGCCAAAGAGAAUUCUCCCCUAAAAGUUAAACUCUUAAGGUUUUGUGGAAAAGCAUCCGGAGGAGGUAAGAGUAAAGUUGGAACAUCAGUUGGAGGUGCAGUUCCCCCAAAAUCAGUCUCUUUGUGCAAUGUUUCCGUCUGAAACCUCAGAGGAUCUUGCGGAGUAUAACCUGAAGGUGCAGUGUUUUUUAGAAAGCAAGCAUCAUAUGGAUGAUAAAAACCAAAUGCCAAUUUCUCGAGCUGAUACAAGUAGCGAAAAUCAUACAGGUCCUUGUGAUUGCGAAAGUCCUCUCGGACGCCAAAUACUUCCAACUUCUUUAAAUUGGGAAAUAGUCUAAAAAAAGACUCUGUACAAUACCGAGGAUUCAAUUGAUUGAGGCAUUGCAAACUUUUCAAAACCAAUCUGUUCUCUGUAGGCUCAUGACUCCGCAAGUAAUUCCAGCCAAUACACAGCGUCCUCAAUUGUGGCAUCGUCAAAAUUUCCGAUGGUAAUAUGAAAGGAUAACCUACUUUACAGGUAAAUGGAGAGUAAAGUUUAAAAGUUUGCAGAUAGCAUAGGCUUGAUAUCGAUAGAGGAAUGUCUAUUAUUGAUGAGGGAACAGCUUCUUUCGAUCUUAGAUACUGCAGUACGCAAGGAUAAAAACACAAACAUAGGUAUCUCAAAUGAAUUAGAGAAAGUACUCCACUGGGAAAGAUUGGGCAUAUAGUCAAACCAAGAUCUAGUACUCUUACUAGCUUGAAAGACAAUUCCAGUGUGACGCAUUUGAAUAAACGCAACAUGAUAAUAGAAUGAGCCUCACUGUUAUGACACCAAGCCAAUUCUUCCUCCUUAUAGAUACUGAUCCGACUUCGACUCUUAAAGGAACACUGCAUGGAUUGUGCACAUGAAUUUUGAUCACUCUUUCCUCUGAUAACAUUCACAAAAUUCAUGUUUCGAGCUUCCUUCAAACAGAGUUCACGGGUCACAUCAUGCAUUCCACAUCUCUCUAUUUCCCCAUCAAAACUCAAAUUGUGGAUAGAAAUUAGACUUCUAUCUACAAGUUCGUUUAUACAUGUUUCUGCCACCUCUUCUAUGCUUUUUCCCUCUUCUUCAUUCAAAAACCCCUCUACAGCCCAUAACUCAACAAGUUCACUUACAUAAAUCUGUUCAUCCUCUGCGAAAAUUGCAAAAUACAGAAAACAUGGUUUUAGGUGAGAAGGCAAGUGAUGGUAACUCAAAGCCAACACUCUCAUGCAUUUUGCUUCAAGAUCUGUGCUUACCACCGAACUUACAUUCUCCGCAACAUUUUGCCACUCAUCCAAUGUUUUACUGAUUUUGGAGAGAAGUCCAGCAAUCACAGUAAUUGCUAGAGGUAACCCUCCACAUUUUAAUGUCAAUUUGUUUCCCAAUAUUUUCAAAUUCAGGAGAAUAAGAACCUUCUUUUUCAAAGAUCUUUUGUGUAGUAAAUUCCAACUUUCGUCAAAAUUCAUGAGGCGCAUAUGAUGAGGAGGCUUACCUGAACUAGCAUAUUCAGCCACUUCCACAUUCCGAGUAGUCAGGAGUAUUCUGCUUCCAUUAUUACAGUCUGGGAAACAUUGUUUUAUAUCAUCCCAAGCUUCUGUAGUCCAUAUGUCAUCAAUGACUACCAAGUAUCUCCUGCCUUUCAGAUUCUUUUGCAGUCGGUCCGCUAGCUGAUCAUCAGGUUCAUUACUUAUCGAAGAAAGAAGGCCUAGGAUUACAUUUCUCACACAAUACUCUUGUGAAACAGUUGCUUUUGCACGAAUAUCAAAUCGAGACAUAAUGUAAGGAUCACUAUAGAGUUUUGUAGCCAAAGUUGUUUUCCCGAUACCUCCCAUCCCUACGAUUGAGACAACUUCUAGUUCCCUUCCUCCUCUAGCAAGUUGAUCCAGCAUCAUCUCAAAUUCAUUUUCACGGCCAACCAUUAUAUUCUCGGGCUGCUCAACAUCAUGUUCAGGUAAACUGACAAGUGAGCUAGUUUGUGGUUUUAGAUCUUUCAUGCUGUCCGAUGCUGCCAUCCACUGUUUCACGGUGGAAUCAAUGCAUUCUAGUGCUUGUUCCAAGACGAAAAAAAUCUCCCACAUAGCCCUGCUUCUUUCCUCCAAAUUCUGUGCUAAAAAAACAUUUCUUGAUUCCGAGUCAACCAUAUCUUCUGUUGUGUAUGCUACCUCUACGAUUUCAACUUCCAAGAUUGUUAACUCCUCAUGAUCGCCCGUUAUAUUGCAGGAAUUCUCCAGAAUAGUUCUUAAAGAUUCGAGCUUUUCAUAAAACGGUUGCAAAUCACAUCCAGUAAGUUCCAUUGAUUGAUGUAUGGUUCUCAUAAGGGAAGUAACAGCAGCAUAAGCCAUAUAUCCAAAAAAUAGAAAUAUCUCUCAGUAUGAAAAUGGACAAAUUGCCACAAGUCAUGUAAUUUUUCAGUUUUUAAGAAAACAGAAAAUGCAAACUUCUUUCUUUUACUAGGCUAUUUCCAUCACAUUUCCAGCUAGGUCCACCAACCUUAUCAUCAUGUAGACAAAAGCAGAGACCAAAGUUUAAAAAAAGAAAAAGAAAAAAAGACAGGAUUCUAACUGGAAAAAGUUGAAAAAAUUGUGACCAUUCAUUAUUAUACCUUACACUUAUCUAUUCAUGAAUAUAAGUAGGGAAAAGGGCCUCAUUUACCCUGAACUUUAUGAUUUGGAGCUGAUAUACCCUUCGUUUAAAAAAUGGCCCAUAUAUGCCCCUGCCGUUAUAGAAAUGGCUCAUAUAUGCCCUUUUACUUAACAGACCAAUAUUUAAUAAAUUAAAAAUUCAUUUUUUUAUGCUUUAAUUUGAGAAAAUGCCACGUGGCUCUUAAAAUACCCCACCCAAUAACUUUUCAGCAACCCGACCCAAUGGAAACAAGAAAACCCCAUCCACUUAAAUAAACCUAGCCCAUUUCAUUCUAUGGUCUCCACUCUCCACGCUUGACAUGAAAAAAAAUCAAAAACUUGUUAGGGUUUCAGUGAGCUCUAAACUGGUGUCAAUCAAUCUCAAUAAUGUUCAAAAUCUUAGGUAAGUUUCGAUUAUUUUCUUCCCUUACUUUUAAGGAUCUUUGGUGUUAAAAAUAUAGGAUAAUAUGUGAGAAAAGUGUAACUGAGUUUACCUAUGUGCUUUUUUCCCUUGACAUUCUGUCCAUGGAAGGUUUAUUUUCUUACUUUAAUACAUGAGUUUAUCUCUUUGUAUGCAGAGAUGGAAUCUUUGUUGGUCCCCAAAUAGUUAUUGUCUCUUUAGUAUUUUAAAAUUCAUUUUUCAAUUGGUUGGUGUUAAAUGCUAAGGUGGUCCCUUAUGUCUAAUUUAUUUGCUUGUUGCAGGUGUCAUUUUGAAGGAUGAUUAAAGAAGUGGAUAUUGUUUUCAACUAUGGGGGCAAUAGGGUAAUUUCCCCAAAGCUGGGAUACAAUAUAAAAUUUCAGCACACCUGGUAUUAUAAUACUUGUUUAGUUUGUUAUGAUGAUUUGUGUGAAGCUUUUACUUCCAAAUUUGGAUUUAAGGAAGUUCAACAAUUGUUGGUCACUGGUCCAUCUGGUACUUAUUAUGUAAUUGAAGAUAAUGAUGGAAUUAAGACUCUUCAAUACUUAUUUUCAGAAGAUUUCAAGGUAAUAGAUUUUUAUGUUGUAGAUGCUCAUGAAUUGAGAGUUUCUGCCACAAAUAUCAUAUAUCAUACUGAAUCAUAUUUUGUGGAUGUUGAAGCUGCUACUGAUUGUGAUUAUAGUGAUGUGGAGGAUGAUACUCUUUAUGAAAUGGGCAACAGUUGUGAAAUUGUUGAAUAUAAUGUUGAAGUGCUUCAACGUUAUGAACAUGAAAAAGAGAGAGUUGUGAGUGAUGGACUUGAAAAGUUUAAGGAAUUAGAAAUGGGUAUGACCUUUAAGACUAUUGAAGAACCUAGGCAGGUUGUUAGCUUUUAUGCUAUGGCUAACAAAAGAAGUUGAAAACAAAAAAAAGUGAUACAAAAAGAAUUAGGUAUGAGUGUUAUGAUGGUUGUCCCUUUUACUCUUCUCAUAUCUAAGGAUGGAAAAUCAGCAACAUUUAAGGUUAAAACAUUGAUGCCUAAGCAUACUUGUGGUGAUUCUUUUGUUAAUCCAUUGGAAACUUAUCAUACCUUGGCUGUUUAUUUUAAGGAUGAAGUUCUAAACAAUCCAAAAUACCCUAUCAAAGACAUGAGAGGAAUUCUUGAAAAAAAAUUCAAGUUGAAUGUCUUAAGAUCCAAACUAAAAAGAGCCAAAACAAUGGCUCUUGAUAAGUUGGAAGGCAGUUUCAAAGAUGACUACAAUAGGCUUGAAGCUUAUGGUCAAGAACUUAGACAAUCAAAACCAGGAUCUGAUGUGGUAAUUAAUAUCUCUAAAGAUGCACUUGAACAAGGCAUAAGAAGGUUUUUGAGAAUGUACAUUUGCUUCAAGGCUUUGAAGGAUGGAUGGAAAAGUUUGAGACCUAUAAUUGGUUUAGAUGGAACAUUUCUCAAAGGAAAAUGCAAGGGGCAACUAUUAGUAGUUGUUGGGCAAGACUCAAUGAAUCAUUUUUACCCAAUAGCUUGGGCAGUGGUGGAAAAGGAAAACACAGGAACAUGGACAUGGUUUAUUCAGUUGUUGAGGAUUUCGUUGGAGUUGAAAAAUGGUGAAAUUGUGACAUUUAUGUCUGAUAUGCAAAAGGUAGCUUUAAAUUUAUUUUUUUCUUAUUGCCUUUUCUUUAUCUUUUUUCUUACUGUCAUUUUUUUCUUUUCGAUUUUUAGGGCCUGUUCGAUGUUGUAGCUAAUGUUGUUCCAGAAGCACACCAUAGGCUUUGUGUGAGGCAUAUAGAAUCUAACUGGUGCAAGAAAUGGCGGAGUGGUGAAGAGAAAAAAUUGAUGUGGUGGUGUGCAUGGAGUACCUAUGAAGAAGAAUUCAAAGACACUUUGAAGGUGUUAGGAAAGGUGGAUGAAGAUUCAGCUAGUGAUCUUCUUCAUUUUCCUGUAAUUAAAUGGUGUAGGGCAUAUUUUGAUACUCAAUGUAAGAAUCUAAUGGUAGACAAUAACUUCACCGAGUCUUUUAACAGUUGGAUACUUGAAGCUAGAAAAAACCAAUCAUUAAAAUGUUGGAGGAAAUUAGAGUGAAGGUGAUGAAUAUGUUGGUGAAAAAUGAAAAAAUGGGCAGAAAAUGGCAAAAUGAUAUCAGUCCAACGGUUAUGAAAUUGUACAAUGACUAUCGAUUAAUGGCUACCAAUGGUACAGUUGAGUUCAAUGGAGAUUAUGGUUAUGAAGUGAAAGAUGGAGACACGGACACACAUACAGUGAAUUUGGAGUUGAAGAAAUGCAUUUGUAGAUUAUGGGACUUGGGUGGAAUACCGUGUCACCAUACCAUCAAGGCAAUUUUGCAUAAAAAAACUGAACCAUUGGAAGAGGUUCAUUACUGCUAUAAAAAGAGGCUUAUUUGUUAACAUACAAGCACAAGUUGCAACCAGUUAGGGGUUCUCAAUUCUGGAAAAUCGACCAUGCUCAAGCAAUGGAACCUCCGAAAAUGGUAAAACUUGUUGGCAGACCCAAGAUGAAAAGAAAUAAAGAAACUGAUGAGGCAAGUUUGAGAAAGGGGGCAUGGAAGCAGUCAAGAAAAGGAACUCUAAUGAGAUGCAACAAAUGUGGUGAUUUCAAUCACAAUGCUAAGGGAUGUUAUAAGGUAAUCUCUCUUAAUAUUUUCUUUUAGUUAAAAGGUGUUCAUUUUUGUCAAUCACAACAAUUUUUUUGGGUUGAAGGACCAUGAAGACGGUGAAAGUUAGCAUGAAAGAAAUAAGAAAGCAAGCAAUCAAAAGUCGAGGAGUUGAGCAAGAAAAAACUCUAUUGUAGAGUAUGAGACAGAAGCUUCACCCCAACAAUUUCAGACAAAACAGUCGACUGCCUAUGGUCCUAAGAUCGGGAAUGAUGAAGAUCCAGCAUUGCGACCAAUGGUAAUUUUUGAGACAGAAACAAGGAUGGAAAAGAGGUCUCGAAUAUUUGAAGGAAUAGGAAGCAGGAAGAUUGUUUUUUAAGGGGAUGCAAGAGGAAUCUCGACCCCUUCGGAUCUACCAUAUUCACCAAAGAAGACUACUUGAAAGGGCAAGAAAGCAGUCACAAUUGAUCAGUUACAAGCUGAAGUAAAGAAGAAAAGAGUGAAACAAAUGGCAAUGAAGGGCAAAUGGCCCGUGGAUACUAAUGAUGAUCUAGUUUAGAAGUCGUUGUGUGGUUGAUCAUUUUUUGACAUUAGGUGGUUAUUUUGGAUAGUAUUAUAUGAUGUAAAUCCAAACAAUUUCUUUUGUUGCUAACCAUAUAAUAGAUAUUUGUGGUUGGUUUAACCACCAGAAGGUUAAUCUUCUUUUGCUGGUAACUUGUGUUAAGAUAAUUUUAUAAAAAUUGAGAAUUAUAUUCUACUGCAUCUGGUGUAAUUAUUGUUGAUUGUAUUUUGUGUGAGAGAGUAAAUUUAUGUGCUUUGAUUGGUAGCGUUGUUUAAAUUACGACUAAAAUUAGCAUUGUUCACGAUCUUCUUUGAACUAGUAGAUAGCUCACAGAUGAUUCAACGUGGAAUGUCAAGGAGUCAUUGAUGAUUCUCUAUCAUUUUACCUCGAGCUUUUGAUUCUCUUUCAUUACUAAAUAAUACAAAAGUUGACAAAAUCACUACACAAGACCAAAUAAGGUGAAUCAAAAGUUGUCAUAAAUCAAUACAAUGAACCAAAAGUUAAUUACACAUAAGUCACAAAACUGCAAAUGAGAUGAAAAAGUUUAGUCGCAUAAUAUGGCCUUGGAAUCUAUCAUUUAAAUUCCCAGAAAAGAUAUGAUCCUACAAAGUACUACUAUAUUUCCAAAUUUUACAAACUUUUUGCCUCAGUGAGUGAAGAAAAGAACCCAACUAAGCAACUGAAUGUAAAAUAACUUCAAACUUUUCUCUCGAAUUUUAAGAUUUCAUAAACGCAAUGACUCCGUCCACAGUUCGUUCGCGAACACUCUGAAUAUGUGGUGUGACGGCCAAUAAAACUUCAGCAGACUCUUGAUUUUCACUUGUAGCUGCAAGAUGUAUUAGCAUGUAAUUAUCACUGACAGUAUCCCCUGCCUUUACCACACAACGAAAGAAUGAACUGCCGCAACUGCUAGCAGAGGACACAUAUUAUCAUCUCCUAUUUGAGCAUCAAAAUUAGCAUGGUGUUUUAGCAAAACCGUAAUAGCAUCUUCCUGGCUGCGGUCUACAACGCAUAUUAAUGGUGUUCCAACAUCAACAUCACUUCGCAAAUCAACGUCUACACCUAUCGGUAGAAACAAUUUAACCAAUUCAAUAUGCCCAUUUCCUGCAUCAUUAAAUGGACAAAAUAAAACACAUAAGAAUAUCACUUCAAGCAAAGAAUAUCAAGAACAAAUUUACCCUAUAACUCUAACACCAAAGGUCCUUAAAAGAAAAGGGAAGAAAGUAAUCGAAACUUACAUAAGAUUUUGAACAAUAUUGAGACUGAUUGACGCCAAUUUAGAGCUCACCGAAACCUACCAACAUUUUGAUUUUUUUUCUUGUUGAGCGUGGAGAGUGGAGACCAUAGAAUUAAAUGGGUUAAAGUUUAUUUAAGUGGGUGGGGUUUUCUUGUUUUCAAUUGGGUCGGGUUGGUGAAAAGUUAUUGGGUGGGGUAUUUUAAGAGCGAUGUGGCAUUUUCUCAAAUUAAAGCAUAAAAAAAUGAAAUUUAAUUUAUUAAAUAUUGGUCUGUUAAAUAAAAGGGCAUAUAUGGGCCAUUUCUAUAACGGCAGGGACAUAUAUGAGCCAUUUUUUAAACGGAGGGUAUAUCAGCUCCAAAUCAUAAAGUUGAGGGGUAAAUCAGGCCCUUUUCCCAUAUAAGUAUGUUUCUUACAUACAAGAGAUUGAUGAUUUUAAUUCCAUUGAAAGCUACUUAGUAGAAUUUUCCAAAUCAAAGAGAGAGAAAUAUUAAGAUCCAAGUAGGAAUUUCUCUAUUCCUAGUUCGAUUCAAUUAACCAAGCAUAAAUAUCUCUUAAUAUACAAGAGAAGUUUAGACUCUAAAAGUCAAAUCAACAAAAUAUUGAUGGGCUAACACAUGAAAAACUACUGAGAAAAUCGCCUAAUUCCUGUAAAUUGUCCCUUAAAUACCCAAAAUGGACUCUAAAAAUUGUUAGAAUGUACGUAUUGCUCCCCCAACUCCCUACUGAGGGUUUUGUAAAGAUUUCGAUUAGAAAUCGUCCAUAAGUCAUAUCACUAAUAUAUUAAUGGUUAACACACACGACAAACUGAGAAAAUUAUCUAAUUUCUUUAAAUUGGCCCCUAAAUGCCUAAAAUGGACUCUAAAAGUUGUGAGACUGUACAUACUGCUCCCCCGACUCCCUACAGAGGGUUUCGUAAAUGUGUAGCAAAGAAAUCGUCUGAAAGUCAUAUCACUGAAAUAUUAAUGGGCUAACACAUACAAAACACUGAGAAAGUCGCCUAAUUCCUGUAAAUUGGAAUUCUAAAAUUGUGAGACUAUACGUAUUGCUCCAUUAACUCUCUAUGGAGGGUUCCGUAAAGAUUUCACAAAGAAAUUAUUCGAAAGACUUAUCACCAAAAUAUUCAUGGGCUAAUACAGACGAAUUGAGAAGAUCACCUAUUUCCUAUAAAUUAGCCGUGGGAUACCUAAAAUGGACUCUAAAAAUUGUGAGACUAACUCCCUACGAAGGGUUCCAUAUAAGUUUCGCAAAAGAAAUCAUUCAGAAAUCAUAUCACCAAAAUAUUUAUGGAUUAACACACACGAAAAAUUGAAAAAAUCGCCUAAUUCUUUUAAAUUGGCCCCUUAAUCCCUUUACGAGAUUAAUUAGAGAUGCGCGAGCGCGCGCACACACACACAUACACACACAUAUAUAUAUAUAAAGAAGAGAAGCUAGUUGUAGGGUUUGAUUGCCAUAAAAUACUUAGACAAUGUGGGUGACGCACAUUGUGAAUCUCAUGAAUUGACUCGUGGAUCAUUGUGAUAUUGGCCCAUGAAACUUAGUCUUAGGGAAAGAUUGUUGGGUGUGAGAUUGAAUUUCCACAUUUGAGAAGCUAUAUAUAAGGUGUAGGAUCUCUUAAGGGAAAAUUUCAUGUAUGGAAAACGUAUUUAAUGAAAUAACGCUCUAUAGGUAUAGUUUAGUAAUUACAUUCAAUGGGUAGUUUAGUUUGCUAUGAAGCAUUAAUUUUGUAUAUAAUGUUUUUUUUAAAAAUAAUUUAUACAAUAUUUUUUUUAAUAAAUGGAUACAUGAGCGCUAAAUACAGUAACAAAAAAUUUACAUAAUCCCAUGAUUCAAGCUAAUCGUUCAAAAUCAAAUAUUUUUCCAAAAAAGAGUUCUAUAGCAAUAGAAACACCAUAACAGCUGGUUUCCUCAAACGACUGAAGCAUACGAUUAAUCAAUAUUCUUGUAUAUUCAACACCAGGUAAGCGUUUCUUUCAAGGAAACUUCAUGUUUUGAACGGCAAGAAAGUAUACAAUUGAUUUGUAUAGUAUAUAAUUGAAAUUUUGGAAAACGGAUUAUUUUUGUUUUGUUCAUUCUAAUGGUUCGCAAUAAUUUAAUUUUGUUUAUACAAUAUUAGAUAAAUUUUAUAUUAACAAUUCAAUUCUAAUUUUUUGUUCAAAAAAUUGAAUGACACAAUUUGUAUAUAUGAAGUGUAUAUGAUUCGACAACAAUGGUGUGCUUUAAUUUGCUAAUUUUUGUUGUUGUUGUUGUUGUAAUUUUACUGUAUAAAUAAGUUAUACGAUUUGUAUAUUGUUUAAUUGGUAAUAUUGUAUAUAUGUAAGUAAUUGUAUACAAUUAUUAUACCAUAAAUAAGUGUAAGUAGUUGUAUAAAAUUACUAUGACAAUUAUAUAUAUGAAUUGUAUAUGAUUCAAUAAAAAAGGUGUGCUUUAAUUUGAUAAUUUUUGGUGUAACCUAAUGUUGACACCCAUUUUUGGACCUCCACAAUAUAUAUUAAUUCUCGAGCUUCUUAGAUUUCAAAUGAUUUGGAGUUAUUAGUUUAUAAAAUUUAAAUAUUUUUUAAAAAGAUUUUUGAAGCGAUUUAGUCGGCUUUAUAAUAUUUUAGAUAAUAGAUGGAUUUUACAUAAUUACUUAUAUAAUCAACGUGUAUUAUUAGCAUUUGGAAAUCAUCUUGAAAUAUUUUGCAUUUUUUAAAAUUAACUAUGUUAUUAAUUUAGUUUAGUAUAAAUUAAAGUUAUGAUUCUGAGUUAUUUGAAUUAGUUAGUUUAUAAUUAAAUUGUUUAUUUUAUUUUUGUUAAGAUUAAGAAGCUUGUUAAUUAAUUAAUAACAAUUCAUCUUAUUUAGACUUUGGCCGAAUUCACCAAUUAAUCCCAAUUUGGCUAAGUUUUAACUCUGAAUGGUUAUAAUCGUAAUCCAUUUAGCCCUUCUUGAUAUUGCAAUUUUAACCAUUCUCUAACCUUACCUCUAGCUUAUUUAAAUAAUCACCAAGGGGCUUUUAUCCUUGAUUACAUUUUCAGCAACACCCAAGCCCAUUUUUCCAUCAGCGUACAAUUAUUUCCAGCCAAUAAACUCCAGCAGUCCAUACCCACCCUCCAAUUCCCAUUACAGCAUACAACAAUUCCCAGUGAUUCAAACAUACACGUAGAGCAGCACCAACCGACCCCAUCCCCUUUAUUUCGCUCAUCUCCUCGUCCGUUUCAAAGUAAUAUUCUGGUGUUUGGAAGCAUCUGUUCUGUGAUUGUUCGUUGUUAUUUUUCAUAGGAUUGAUGAUGUUUUUAACGUAUUAAAUGUACACUUAAUUGUUUCCAUCAGUUAGUCCUAAUAUGGGGUCAAGUUCCGGAGAGCCAUUAAAGUUUUAUUUUGUUGUAUUUCUUUUCUUGAGCCUGCUCCUCGAACAUCGUCGAAUCUAUGUUCUUUUCGCUUUAGCAUCUUGAAUAUUGAAAGUUCCAUUCACUUUAUUACUGCUAAUGUUCUCUGUUCUUCCUUUGAGAUGAGGAAAAAUCUUCCGUACAAAUUGUAUGUUGUUGUAGCUGCUGUUCGGUAGGCAUAAGUGGUUAUUUUCUUCUUGAUUAAAUUUCAUGGCCGUCCUAUUUUGCAUUGCGAAUGUGUAACUGUUUAUUUGGUUUUUAUUCCUCCUCAUUUUCAGCAUAUUUCCAUAAUUUUGGUUGAGUGUAUUGCUUAUUCUAACUUGAAGCUAAAUGUUUAUAAUAAUUUCGUUGGUUGUCUGCUUAAAUGUGGGCUGAAUAUCAAUACUAUUCUUUCUAAAUGUUAAGUUAUACUCGUUCUUUUUGGUUUUUUUUCUUCCGAGGAUUUGCUUUCGACUAUAGUUCUGUUUCUUUUGUGCGUGUGUUUGGAGGUCGGCAUUUGGUUUUAUGCCAGCCUAGUUUUACAUAUCUCUUUUCACUUUCAUGGAAACCUUUGAUGUUAUAGCUCUACUUGUCGGAUUAGGUUUAAAAAAAUGAAAUGCAUCUUUGUUCUUCUCAAAUUUGUUCCAUGUUUUCUUGGUUUUUUAAAAAAAAUGGUAUAGCUGAUUAAAAUAGCAUUAGUUUAGCUCGAGAUUUCCUUAAUACCGUGUUGCUAUUUAUUCUAUCUCGCAUCUUAUAACUCGAUAUUAUUUGUCUUGGGUUCUUUGUGGCUUUUAUUUCGAAAGUUUUGCCUUGCUAUCGUGUCAAUUUUCGUGCUUGUUGUUUGUAGCUGCUUGAGAAAAUAUGAAUGACCACUUUAUAAAAAAAAAAAAAAAAGGAGUUAGAAUCAACAAUGGGUUGCUGUUUGAAUAAUUGACCUUCAGCUUAUUUUGCUCAAAUGUUAAGUCACGUAUGUUCCCAAACACGGUUCGUAUACAAUGGUACACGUGAUGUGUAUACACAGAUUUCUUGAAGGAAAAUGGGGGGCAAAAGCCCAAGGAAAUUUCAGCAAGUCCAAGAUUUGGGCCUAAUUUGAUAUUCCUCUCCUUGCUCUUAUUUAUUUUGUUAUAUUUGACUAACGUUUUGAUUAUCUUAUGAUUUAAUCUAAUUAAAUUUUCCAAGAAUGGUCAUUUCAUUUUAUUUUUCGAAUUAAAGUAUAUAUAUUUUAUUACUUAGUUUUUAUUUUAAUAUUUGUCUUGUUGACAUUUUAUGAACUAUUUCCCUUUAGAAAAUUCUCCUUUAGUUCAUUCCCCCUUAAGAUAAAUAAAAUGAUAAAAAUAAUAGUAAUAAAUAAAUGAGUUCAUUUACUUAGCUAAAUUUUUUUUUAAAUAAGUUAAAAUAAAUGAGUUCUUUUACUUAGUUAAAAUUUCAAAAAUUAGUCAAAGUCGUUAUGAGCUCUUUUAUACUUAGUUAAAAUUUCAAAAGUUAGUCAAAGUCAUUUUUAGUCAAAUCGUCGGUCAACCGCAAGUUAGCGGACAUUUUGAGGGCCUAACACCUUCUCGGAAUGUACAUUGAACUCGAACCCUUUUUCAAUUGAUUUUAUCUGUUUGAGUAUUUUGAAAAUCUUAAGUUUUUUCUUGAGUUUUACUAAAAAAAUUAAGUGGCGACUCUAUUCUUUUGGAAAUCGAUUUCUCUUAAACUACAAGUUUAAUCGAUUUUUUCGAAAUCCUAGUCAUUUUUCUUUUAUAUAUAUUUUCGAGUAAAACACCUAACUGUAUAUAUAAUAAUGUAAGGUUUGUAUAUUGUUUAAUUCAUACUAUUGUAUAUAACUUACAAAAUAUACAAAUAUAUAUAUAUAAUACAAUUAUGAUUUAAGCAAAAAAUAUACAUAUACUUCAAGCAAUUUUGUAUAUAACUAACAAAAUAUACAAAUAUCUAAAUACAAUUGUGAUUUAAGCAGAAAAUAUACAUAUAUUUCAAACAAUUUUGUAUAUAACUAACAAAAUAUACAAAUAUCUACAUACAAUUGUGUUUUAAGCAAAUAUUUGAUGUUCUUGAUCUAAUGAAGGAGACACAACCUCCUCAGAAUCACUAUCUUUGGCUUUCCUCGUACUUCCUCCUUCAACAACUUUAAUGUCGCUUGCCUUAACAUUGUUGAUGACUUCUGGGAGUGCAAUUGGGUCAUUUUUUUUCUUGGAUCUCAAUUCUUCAAUAGAUUUUUCCUGUAGAAUUUGUUUAGAUUUUUCCAUAGACCCUGCAUUGACUCCAAAAUCUUGAGUUAAACCGAGUGAAAAUGAAGGUUGAUUAUUAAAAACUUUGACAUGCAAUGACGUACCUCUCGCAAUCCUCUUAGAUGGAGUCGAAUCAUCCAUUUUAUUUUUUGUAAAAAUGAUAUAUAAUAAGUAAUGAGGGAAUUUUGAGAAAAAAUUAUCCAAACACUAACAUGCACAAUACAUAUACAAUUGAAAAAUGAAAAAGAAAAAAAGAAAAGAGGUUCACCUACGAUUUAUGCGGUUACCUGCAAAAAGUAAAACACGAUUGGAGGGAGAAAGUGAAAUUCGAAUUUCAAAUUGAUUUUAGGAGAAAAACAGGAAAUGAGGAGAGGAGAGGAGAGGAGAGGAGAGGAGAGAUAAAUUUAAUUUUGUAUAAAAUCAUAUACAAAGACCGAUGAAGGCUUUGUUGAUUCGGUAUACAAAGUGGUGGUGGGUCUCAUUAUUAAUGGCGAAAAAACUGAAAUUGUAUUUACUAACAGUAAAUAAAUUAAAUUAUACCCUCAAUGACUAAUAGCCUAGUAAUAUUUGCCAACUCACUUAAUUUUUCCAUAAUGUGUGAGACUUUUUGAAAGAAAAAAAAAUUGUGCUAACUUGGUUAAAGUGAACAAUUAUCAUACUCUAUUUAGAAUAUCUUUGGGCUAAUUUAUCCGAACAAAAACAAAUAAGUCCCCAAUCUAAGACCAUUAGCCGUUACUUGAAGACAAGACAUUCAUCAUUUGAACUAUUGAAUUAUGGACACAAGUCAAAGAAUCUUCCAACUAUUCAAGAAGUGUAAUUAAUACUUAAUAAAUAUAAUGUCAUCCUCAAUAACUUCAAAUAAUAUCCAAUAAUCAAUAUUAAAUUUUGAUAUUAAUAGAAAUAGUUAAUGAACCCCAAGUUGUAUAAUUUGAUUGUUGGGAUAAAAGAUAAAAGUCAAUCAAAAAUUUAAUUUUUUUAAGAAAUAAUCUUUUAAUUGUGAUUCAAUAAUGUAAUAACACAAGCAAUUACAAUACAUAUAAAUUUGCCAUGUCAGCAUAUGGUGUUCAUGAGUGCGUGUAUGACAAUAGUAAAAGUAUCUAUUUGGUCUUUUAGAUAAAUUUCAGUAUCUAAAUUACAAUUUUUGUCAAAUUUGAGGGAUUAUCUAGAUAUUUAGAUAAAAUUAUUUAUAUAUAAUUAUCUCUAAAUAGGCUCAUAAGCCAGUAAAUGAUACUUUAUAAAUAACUUCAGUUGUAAGUGUUUCUCUUACAAAUUCAAAUUAAUCCAAUGACAAAACCUUUUUAUGAUUUGACUGAAGAGGUUUCUGUGUUGCUGGUAUAUCAAGAUGAGGAAUUGGUUUCUAGUAAAUCAAAUGGUUGAUUUACUAGAGUUCAAUGGAUACAAAGGUGAUAUAUCUAGAACUAAUUUCUAUAUGACUUUCAUUAUAUAGAGAGAGAAUUAAUUGAUACGAUGUUUAUUUAGAACUUUUCCUUUCCUUGUUAUCAUAACAUUAUUUCUAUGCUUGUGUAUGUUGUGUUACAAGUUAAUAAAUGAAUUUGUAUGAUUAUAAGGAAUUAAAUUAGAUUCUUCAUUUUUGUUUUUGUUGUAACCAUGUCACUGACUCGAUUAGCUUUCUCCAUAAGGAUUGUGUAAUUUUUCAAAGAGGUUCAAUAAUUUUAUGUUAAAGUAUGUGUUGUUCUAAUUUUAUCGGAUAUUUUUCCAUAAAGGAGAUAGUUUAAGUUUAUGUUAAUAUUAAUUAUUUCACACUUGACUUUUUUGUACAAAAAAUAAAAAGGAAACUUAUUCUUUGUCAAUCGGGCCUAGAGUGACAUCGUGUUGGAGGAGAAAAUAAUUAGGACCCUCAUAAAUAAUUUUGAAAUCAUAGAUCUUUGAUUUUUACAAAUCUAUAUAUUGUUUUAGAAAGAAAACACAUUCACUUGGAUGAUUGAGGCACAAAAUAAGAGUAAGAGAUUGAAGAGAAGAGCGAGAUAAAGACAUGAUAAGAGAUGAUUUGGCUAUCAUUAUUGUCUGAGAUGACUUUUUUUUGUCUUUUAUUCAAUGUAGACAAACAAAUAAAUAGGGACAUGUGAUUUUCAUGAUUUUUUUCUUCUAUUUUUUUUUUUUGUCUUUUAUUAGAUGUAGACAAGAAAAGAAAUUUUUUUCAUGUGACUUUUCCUCAUUUAUUUUUGUUUCAUUUUCAAUUACUUUGUUAGUAUUUAAUAUCGAUUGUUCCUUAUUCAAGCUAUGUUAAAUAUUUUUAACAUAAUUUUUUUGGUAACUCCUUUCUAAUAAUUUGUUAAAUCUUCUAAACUCUCGUUACUUAUUUAUGAAAUAAAAUUACCUUAAAACUUUUUACAUAAAUUUAUCUUAAAACUUUUUAUCCUAUUAUAUCUUGCUUUAAUAGUAUUUAAUCUAUAUAUAUAUUCAGUGUUUAUUUGUUUUCAACAAGUCAAAGAAUAAAUUAGAAUAUAUUCUUUAGAAUUAUAUUCCUAUAGAAUCUUCUCUAUUAUAUAUUCCUACAGUUAUUUACUGUAAAGUAAUAUUAUAUAUUAGUAAGAUUGCACACACCGUUUACGAUAUAAGUUGAUUAAUAUGUGUUAUUUCAUAAAUUAAAGUAUAGCAACAUAAUAUGAAAUUUCAUAAUUGAAUUUGAAUGAGAAAUUAAAUAAACAUAUCCAAAUGAUAAUUUUGUGUAUAAUAUUUUUUUCAUGUUCUUCACUAACUUUAAAGUGUAUGGAUAUAUACAGUUACGACAGCUACAACUCCUGCAGCAAUGUCAAUGCUCUCCAAAGAAAAGAAAAAAAUUGACAUGAUGAUAAUCGAUGUCAAUUCAUCAGAUUUACAUUGUUUUGAACUCUUGACACAAGCUGUAACCUUAAAUAUAAUCUCUCUUGGUAAGUAUUUAUAAUUCUAUUUUUCACUUCUUGUUAUAAAUAUUGGGUAAAAUCAGUUGUUUCAAUUAAUACACCACAAAAAUAUAAUUAGCUAUAAAAUUUAUCGUUAAUCUAUUGUCAAGAGACGACAUCUAUCCAUUGGUAAUCUUGUUUUUAGUUAUAGUUAUAUGAUAAAUGAUUGUUUCGUAACAAAGUUGUUGUCGUAACAGAUAAAAUUCAGUAAAUAUAUGUGUGAAAUUAACUAUUCUCAUAAUGUAUGAUAUAUUUUUAUUUUUAUUUUUAACUUCUCAAUAUAAUUAUGUAGUUGUAUGUGAUGAACUCAAUAGACUCUUAGCCAAGAACGCUUUGGAAAAUGGAGCUUAUUUUGCUUGAAAAAGCCAUUCAACAAGGAAAUUGUGAAAUACUUAUGGCAACUUGUAUUGAGAGAAAAAAUACAAAGGGAGAAAUCGAAAAAAGGUUUAGAAGCAAAUGGACGAAAUCAUAUGAAUGCUGAUGAAAUUUAUGAUAGUAAUAUUGUAAGAGAUGAACAAUUUGGAGAGAAGAAUAUGCAUGUUGAUACUGAGGAACAUAACAAUAAUAUCCAUAAGGCUGAAAAUGAUGGCGUAUCAACUGGUAAAUACAAGUUGAAGAGGAAGAGAGGGAGAAAAGGUAUAAAACAGAUUAAUGAAGGAGAAAGUCGUAGCAGUACUGUUAUUAAUAAGACUGGUACACGUAAAUGACUUGUAUCAUGCAUUUUAAACAUACAUAAAUGACAAUGAAUUUGAGAUAAUAAUUAUAUCCAUAGUCCAACUCUCCUUUGAGUUUUUCUUUCUUUCAGAAAUGUCGUGAAAACAAUUGGAGACCUCGAAAAGAGAGAAAGAAUAUUCAUCACGGAUCCUCAAGUGAUUCUCAACAAAGAAGUAGUUGUAACACAUCAUUAGAAAGAAAAAAAAGGAGCUGCAAAAAACUUGGAAAAAUGCCUCAUCUUCAAACAAAUAUACCAAAUCAAAUACAAAGAGUCUCAGAGUUCCCACCAGUUAAUACCAACAACAUUUUUGCUAUUUCAACUCAGCAGCAACUCCAUCACCCACAACUUCAGGCUCAACCUCACUGCCUAAACCCAUCUUUGUCAGCCCAAAAUGAUGUUGGUGGUCAACUACAACAACACAGUCUGUUAUUUGGAAUGCGGGUCCAAUUAUUGGAAGCACUCAAAAUGGUUAUGGCUUGGAUCUCAAUCCUACCCAUGUAACAACAUAUUCAGGUAGCACAAUGAUAACUAAUACAAAUGUUGGAAAUGUGACACUUAAUGGAUUGGGAGCUACAAAUGCUAAUUUUCAGCAAGAUAUUGGUGAACAAAACAUGUUUGAUCCAAGUUCUUGCUCUCGUAAUAUUUGUAUCUUAACUUAUCGAAUGCAUUUAUGUAUCUUCCUGUAUUGCAAAAGCUAUAAUUGGGAAAAUAUUUUCAUCUUUUGAUGAGAAAUUUCUUAACCUUUACUCAUUUCUUCGUUUCCUUAUUAUGUAUUGAAUGUUUAAGAUUGUAGUAUAUUAUUACAUACUUAAAUCUUGUUUAUGAAAUUUUUUAAUGAUUAAUGUUUGGAUUAUAAAUCUCUUGUUUUGCUUAUGUAUUGAAUGAUUUUUAUUUUUAAUGAAGUGAGUCAAAUUGUUUCUUUAAUUAUUCUUGUGUUUUAAUAUUUCUAAAAGGAGCGACUAAUCCUAGGACUUGCUCAGUUACUUUGAUUUGAGCUCGAGAGAGUGAAAAAAGAAUAAGAAGAGAGAUUGGAAAAGAUUAAUUAACAAAAAUUGUGGUACUAAUUUGGGUAUUAAUAAACAAAUCCUUACUUGAUCGCAUAUGUGUUGUUCUGUGUGAAAUUUGCCUCUGACUUAUAGUUGACUAAAUUAUAUUGCAUAUGUUCGUGUACAUUUUCUCACUUGGAAGAGUGGAUUUGGAUGUUAUUAACCAUCACCAUCGUUUAGGUAGAAAAAGAAAAUAACUAAUAGUUUAAUGUUUUAAUACAUAAAUGAUCAACUAAUAUGAGACGGAAAGAGUAGCGUAAAUGUAAGAUUCACUUCUCACCAAGAAUCCUCCUUUCUUAUUAUUUUCCUUUUAGAGGUUAAUAAUUAUUAUGUAUCCCUAGAAUAAUUUAUUGAAAUAGUAGAUUUGAAAGAAAGCAAUUAUUCUCUUCUUCCUAUGCGGGACUUUUAGAACAAAACUAAUUUGACAAAAACCACAAUUUAUUGAUUUUUAGGUGGAAUUAUAUCAAUAAGGAACUAUGCUUAUAAUAUUAAUCUAAGAUCAUUAGGGGUCGUUUGGUAGAGUGUAUGAGGUAAAAUAAUGCAUGCAUUAGGUGUGUGUAUUAGUAAUACCUUGUUUGGUACACUUUUUCAUGUCAUGUAUAACUAAUGCAAGCAUUAGUUAUACACUAUAUUGUGUAUUACUAAUACCAAGAAAUCCUAGAUAUUAGUAAUACAUAGCGUUUUAAUACUUGCAUUAGAUUAUACAAUUACAAAACUACCCUCAAAGCCUUUUAAAAAAACAUCUUCAUUUUCCAUGGUACUGUGUUUAGAAACCUUUCAUCUUCUAUGUGGCUGCUAACACUACAAGAAAAGUGUGAAUUACAUGAGGAUUUUCCUGGGGAUUAGUAUGAAAAUCCGUAGGAAACUUAUUUUUCUGCAAAUUUUCAUACUAAUCCCCAGGGAAAUCCCCAUGUAAUUCACAUUUUUCUUGUAGUGUAAACCUUUAAAAAAAAACAUCUCCGUUAUUUAUAAAUUUGAUUGUUGUAAUACUUUUUUGUAUUUCAAUUGCACUAAAAAAUAGGAUCUGUGGCUGCUAAAGCAUAUGCCCAGACUCCUAAUAUAUAUAAAGUGCAUAUACUGAUUUUAAUAGGGUACCGCUUUGCAGUUAGGAAUUAUCUCAGGUCUAUGCUGCCUGUAUCUCCCUUACAUUCCAUCAGUUUUUAUUUUUUAUUUUUGGACUCGUUUUAUCUCAAAAUAUAUAUAAAGCACUACUAAUGCAUGCAUUACUAACACACCCUAUUUUACAUUAUUCUUAUACACUCUGCCAAACGAUCCCUAUUGUUACUUGAACACAUGGAUUCAUCAUCUGAACAAUUGAAACAAUUAAUACUUGUGUGAACCUCUUGUUAUUUCGAGUGAUGUGUCAGAAUCUUUAGCCAACUAAGACUAGCGUUAAAUUUUUGGCAAGUCUCAAGAAGUGUAAUUAAUACUUAAUAAAAUAAUCUCAUCCUUGAGAUUCAAGAACUUGUUUGGUCUGAAUAGGUUUUAAUCAUUAAGAUCUAGAACAAAGUCUUAAUAUUAGUAAGAGGUAUUUUUGUGUGAAUAGUUUUCUUUGAGGUUCGAGAAAUGGAAUAGAUAUGGACUACAAGUUGAUAUUCGCCAUUAGGAAAUUCACACGAAAAGGAACGAGGAAUUCUCAAUGAAAAAAGCGCUCUCUAAAUCUGUUUAGUAUUUGCCAUGAGGUUCUUACCAUAAUUGAAUUUUCCUUUUAGGAAAAGGUAAACACAGUCUCCAUAUUUGUCUAGUUCUUUUUCUUGUACGAAAAAAAUUAUGACUCUAUAAAUAGAUGUUUAUUCAUUCUAGCUUGGUAGCAUUCAUAAUGUAGUCUUAGGGGGCUUUGAGAGUUUUGUGUAUUGUGUGAAGCUAGGGGAAGAAUGUGUGAGACACAAGUAUUACUUUAACACUUGUGUGAACCUCUUUGUAUUCCGAGUGAAUUGUGUGAGGUCAUUCUUCUCUAGAUUUUGAACUUUCUUUUAUAUAGUGAUUUUUUCAUCUCCUCUUGUGGAUGUAGACCGGUUGACCGAACCACGAUAAAUGUUUGUGUCUUUUUGUAUAUUUCUCGUUUGUCUUAUUACUCAUCGUCUUUCGAGGUUUGCUUUGCUAACUUUUGCAUGACACCUAAUUAUUUCAGUCCCAACAAGUGAUAUCAGAGUCAAGUUCAAUGGUUUAAUGAUCCAAUGGUUGAACCAGGUCAAAAAUAAGUGUUCAUCUUGACGGGUUUAGUUCUACCAUAACAUAUUUGAUAGUAAUGAAGAUUUUUGUUGGAGAAAUAUUUUCAAAGAUGUUUUUUGUGUUGAGAUAUAUAUAUAUAUAUAGAGAGAGAGAGAGAGAGAGAGAGAGAGAGAGAGAGAGAGAGAGGGAGAUAUUUUGCAGAGGAGAUGCAUAGUUAUUGAAGAUUAUGUGAAGAAGGUGGAACAAAUUUAUUUUGUCAGAAAUUUAGGCCAAUGGAGAUAUUUGUUUAGUAUUUGUCAUGAGUUUCUUACCAUAAUUGAGUUUUUUUCUUUUAGAAAAAGGAAAACACAAAGUUUCCAUAUUUGGCUAGUUCUUUUUCUUGUAGGAAAAUGUUUAUGACUCUAAAAUUAUAUGUGUAUUCCUUCUAGCCUAAUAGCAUUCACAAUGUAGUCCUAGGGGGCUUAGAGAGUUUUGUGUAUUGCGUGUAGCUAGGGGAGAAUGUGUGAGACACAAGUGUUACUUUAACACUUCCGUAAACCUCUUUGUUUUUACAUUGAAUUGUGUGGGGUUAUUCCUCUCUAUAUUUUGUACUUUCUUUUAUAUAGUGAAUUGCUCAUAUCCUCUUUUGGAUGUAGGUCGGUUGUUCAAACGACGUUAAAUAUUUGUGUCUUUUGGUAUAUUUUUUGUUUGUUUUAUUACUCACAGUCUUUCAAAGUUUGCUUUGCUAGCUUUUGCAUGAUACCUAAUUAUUUCAGUCCCAACAAAACCAAACGUGAAAGUUGUUUUCCAGCAGGCAACUUUUCUAGUAGCUCUACUCUCGACUUGGAUAAUAUAUCCAAAAAGGUACGCUUUCGGUCAUUCCACAUGCUGCCUAUGUAGAGACAUGUUUAUCUAAAGUGGAUUCUCUUUUUUGCAGUAGGUAUUGAACCUGUUAUGCCCAUUGACUAAGAAGCUAGGGGUGGACACAACAACUACAUGGACCUCUUCCUUUCAUUGGCCAUCACCAUUAGUCGUCUUUGUUAUCACAAUGACCACCACCAUUACCGUCAUCAAAUAUCUCUGUCAUCACAAUUACCAUUCUUAUCAACCACUACUAUAUAUCAAGCAUUUGCUAUAUUUAUGUUUUUUAUCGACAUAAACAAUGGGUUAACAUGAUAUAAUUUAUUAGUAGUUUUAUAUAUUUUUCCCAUAAUAAAGGAAACAAUCACUUAUACAUUCUUUGAGAUCAUUUAGUGUAAAAUCAGGAGUGGAAUCAUAACUAGGGUUAUAGCUUAGGAUCAAUUCACCUUCUUAAUUAAUGGGAUAAUUUACUUAGCUAAAUUUGAGUGAAAAGAAGAAGAAAUUAAUUAAUUUAAUUCGUUUACGUUCCAAUGGGGUGUGCAAUACCCAUAAAUUUGUCAUGUCGUUAUUAGGUGUUCAUGAGAUGCAUAUAUUUCAAGCAAAAGUGUCUAUCUGAUUACUAGACAAGUUUAGCCGUCCAAUUUACAAAUUCUGCCAAAUUUGAGGGACUAUCUAGAUAUUAUUAAGAAAAUCUAUCUUAUUUAAUAUAAUAUUUAAAAUAGAUAACUUUGUAAUUAGUGUUCGCUAGAUCUUCAUAUUUUCUCCAACCAUUAUAAAUUCUCAGUGCUCUCUCUAUAUAAAUUCAUCAGGAUAAAAAUAAACAAGACAAGAUAUCAUACAUAAAAAAUAUCCAAAAGAGUUUUCUUUAAAUAUGUGUAAUCUUUUUUAAAUAGCAUAUCCCUUAAGAAGCUAUGUAGUUUUAUCACAAUGUCCUUCUUUAAUUGUUUUUCUUUAAUUAAUAAAAAGGUGUGUUAUAUAUAUCUUCAAUUGAUGAUAAGCCCACUUAUAUACAAAUAAAGUAAUGCAAGUGAAACUCUGUAAAGAAUCCUAUGAAGGUUCUAGCAGAGAAAUUAUAUUUAAAAAGGAGGGUAAUAGCUAAUGUGAAACAAUUAGGGUUGUAAAAUAAAAAAUAAAUCAAAAUAAUAAUAAUUAGGGUUGCAAAGCAACACCCUCUAUUAUUGAAGUUGAAGUUGUAAUUCGUAGGAUUAUUAUAUAAUUGUAAUAAUGCCUAGCUUUUUGUAACAAGAAGAGAAGUGUAUCAUCAUUUGGAGAGUUGUUAGAACAAUUAUAGUUAACAUUUGAGUUAAAGUACUAAAAUUAAUCUCUUAAAUUAUAAAGGUGUAAUUUGAAAUCAUUCGUUGAAGUUAGUAUAGAUUGAUUGAUAAGGAGUUGUUUAUAGUCUUUUGAGCAAAGAUAUUUUCAUUGUAAGCCCUUUCUUACUUAAUUAGCACUCCUUCGUUACUUUUUACUUAGUAGGACAUACGAAUUGAGGUUAGCUUAUCGCAAUCUAGUAUAUACAUUCAAUUAUUAGAAAAUAAAAUAAUAAUAAUAAAAUUAUUAUUAAAUUUAAGUUUUACUGUCUGGAUUUAUCAUGACACAUAUAAUGUCCACUUGGGCAAAUUUAUUAUUUAAAACACAAUAAUAAUAAUAUAUUCAAUGUAAUUUCAUAAUUGACAUUUGAGAAGAAAAAAUAUAUAUGCUAACCCUUGAUUAAAAAAUUAAAAUUAACCAACCAAAACUAAAAUAAAUAUUUAUAUAAGGUUGUGUAGUGAGAACAAUUAGAUAUACUGGUUUUAAUUCAACUAUGCAUUAAAAAGAACAAUAAGUUGCUGUGGUGUAGUGGUUAUCACGUUAGUCUUACACACUAAAGGUCCCCAGUUCGAUCCUGGGCAGCAACAUAUAUGUAAAAAGUUUUACUUUUUUUUUGAUAUGUCGACGAAAACGUGUUUAUCCUUUUAUUUGUCGGCGGCAUGUCGACGAAAACGUGUUUCUCCUCUUUAUUGUUUUCACCAUGACCUCUUCACUACUAUAUUUACAUUACAUGCUUGUUCUAUCGGAAACAACUCUACCUUCACAAGGUAGGGUAAGACUGCAUAAACGUCACCCUCCCCAUAGUACGUAAAAAGAAUAUGAGACAGCUGCAGGAUCAUGGAAAGAUCAAAUUUUCUCUUUAUUUCAUUAUUGCAAUUACUCCAUGUCAAAAUCCAAAUACAUUCUAUAGGCAUUUCUAUCUGAAGAGUAAUAGCCCUCCACAAGAGUAUCCACUUGGAAACCGAGUUUCUUGUAUAGCUGCAUAGCUGCAGUCCUUGUAGGAUCUACAUGAAGCGAUAUCCGAUGAACGUUUCUUGUUCUGCAUUUCUGCACUGCUGCCUCCAGUAAUUUUUCUCCAUGGCCUUGUCCCCUGUAGUUCUCUUUCACUGAUGUAUUCCACAGGAACGAUGCAUCAGUAAACAAAACGAAAAAUUUUAAAUGACAAAAGAUAAGGAAUAUUGUAAAUGAAUCUCUUAACCCCUCGUUUUUCAACUUGUGUUGAUUCGCUCAGGCCAGAGAACAACAAGAGAGAGACAGGCAUAAACAUCACGAUGAAAAACUCAUAACCACAUAGAGAACGAAAGCAAUUCUUUUGAAAAAUAAACAUCACAUGAAAGAUGGUUCUCUCUUCUAUGUAAUGACGGACAAUGCUUCACUGACUUAUCGGGAAUAUUUACUAAUAAUAUCAAUUCACCUUCUGCCUUUCCCUAUUGCGAUUCAAUAUGAUGACGAUCAGAGAAAGAUAUAACUAAACUCUCCUGCAAAAUUCCUUUAAAACAACUGCUAGCUAUUUCAAGGUUCGUUGUUUCCGCAAUAGUAACAUAUCAGCUUUGCUCGGAGGGGAAAACUACAUAACACCACUCUAAUUUAGAAAUGCUGCACUUUCAUCCAAUCCAGCUACAGAGAAAAACGUUGAAAGAGCAGAAGCAAUUUCUCCUACCUCUCUAUUCAUAGAGAUCAAAACUUGUUCGGCAAAUGCAUUCAUGCAUAUUCUUCUUUAAAAGACAACUUUUUGUAGAUGAACUGCUCCCAAAUAAGUAUUUUUAUCUUUUGAAUGCUCAAGUUAUAGUCACAUUCACACUCUUGACUGCUCUUUUUCCUACGAAAACAUUAUCAAAGAGUCACAUUUGAGUUCCUCACGAUUAUAACCUCGUAUAUUAAAUCAAAUUGGUCCUAGUCACAUUCGGAAAUAGUCUCUCUACUUUCACAACUAGGGAUAAGACCGCGUACAGACUAACCUCUCCAAACCCCACUUGUCUACGCGGUCCUAGUCACACUCACAUUGGGAAAUUGUCUCUCUACUUUCACAGGUAGGGAUAAGACUGCGUACACACUACCCUCUCCAGACCCCACUUGUCUACACAGUCCUAGUCACACUCACAUUGGGAAAUAGUCUCUCUACUUUCACAGGUAGGGAUAAGACUGCGUACACACUACCCUCUCCAGACCUUACUUGUCUACGCAGUCCUAAUCACACUCACAUUGGGAAAUAGUCUCUCUACUUUCACAGGUAGGGAUGGAUAAGACUGCCUACACACUAUCCUCUCUCCAAACCCGACUUAUCUACACAGAGUAUGUUGUUGUUCCAAUAAACAAUAUUAGAUAUCAGCUUAGACUUCAAUCCAAGAAUACAACUACAAUAAUCAGAAUAAAUUCAAGAAUAAGACCAAUUAUUAAAAGGAAAAUCAAAGCAAAACAGAAAAUUAUGAAAAGGGUAUUUUUUGUUCAGACCUGCUAAUUUAGUGAUACAAGCAGAGAGUGAAGAAGGCCAAGAAUACAUAACAUAACCAGCAAUAUCUUCACCUAAUUGAGUGUAGAGUAACCCAGAAUUCUUCUUUUUCAGUUCCUCAUCAAAAGAUCGAGCUAAAGAUUCAUGUUUGGGGAAAAUCUUCUUCUCUAUUCUCACUAUAUCGUCAACUACCUUAACCCAAUUUGCUGAAUUUCUCUGCAAUUCAACUAUCUCUGCCAUUUCUUCGUUUUCAUAUUUCUCUGUUUUUGCUGCUGUAUUUAGGUUAACAAGAAUCUACUGGGGUCAUUAUUGGAAAGAAAAAUAGUUCCUCUGUUAUUUUAAAAGUUUUUACUUUAUUUUUUUUAACUAUAAAGUUCUUAUAUAUUUUUAACGUUUUAAUUAUUAGAAACUAUUAUGUACAUUGUUUUUAUUUUACAUGGUUUAUUAAUAUAUAUAGUAUAAAUUUGCAUUCAUGUAUUAAUUAACUUAUCAAUUAAUCAAUAGUAAAAAUUCUCUCUGAUUUUCUGAUUAUUUAUGGCCAGUUUUUUUUUGUAUGUGUGCGUCUCUAAGCUCGUAAGUGAAAGUAAAUCAAUUUUUUAAUUGUUAAUUUAUGCCCAACUUCUUUAUGUAUGUGUGCGUUUCUAAGCUCGUAAGUGAAAGUAAAUCGAGUCUCACGAUAUCAUCUGUCUUUGUCAUACUCGUCUGGUUGAACAAGGACUAAUACUAGUUGUUGAGCAAAAUUAAUUUAUAAAUACUCUUAACAAGGUGUGAUAUUAUUUGUUUUGGGUAAAGUCUUUGUAAGGCUUCACACUAUUAAGAGAUUCUACACUUUAUAUGUAAUUUUUCAAUCUUUUCAGCUAUCAAUGUGGGAUUUUAUUUACCCAACUAACAAUUUUGUUAUUUGUUCUUACAUUUUGGUGUUAGCUUUGGCCUUUGUGUACUCCAUCAUAGGUUGAGGAAAGGGAUCAUAUAUAAUUGGAAAAAUACAAAUCAGAAUGGUAUUUUUGUUAGUAAUCCAAGGGAUUGGUUUACUUUUGGACAUGUUAUUUUUUUGGUUCUACUUAAGGUUAGUAAGGUCAUUUCAAUAUUAUUUUCUUCCUACUUCAAUCAACAGCAACUUCUAUUUUUCCUUAUAUGACAACGCAAUUCAAUCUAGCUACGUUGUUAUGUUAACCAACCCCAAAAACAGGACACCAUAUCUAGAUUGAUAAGCUUAAGUAAGUUUCGAUAUGACUCAUUUAUACUUCAAUUAAUCUAAAGUAAAACUUAUCCAUAUGUAUGAUCCAGCCAAAUUAUUUUAUCAAUAUAAUCGAAAUAUUAAAAACAUAUUUAGUAAUUAUGGAUAUCAUAGGUAUAGAUAUGUAUAUAUAUUAUACUAAAAUAUACAAAACCUAUACAAUUAUGACUAUUUGUAAAUUAGAUUAAUCAAAGACAUUGAACUGUAAUUAUUCCAAUCUAUACUUUAAACCCUUUUCACUUCAAAGCACUAUCCCAAUUCUAAACAGUUUGAGACAUGGUAAAAAAAAAUAAUUGAUUUUUUUUUUUUUAAGAUGGGGUGUAGUUAGGUGGAAUUUUCUUGGUUUUGUUCAAAUAAGUCUGCCUUUUGAAGCAUAGGCAUACUUGUUUCAUCUUUAUAUAUAUAUAUAUAAUAAUGAUGUUCUGGAUAACUUUUACACCUUAACUUGAUUAAUUAUGUGAGAUAUCUGUCAUUUUUCAUAGCAAUAUUAUAUUUAACUAUAUUCGCCCAAACUAAAACAGGUAGAAAUAACAUUUGAAUCUGUCAAACUGCAAUAAUGAAUUAUAUAUGGUGGAAGAUUCUUUGGGGCCCAACUGGCCCCACAGCUAAUAUUUUAACGGACGUCCAUGAAAAGUUUUAACAAAAUCACGUCGAAAUUCUAGAUCACCAAAAAUUCAUGGACUAUAUAGCACACGAUAAUCAGCAAAAUGGGGGGGGGGGUUACUUGCUCAAGGGCUCGUCUGACCUUGAAAAUGGGCUGGUUUGCCCGUGGGGACCAAUUGGCUCUAUAACUAAGGUCUUAACGGACGUCCAUGAAAAGUUAUUGCAAAAAAUCACGUUGGAGUUCCAUAUCACCAAAAAUCCAUGGACUAUAGCACAUGAAAAUUGGCAAAAUAAAGGGUUUACCUACUCUGGGCUCGUUUGACCUUGAAAAUGGGUUGGUUUGCCCGUGGGAACCAGCCGGCUCCAUAGCUAAGGUUUUAACGGAAAACCAUGAAAUUUUUUGGCAAAAGUCACGUCGGAAUUGCGGAUCACCAAAAAUCCAUGGACUAUAGUACACGAAAAUCGGCAAAAUGGGGGGGUUUACCUACUCUGGGGAUUGUUUGACCUUGAAAAUUUCCCGAUUUGCCCGUGUGGACCAACUGGCACCACAGCUAAGGUUUUAAUGGACGACCAUGAAAUUUUUUGGCAAAAGUCACGUCGGAAUUGCGGAUCACCAAAAGUUCAUGGACUAUAGUACACGAAAAUUGACAAAAUAGGGGGUUUACCUACUCUGGGGAUCGUUUGACCUUGAAAAUUGUCCGGUUUGCCCGUGUGGACCAACUGGCUCUAUAGCUAAGGUCUUAACGGACGUAUACAGAAAAUUUUGGCAAAAAUCACGUCAAAAUUUCGGAUCACCAAAAAUGCAUGGUCUAUAACACACGAAAAUCGGUAAAAUGAGGGUUUACCUGCUCUGGGGAUCAUUUGACCUUGAAAAUGGGUCGGUUUACUCGUGGGGACCAACUGGCUCUAUGCUAAGGUCUUAACGGACGUCUAUGAAAUUUUUUAGCAAAAAUCACGUCGAAAUUUCGGAUCACCAAAAUCCUAUGGACUAUAGCACACAAAAAUCGGCAAAAUAGGGGGUUUACCUGCUCUAGGCUCGUUUGACCUUGAAAAUGGGCCGAUUUUCCCGUGGGGACCAACUGGCUCCAUAGCUAAGGACUUCACGGACGUCCUUGACAAAUUUUGGCAAAAAUCACGUCGGAAUUCCGUAUCACCAAAAAUUUACGGACCAUAGCACACGAAAAUAGGCAAAAUGGGGGGUUUACCUGCUCUGGGCUCAUUUGACCUUGAAAAUGGGCCGGUUUGCUCGUGGGGACCAACUGGCUGCAUAGCUAAGGUCUUAACGGAUGUCCAUGAAAAUUUUUGGUAAAAAUCACGUAGGAAUUCCGGAUCACAAAAAAUCCAUGGAUUAUAGCACAUGAAAAUCGGCAAAAUGGGGGGUUUUACCUGCUCUGGGGUUCAUUUAACCUUGAAAAUGGGCCAAUUUUCCCGUGGGGACCAACUGGCUCUAUAGGUAAGGCUUAAUGGACGUCCAUGAAUUUUUUUUGUAAAAAUCAUGUCAAAAUUCUGUAUCUCCAAAAAUCCAUGGACUAUAGCACACAAAAAUCAGCAAAAUGGGCGGUUUACCUGCUCUGGGAAUCGUUUGAACUUGAAAAUGGGCCGGUUUACCCAUGGGGAUCAACUGUCUUCAUAGCUAAGGUCUUAACGGACGUCUUUAAAAAUUUUGGCAAAAUUACGUCGAAAUUCCAGAUCAUCAAAAAUCCAUGGAUUAUAGCACAAGAAAAUGGGUAAAAUGGGUUGGUUUGCCCGUGGGGACCAACUGGCUCCAUAGCUAAGGUCUUAACGGACGUCCAUGAAAUUUUUUAGAAAAAAUCAUGUCGAAAUUCUGGAUCACCAAAAAUUGAUGGACUAGCACACAAAAAUUGGCAAAAUGGGGGGUUUACCUACUCUGGGGAUCGUUUGACCUUGUAACUGGGCCAAUUUUCCUGUGGGACCAACUGGCUCCAUAACUAAGGUCUUAACGGACGUCCAUGGAAAUUUUUGGAAAAAAUCACAUCAGAAUUCCGGAUCACCAAAAAUUCAUGGAUUAUAGCUCACGAAAAUUGGCAAAAUGGGGGGUUUACCUGCUCUUGGGCUCAUUUGACGUUGAAAAUGAGCCGGUUUGCUCGUGGGGACCAACUGGCUCCAUAGCUAAGGUCUUAACGGACGUCCAUAAAUUUUUUUGGCAAAAAUCACGUCGGAAUUCCGGAUCACAUUCAUGACUAUUUGUAAAUUAGAUUGAUCAAAGACAUUGAACUGUAAUUAUUCCAAUCUAUUCUUUAAACCUUUUUCACUUCAAAGUACUAUCCCAAUUCUAAACAGGUUGAGACCUAGUAAAAAAAAUGAUUUUUUUUAAAGAUGGGGUGUAGUUAGGUGGAAUUUUCUUGGUUUUGUUCAAAUAAGUCUGCCUUUUGAAGCAUCGGCUAUUCUUGUUUCAUCUUUAUUUUAUUUUUCAUAAUAAUGGUGUUCUGGAUAACUUUCACACCUUGACUUGAUUAAUUAUGUGAGAUAUUUAUCUGAUCAUUUUUCAUCAGCAAUAUUUAACUAUAUUCGCCUAAACUAAAACAGGUAGAAAUAACAUUUGAAUCUGUCAAACUUCAAUAAUGAAUUAUAUAUGGUAGAAGAUUCUUUGGGGCCAUUAUGCAAUGAUAGUGGAACAUGAGAAUAUUUUUAUGAUUGGUAAAAAUAUCAUGGGAAUGGCGAAAAACUAGCUUUGAUAAGAAGAAUAUGAUGCUUUAUAACAUUAUCAAGGGAACAAAAGUCAUUUUUAUAUAUUUGAAGAAAAGAAAGUUUUCACAUUACAAUAAUUGGGAUGCCUAUAAAUGUGUGGUUCAAAAUGAUAGUGACAAGCCACAUAUUAUAUUGAAGCAUUAAUUAAUCAUAGUAAAGAAAGUUCAAUGUUAUUAUUAGGGGCAAUUUGUGCAAAGUAGAUAUGACCUAAGUUGCUUGAACGCAAAGGUAAUGUUAUAAUGUUUGUGAAAAAUUGAUAGAUCAUUAAAUCAUUAAACCUAUUACCUAUAUAAGAUUUAGUGCUAAUUACAAUCAUUUCUAUGUAGUGUAAGUGAUGUUGGAUUAGGUGGAUAUCAACUUAUCAAAGUGGACACCAAAUUUUUUAAAUUGCUUUCUCUAGUGUUACACUAACUUUAAUAAGUGGAAAUCCUUAGACAAUUGUUGAAGAUAUCUAUCAUAUUUGAUCAAAUAAAACAUAAGUUAUCAAUCAUAGAAUCAGAUAUAUACCUUUAAAUUCACGGGAGCGUUUGACUAUGUUUCAUUGUGAAAUUUGAUUUUUCUUUUCAAGUAAAAAAAGAUAAAUUGAAAUUAGAUAUUGUUAUCAACUUGUAUACCACUAGUUCGAAAGGCAUAAUUUCUUAAACUGACAUUCAAACUUAGCCUCCACUUACAAGUAAUUACUUCAACUUUUUCAUUAUGUAUGCAUAUUUAGACACCUUAUAAACUCGACUCAUUUCCACUAUACCAGCUAAACUCUCCAACAUAUGUACAAAAUAAUCAUCUAGUCACCUUCAAAAUUUAUUCAUUACAUCAGCAUCGAAUGUAAUGAGAUACAGAGACGAGUUGAGUAUUUAGUAGACCGUUGAAACCAAGUUGAGGUGUCCAUACCUAUACAACAAUUAUCACAGGUGACAUGCUUUCAAAUAAUUUUGAAGUAUUAAAAAUAGAUGAUUUAUUAAAAUAAGAUAUUUCUCACCAUAAGCAAUUUUCAAUUCUUUCGCAUCAAACGCACCCAUAUUUAGAAUGUUCUAUACUAUCACUCUCCAUAGACGGCAGCCAUCAUGUCAAUCACCACCCACCAGCACUUGCUGUUGUUAACCUUGCCAAAUAGAUAAUGACAAGUUGGCAUAUGAGAUAGGUGGUCUACGCCUAUCAACAUGAGUUGUGGUGCAAUGGUGGAAUUGCUCAAUCCUUAAUUAGAAAUUUCAGGUUUGAGUCUUGGGUAUGAAGAAAAUUCUAUUGGAAGCGUCACUCUCAAAUGAGUCCUGUGCUGUACAAUUCAGAUUUAAUUAAGGCUUUAAUGCAGACUCCGAACAGUGAGCGUGAGAAAAAAAGAGAGGUGGCCUAUGCCUAUUUCUCUUUGAGAUGUUGAUGCCUUGAUUUUGAAUGUCUUGUUUUUCAAUCCUCGUGCUUAUAUCUUUGAAUAUUCAUUACUUUCUCUAGAUGUGAAAACUACUCUUUCCGUUUCAAUUUGAAUAUUCAGAUUAUAAAGAAUAUUUUUUUUAUAUUUUACGUAACUUUAAUCGAAUACCAUAUAAUUUAAAAGUUCGUUUUACUUUUUUAAAUCAAAAUCAAAUAAAUAAAUUAAAACGAAAGGAGUGAUGGCUGAGAUGUCCUGUAAAAUGGUAUUGGUCUCUUUAGUGGGAUUUUGUUAUUUUGAUUUUAAAUUGACACAAGAAGCUAAACAAGCUUUGUCUUCUUAAUGAUUGGAUUUGAUUCAUCUUUUCAAUUUCAAUUGAGUCUGUCUCAAAAUUCAUAAUGUUAACUAUAUAAAUCCAGGUGAUCAUAUAUUACAUUGAUCUAAGAUGUAUAUUCAUAUCAUAUAUCGCGUUACUAAAUAUAAUUACAUUGUAUGAACACGCGAAGAAGAUGAUCAGAACAAGAGAAGACAUGUUACUAAACAACAACAUAAGAAAAAACAAAUUCUGUUAAGUGAUUGAUCCGCGUGUGAUAGUUGUCUUCUUAACCUUGGACUAUUGCUUCCUGCUAGAUUAUAUGAACUUGAAUAUGUAUACAAAUUAGUAUUCAAUGAGUUCCCAAACAUUCGCGCAUAAAAAAUUUCCCCUGUUGUCGUUCCACCAGGACUUAGCAUAUGUUCUGUAUUUGUAUAAUUUCGAUGAUGAUCAUGAGAUUGUUGGUAUAAUGGAGGCAUAUUAUUAUUGGGUAUUACUCCGUGACUCCUACAUCUCGGAGUAGGAGGUCUUUGUGGUAUGACUAUACCAAGAUUCAGGGCCUUGCCUGCUGUUUUUGUAGCUUGACCGCGACCAUAGAGUGGAAUCAAUGUUUUUUGUGAGACUUCAGCUUUGCAAACAGGGCAUUUUGGCUGUUGAUUAUCGAUGUUCUCUGAUGAAAUGGUCUUAAUAUGUAUCCAUUUGUAGAUGCAAGGCCAACAAUAGAGGUGACCACAUAAUGUAACAACAGGAUCAUGUACAACAUCCAGGCAAAUGUUGCACUCGAAACCUCCAGGUGAAUUUUCUUCAAGUUUAUCAAGAUCAAUUGUCUUACAUUUUUCAAAGGAAAUAUCGCGUUGAUCAAAAAUAGUUUCUGGUAUUUGGUCUUGAAAAAUUUGUUCUAAGGCCAUAUUUGCUUCUUGGUAUUGAUUUAUUUUGGUAAUGGCAAGAUGAAUGGUUAGAAUUCAGGUUUUUAAUACAAUUAGAAGUGAGUAUUUAUAAGGACAAGAAUAGUAGUUUGCAAACAAUGAUUCUUAAGGUUGUCACUUGUCAACAUCACAUCAUGUUAAAGGGGCAUGGCCAAAAAGAAAAGGCCCUACACAUUAUUAAACAACACUAUAUCAUAUUACUCAACUCAGUUUUGAUUUAUGGGUACUGUUUGAUUUGAUAUAACAUUUAAUAAGAAAAUGAAAACUUUUAAAAUAUGUACUGUAUUAAAGAUAAAAAAUAAAUUUUAAAUUUUUAGAUCCUAGAAAUGAUAUUCUUUUUAUAUUAAGACUACAACAAAUGUCUUACAUAAAUUAAGACAGGUGAACUAUCAAACACAUCAUAAUUAAGUGAUUUAAUGAAGUCAAAAAUAAAUAUUAAUGGAUCAUGGUUAAGUGAGAGGAGUUUUGUGCAAACACGUCUUUUAUCUAUCUAUUUGAUUUAAACAAGCAUAAGUUUUAUCAUAUUAGAAAUAUGAUUAGGACCUUAUAUUAGGCCCCAUGAUAAGAAUCUUAAUCUAGAAAAUAACUUUUAGUCAAUAAAAAGUAGCACUAGUUGCGUACAAGGAGCUACCACUUGAUGACCUUCCACACAGCCACAUCCCAUAAGUUCAAUAGUUUUCACACUAUAAGAACUAGAUGUUUUUUUCCGAGUGAAUCAAUAAAAAUUUUAUGUUAUAAAACAUGAUUUUUUUCAUUUUGAUUUUAUUAAACUAAUUCACUAAGAAAACCCAUAACGAAACAUAAGUUCUCAUUGAAAUACUGGAAAUAGUCACUUGGAAAUUUAUGAGUUUUAGGAAAUUAUGCAUCAAAACUUAGAAAGACGCGGCUCAUAUAGAAAUUUGUUGUUAAAUCAUAAUAUAUACUUUUACAUCUGAAUAUCUUUAUUGAUUUGGUUAAAAUUAUAAUUAAAAAAAUUACAAUACAAUAUAUAUAGAUUCACAUAAAUUUAAUACUGUAAGUUCAAUUAUUAUUAUGAUAUAUUAAUCUAAAAUUAUUAUAGAAGCUUCUAAACUCUAAAUUCAGAUCCAACUAAGGAGUGAAUAUACAUAGUGGGGGUCUGGGGGAUGGGAGAAAACAUAUGGACGGUGUGACAAAUAAAUAAAAGAAAUACUCCGUCCAUUCCAUUUGACUUAGUAUUGUUUGACUUAAUACGAUGUAUAAGAGAAAAAAAAGAUUUUAGAAAAUUAUAGGCUAAAACAAUUUUUAUAUAUUUAUAUAAUUGUAAAUCAUUUCAUUAAUUAAGGGUAGAUGGAGAAUUUUAAGUUUAAUUAUUUUCAAUUACAAUAAAAUGACAUUUUUAAAGACGGAUUAUGAGAAUAGAGUGCCACGUAAUAUAAAACGAGAAAAUACUACUCCCUCCUUCCCAUUUUAUAUGUUACCUUUUUACUUUACAUUUACAUUAAGAAAUAAUGUAACUUUACCCUUCUACCCUUAUUUAAUGUUUUCUUAAGUUAACUUUAUAACUCCCUCCGUCCCAUUUUAUAUGUCAUCUCUUUCUAUAAAUAGUUGGACCACAAUACUUGUCAUUUUAUAAAAUUUAUGUAUAAAUUACCAUAUUUUACCUAUUAUAUCCUUGAUAGAGUAGUUAAUUAAUCUUGAAAAUAUAUUCAUCAUUUAUUAUAAAUUGACUUAAGAAAAUAUUAAAUAAGAAUAGAAAGAUAAAAUUACAUCAUUCUUCAACAAGUGGUAUCAGAGCCAGGUUAAUAAGAGCGAGGUAGUAACUCAAAAGAGAUCCUACAAGCUACCGUCGGAGGCUACAAAUCGCGAGGCACUAAUUAAUGAUGGAUUUUGCAAGCACUCUCAAUAGCGUUGAGANNNNNNNNNNNNNNNNNNNNNNNNNNNNNNNNNNNNNNNNNNNNNNNNNNNNNNNNNNNNNNNNNNNNNNNNNNNNNNNNNNNNNNNNNNNNNNNNNNNNNNNNNNNNNNNNNNNNNNNNNNNNNNNNNNNNNNNNNNNNNNNNNNNNNNNNNNNNNNNNNNNNNNNNNNNNNNNNNNNNNNNNNNNNNNNNNNNNNNNNNNNNNNNNNNNNNNNNNNNNNNNNNNNNNNNNNNNNNNNNNNNNNNNNNNNNNNNNNNNNNNNNNNNNNNNNNNNNNNNNNNNNNNNNNNNNNNNNNNNNNNNNNNNNNNNNNNNNNNNNNNNNNNNNNNNNNNNNNNNNNNNNNNNNNNNNNNNNNNNNNNNNNNNNNNNNNNNNNNNNNNNNNNNNNNNNNNNNNNNNNNNNNNNNNNNNNNNNNNNNNNNNNNNNNNNNNNNNNNNNNNNNNNNNNNNNNNNNNNNNNNNNNNNNNNNNNNNNNNNNNNNNNNNNNNNNNNNNNNNNNNNNNNNNNNNNNNNNNNNNNNNNNNNNNNNNNNNNNNNNNNNNNNNNNNNNNNNNNNNNNNNNNNNNNNNNNNNNNNNNNNNNNNNNNNNNNNNNNNNNNNNNNNNNNNNNNNNNNNNNNNNNNNNNNNNNNNNNNNNNNNNNNNNNNNNNNNNNNNNNNNNNNNNNNNNNNNNNNNNNNNNNNNNNNNNNNNNNNNNNNNNNNNNNNNNNNNNNNNNNNNNNNNNNNNNNNNNNNNNNNNNNNNNNNNNNNNNNNNNNNNNNNNNNNNNNNNNNNNNNNNNNNNNNNNNNNNNNNNNNNNNNNNNNNNNNNNNNNNNNNNNNNNNNNNNNNNNNNNNNNNNNNNNNNNNNNNNNNNNNNNNNNNNNNNNNNNNNNNNNNNNNNNNNNNNNNNNNNNNNNNNNNNNNNNNNNNNNNNNNNNNNNNNNNNNNNNNNNNNNNNNNNNNNNNNNNNNNNNNNNNNNNNNNNNNNNNNNNNNNNNNNNNNNNNNNNNNNNNNNNNNNNNNNNNNNNNNNNNNNNNNNNNNNNNNNNNNNNNNNNNNNNNNNNNNNNNNNNNNNNNNNNNNNNNNNNNNNNNNNNNNNNNNNNNNNNNNNNNNNNNNNNNNNNNNNNNNNNNNNNNNNNNNNNNNNNNNNNNNNNNNNNNNNNNNNNNNNNNNNNNNNNNNNNNNNNNNNNNNNNNNNNNNNNNNNNNNNNNNNNNNNNNNNNNNNNNNNNNNNNNNNNNNNNNNNNNNNNNNNNNNNNNNNNNNNNNNNNNNNNNNNNNNNNNNNNNNNNNNNNNNNNNNNNNNNNNNNNNNNNNNNNNNNNNNNNNNNNNNNNNNNNNNNNNNNNNNNNNNNNNNNNNNNNNNNNNNNNNNNNNNNNNNNNNNNNNNNNNNNNNNNNNNNNNNNNNNNNNNNNNNNNNNNNNNNNNNNNNNNNNNNNNNNNNNNNNNNNNNNNNNNNNNNNNNNNNNNNNNNNNNNNNNNNNNNNNNNNNNNNNNNNNNNNNNNNAAGCUUGAGAUAAGAGGAGACGUUAUAUGUGCUGGAUGUCAAUAUGGGAAAGCACAUCAACUUCCCUAUGGAGAAUCAAAGUAUCAAGCGNNNNNNNNNNNNNNNNNNNNNNNNNNNNNNNNNNNNNNNNNNNNNNNNNNNNNNNNNNNNNNNNNNNNNNNNGACCAGUGAAGCAGUCCUCCAUCAGCGGUUACCGUUACAUGGUAACAUUCAGUGAUGACUUCUCAAGGUACGUAUGGAUUUACUUCAUAAAAGAGAAAUUUGAAGUAUUUGAGAAGUUUAAAGAGUUUCAAUAUACUGUGGAGAAUGAUAUUGGAAGAAAAAUCAAAUGUCUCCGUACGGACAAUGGGGGAGAAUACACGUCACGAGAGUUCAAUGAAUAUCUUAAAGAGAAGUUGAUAAGACGACAACUAACUUGUCCAAAUACACCACAACAAAAUGGAGUGGCUGAAAGAAAAAAUAGACAUCUGGCGGAGAUAUGCAGAAGUAUGUUGCAUAGUAUGAAUGUACCAGCAAGGUUUUGGGCAGAAUGCAUGAAGACUGUUGUCCACAUCAUCAACAGGCUGCCGCAGGCAAGAUUGAGAUUUAUCUCACCAUUUGAGAAACUUAAAAAAAUAGAUUCCUACUGUAAGCCACUUUCGAGUUUUUGGUUGUGUGUGCUAUGUGUUCGUGCCAGAUCAUCUCCGCAACAAGUUUGAUAAGAAAGCUGUUCGUUGCAUCUUUGUUGGAUACGAUGAACAAAGAAAAGGAUGGAAGUGUUGUGACCCUACCACAAAUCGGACAUAUGUGUCAAGAAAUGUGGUAUUUGAUGAAGCAUCAUCUUGGUGGUCCAAAGAAGUCUCCCUGCCAGACUCAAUAGCUCUUGAGCAAAAGCUGCAAGAUAAGCUCAAUGAAGUAGAACAAGGGAACAAGAUAGACUCUAACCAGGAGGUAUCUCCACAAAAGGAAAAGAAAAGCUUACCACAAACUGGAGCUUGUGAAACACCAGAUGAGUUGCAAGAAGAAGUCCAAGAAGAGUCACAAUCGCAACUGAGGAGGUCUACACGACUGAAGCGUCCAAACAUCAAGUACAUAGAUGCAGCAUUAACCGAGGUGGUUAACAUCAAAGAGGCUGCUACCUUUGAAGAAGCUUCAAAGAGUAGGGAUCGGAAUAAUCCGACGAAGGUGGAGAUCCCCAAAGGGUAUGGACGUUAUGAUGCUUGCAAAGUUUCAGGAAUCGCUCACAAAAGACGCAAAGAAAAAAUUAAGUUGGUGUUGAGGGGGAGUGUUAAGAAUUCAUCACCAACUUAAUUCUUUACUUAAGAUAAAUCAAGAAAAAUCUAGAAUAUUCCGGAGGUGUAGAGAAUUGAAGGAAGAUCUCUAGAAUGAGUAUUCUAGAAAGAAUAGUCUAGAAAUGUUCUAGAAAGAAUAGUUCUAGAAAAAGAUAGUUAGGAAUAUUCUAGAAUAGAGUAGUAUGUAUCUCUCUAGAUUCUUCCAUCACCACCUAUAAAUAGAGGUGGUCCAUUUGAGUUGUAAGCAACCAAGCAAGAAACCAAGCAAGAAAUAAGAGAGCAAACAAGAGUGAGUGCUUAAGUCAAAUAGUGUUGCUGAAGCAAGCAACAAGUGUGAUCAAGAUUGUAAGACCGAAGCGGGUCCUUACUUUGAUAUAAUAAAAUUCAAGUUGUGAGAAAUCGAUUGUGCCCGUCGUCUCCAAAACAAUAAUAUUCAACACUCAUCCCCAAUUCUAGAGACUAAGUUUCUCAUCUUCAUUCUUAUCUCUAUCCUUACUUGUUAUUUCAAUAUUUCCAUUGUAAUUAGAUAGUUUGAUUAUUCCAAUUAGAAUAUUAAAGUUGUAAUAGUGUUCCAGUGCUCUUAUUAAUAGUGUGAGAAUUUUGGUUUGUUACAUCAGACGUUCUCUUUUCGAAUAAUUGAACGUCUCAUAUUAUUUGCUAAUGAAAAAUAUCAUGAGUAGGACCCAAAAAGAUAGUAGUACCAGAUAACAAACAAAAAAAUACUGUACAGUCUAAAAAUAAGUAUAGAAUAGCUUGAACUUUUGGGCCGUUGUAUAAAACACCCAGAAAGGGAGACAGGGGAGUCACUGGUCCACUUAAUUAUUACAUGUAGUAAAAUUAUUAGUUAUGUACUAGCAAUACUGGAAGUAUUAUUUCAUGGCAUAUAUUGGUGACUAAGAUAAGUGAUAAGCAUAAUAAAUAAUUUAGAAGUAGGUGGAUUCGAGUCAUCAACGAGCUCCCGGGGAGGAAUGAAAAAACUCUUAAUAAUAACUACAACAUGGAGUGGCCACUGCUAGCAUAGGUGAUAUCCUACGAAUAAUGAUGCCACUGCCUUCCGUCAUAUCCAAAUCCUCCGGUUUUAACACUUCUGGUAAUGCUAAAUUGAACUUGUGCACAAUCCUUGCUAAUGCUAGCUCAAUUACCACAAUAGCAAAACCAGUUCCUGGGCAGCCCCUUCUCCUAAAAUUGUCAACUUUUUAUAUUUUGGCUUACUUGGAAGCAAGUCUAUCCUCUCCUAUCCAAUCAAUUAGGGUGGCCAUUAAUCAGAUAUUAUUAGGCUAAAGAUAACAUAUUGCUCCCUCCGUUUUUAAUUAUUUAUCCAUUUUUUUAGUUAUUCCUAAUUACUUGUCUAUUUUGACAAAUCAAGAAAGAAUAAUUUUUUUUACCUAUUAUACCGUCAAUUUAUUACUUUGAAAAAAGUAGAACUUUUUGAAAAUCUUGAGUUUUUAAUUCAUCCACUUCAUAAUUAAUAUGGGUAAAAUGGUAAACUCACUAUUUCAAUAAUUGUUUUCUUAAUAAGUGUGCCAAUUUAAAAAUGGAUAAGUAAUUAGGGAUAGAGAAAGUAUAUCGAAAUAAUAUAAUCAGAUAUUAUGCUAAAGAUGAUUAACAAAACUUUGAACAAUUAUAAAUAAGAUAGCAAAAAAAUCGAUUAGAUAAUACUUAGCAAAUUAACACGGUUCAACGAUUAGUGAUGGAAUCUGAAUAUGAUUCGGGAUUUUCACUAUUAAUGAAAUUCAAAAGGCAUAAUACAUAAAUGUGCCCUUUAACUUGACUUCAUUUUAUGUUUAUGUCGUUCAAUUUUGGGUAUGCACAUAAACUUGUAUAAAGUUGAACAACUAGCCACAUGAGUUCUACACGACACAAUACAUUUAAGACACCACGUAGGAUAAAAAAUGACAUGUAGGAUACCAUAUAGGACAUGUGUGUCUGUUUCUUCAACUUUAUACAAAUUUAAAUGUCUACUUGUGCACACCCGAAGUUGAAGGGCAUAAAUGUGAUUUGAAGCCAAGUUAAAUGGUAUAUUUAUGUAUUAUGCCUAUUCAAAAUAUGAAUAAGUAAACAUACAAAUUAGCUGACUACAAUAAUACAAAGAUAAAAAAACAAUUUUAAUUAUAUGUAUAAAUAGUAUAAUUUUCCAUCAAAGGUGGUUCAUUUGAUUCCUCACUUCUUUCCCUCAUUUAAAACUAUGCAAUAUGAGACUUUCAUGUCACAUGGAAUCCUUCUCUUUUUUUUUUUUGGAAAUCUUAAUAGCUCAGUUAACUAACUGACUAUUUGAAUUCUCGAUUCCCCAUACUGUAAUCCUCUACCCCAAUUUUUUUCAUUACCUUCCUCACAUAUGUAUAAGACCGAAUCCAAAGAACUAAGAUGAGAGAAUUUUGGGAGAGCCGCCACUCCAACUACUGCCAUGUAUUAUCCAUACUAGAUCUGACCAUCUGUCCAUCCUACCCUCCUCUACGUUCUUGACAACCCAUUUUUGUCUUAGUCAAGUCUUUUAGUGGCACAUUUUGACCUUCUUUUCCAUUACUUAGAAAAAGUGAGCUAUUAUUCAGAUACAAAAUACUAUCAUUAUCGCCUAGAAAAUUAGACAUUCAACCCGUAAUCACAAUGAUCCAAUUACAAAAGCUCUGAACCCCCUAGGUCUAGACUGGCUCUGGCCCCUGGUUUUAUCACUUGACCUUCACAUGAGUAAACUCGUUGAUAUAGAGGAUUACAGUAUCGAUUUCUUUAAAAGAAAAAAACCUUAAUUUAUAAAAGUUCAAAAGAUUUUAAUUCAAUGUUUGUAAGUAAAAAAACAUAUUUCAUAAAACGGUUGCAAAUCACAUCGAAUAAGUUCCAUUGAUUGGUGUAUGGUUCUCAUAAGGGAAGUAACAGCAGCAUAAGCCAUAUAUCCAAAAAAUAGGACUAUCUCUCACUCUCAGUAUGAAAAUGGACAAAUUAAUUGCCACAAGUUAUGAAAAUGGCUAGUCCUCAGAACACCUUAACUACUUGCUGCAGAAUAAAAAAAAGACGCAAAAAAUGGAAAAUAAUAUGUUAGAUGUCCCAUAAUUAAGGAACAAGAGAACAUUAUAGUAAGAAUGAGCAUGCAGGUAUAAGAACUUACUCAUUAUUGCGGCAAGAAGCAACUUCUUUCUCAAAGUCAUCAUCAUCAUCAUCUUCAUCUGUUGUUACAGUAUCAAAUACCAAUUUCUCGAGCUGAUAUAAGUAGCGAAAAUCAUACAGGUCCUUGUGAUUGCGAAAGUCCUCUGGGACGCCAAAUACUUUCAACUUCUUUAAAUUGGGAAAUAGUCUAAAAAAAGACCCUGUACAAUACCAAGGAUUCAAUUGAUUGAGGCAUUGCAAACUUUUCAAAACCAAUCUGUUCUCUGUAGGCUCAUGACUCUGCAAGUAAUUCCAGCCCAUACACAGCUUCCUCAAUUGUGGCAUUGUCAAAAUUUCCGAUGGUAAUAUGAAAGGAUAAGCACAAUCACGAAACGGAAAGUUAAACUUAAAAGUUUGUAGAUAGCAUAGGCUUGAUAUCGAUAGAGGAAUGUCUAUUAUUGAUGAGGGAACAGCUUUUAACGAUCCUCGAUACUGCUUUAAGCAAGGAUAAAAACACAAAGAUAGGUAUCUCAAAUGAAUUAGAGAAAGUACUCCACUGGGAAAAAUUGGGUAUAUAUUCAAACCAAGAUCUAGUACUCUUACUAGCUUGAAAGACAAUUCCAGUGUGAAGCAUUUCAAUCCACCCAACAUGAUAAUAGAAUGAGCCUCACUGUUACGACACCAAGCCAAUUCUUCCUUCUUAUAGAUACUGAUCCGACUUCGACUCUUAAAGGAACACUGCAUGGAUUGUGCACAUGAAUUUUGAUCACUCUUUCCUCUGAUAACAUUCACAAAAUUCAUGUUUCGAGCUUCCCUCAAACAGAGUUCACGGAUCACAUCAUGCAUUCCACAUCUCUCUAUUUCCCCAUCAAAACUCAAAUUGUGGAUAGAAAUUAGACUUCUAUCUACAAGUUCGUUUAUACAUGUUUCUGCCACCUCUUCUAUGCUUUUUCCUUCUUCUUCAUUCAAAAACCCCUCUACGGCCCAUAACUCAACAAGUGCAUUUACAUAAAUCCGUUCAUCCUCUGCGAAAAUUGCAAAAUACAGAAAACACGGUUUUAGGUGAGAAGGCAAGUGAUGGUAACUCAAAGCCAACACUCUCAUGCAUUUUGCUUCAAGAUCUCUGCUUACCACCGAACUUACAUUCUCCGCAACAUUUUGCCACUCAUCCAAUGUUUUACUGAUUUUGGAGAGAAGUCCAGCAAUCAAAGUAAUUUCUAGAGGUAACCCUCCACAUUUUAAUGCAAUUUGUUUCCCAAUAUUUUCAAAUUCAGGAGAAUAAGAACCUUCUUUUUCAAAGAUCUUUUUGUGUAGUAAAUUCCAACUUUCGUCAAAAUUCAUGAGGCGCAUNNNNNNNNNNNNNNNNNNNNNNNNNNNNNNNNNNNNNNNNNNNNNNNNNNNNNNNNNNNNNNNNNNNNNNNNNNNNNNNNNNNNNNNNNNNNNNNNNNNNNNNNNNNNNNNNNNNNNNNNNNNNNNNNNNNNNNNNNNNNNNNNNNNNNNNNNNNNNNNNNNNNNNNNNNNNNNNNNNNNNNNNNNNNNNNNNNNNNNNNNNNNNNNNNNNNNNNNNNNNNNNNNNNNNNNNNNNNNNNNNNNNNNNNNNNNNNNNNNNNNNNNNNNNNNNNNNNNNNNNNNNNNNNNNNNNNNNNNNNNNNNNNNNNNNNNNNNNNNNNNNNNNNCAUGUUCAGGUAAACUGACAAGUGAGCUAGUUUGUGGUUUUAGAUCUUUCAUGCUGUCCGAUGCUGCCAUCCACUGUUUCACGGUGGAAUCAAUGUAUUCUAGUGCUUGUUCCAAGACGAAAAAAAUCUCCCACAUAGCCCUGCUUCUUUCCUCCAAAUUCUGUGCUAAAAAAACAUUUCUUGAUUCCGAGUCAACCAUAUCUUCUGUUGUGUAUGCUACCUCUGCGAUUUCAACUUCCAAGAUUGUUAACCCCUCAUGAUCGCCCAUUAUAUUGCAGGAUUUCUCCAGAAUAGCUCUCAAAGAUUUGAGCUUUUCAUAAAACGGUUGCAAAUCACAUCCAGUAAGUUCCAUUGAUUGAUGUAUGGUUCUCAUAAGGGAAGUAACAGCAGCAUAAGCCAUAUAUCCAAAAAAUAGAAAUAUCUCUCAGUAUGAAAAUGGACAAAUUGCCACAAGUUAUGUAAUUUUUCAGUUUUUAAGAAAACAGAAAAUGCAAAGUUCUUUCUUUUACUAGCUAUUUCCAUCACAUUUCCAGCUAGGUCCACCAACCUUAUCAUCAUGUAGACAAAAGCAGAGACCAAAGUUAAAAAAAAGUAGAAAAAUUUGUGAUCAUUCAUUAUUAGACCGUACACAUAUCUAUUCAUGAAUAUAAGUAUGCUUCUUACAUACAAGAGAUUGAUGAUUUUAAUUACAUUGAAAGCAACUUAGUAGAAUUUUCCAAAUCAAAGAGAGAAAUAUUAAGAUCCAAGUAGGAAUUUCUCUAUUCCUAGUUCGAUUCAAUUAACCAAGCAUAAAUAUCUCUUAAUAUACAUGAGAAGUUUAGACUCUAAAAGUCAAAUCAACAAAAUAUUUAUGGGCUAACACAUGAAAAACUAUUGAGAAAAUCGCCUAAUUUCUGUAAAUUGGCCCUUAAAUCUCCAAAAUGAACUCUAAAAAUUGUCAGACUGUACGUAUUGCUCCCCAACUCCCUACUGAGGGUUCUGUAAAGAUUUCGAUUAGAAUUCGUCCGUAAGUCAUAUCACCAAUAUAUUAAUGACUAACACACACGAAAAACUGAGAAAAUUGUCUAAUUUCUUGAAAUUGGCCCCUAAAUGCCUAAAAUGGACUCUAAAAGUUGUGAGACUGUACGUACUGCUCCCCCGACUCCCUACAGAGGGUUUCGUAAAUGUGUAGCAAAGAAAUCGUCUGGAAGUCAUAUCACUAUAAUAUUAAUGGGCUAACACACACAAACCACUGAGAAAGUCGCGUAUUCCUGUAAAUUGGCCCCUAAAUGCCCAAAAUGAACUCUAAAAUUGUGAGACUAUGUACUGCUCCACUAACUCCCUAUGGAGGGUUCCGUAAAGAUUUCACAAAGAAAUUAUUCGGAAGACAUAUCACCAAAAUAUUUAUGGGCUAAUACAUUUUUAUUUGUCCAUUUGAUUUGACAUAUCUUUCAAGUACUUUGAUCUGGUUAUACUUUUUUUUUAUUGCUAAAAAUAAAUAUCCACUUUUACUUGUUCAUUCUACAAAACAAAGACAAUAUUUUAUUGCUUGAUUCAGAUAUAAAAUUUGAGUAGGCUAAUUUACAAACCAUCUGUAGUCAUCCUGCCCCUAUGCUAUAACAUUUGAAAGAAAGAGGUCAUCAUCAUCAUAUUCAUCAUCGUUGUCAUCUUCAUCAUCAUCUUCAUCAUCGUUGUCAUCUUCAUCAUCAUCUUCAUCUUCUUCAUCAUUAUCAUCAUCAUCAUCAUGAUCGUCAUCGUCACUUGUUUCCUCACUGUUGAAAAAGCCAGCAACAAAAGAUGAAAAAUGAAAUGUUAUGCAAGUAUAACAAGUUACACAAUUACUAUAUUGGAAGGAUUUAAAUCAUAUACAAUGACAACGUAUGAACUUUUACACUAUAGGUGCCAUUUAACUGCUUAUUAAAGCAAUUUAUAAUUAUUUUAUUACUAGUUCUGGACACGUGCUUUGCAUGUGUAUAUUACACGUUUAGUCACGAUUGUAAGAGGGUGUACACCAGGAUCAUUCGAAGAGCAAAGUCGUGUGAGCCUUACAGAUAUUCUUGACGUACUCCUAUUAAAAUCUGUAUCAUAUUCGUAACUUUUUGAAUGAGGUUCACCUUUUUCCUCAUUGUACUUUGUACAUGGAUGUUGUCCAUCACAAUAUCCCCUUUUUCAAAUUUCAUAGCUGAACUACUAGGUGUACGAGUUCCUACCAGAACUACUACCAACUAUUUAUCAAAACACACAUCAACUAUAUAUGAGUUGUUCCCUUUUACUAGUGGUGACAAAUAGGUGGAUUUGGACGGGACUGAAAAUGGAUUGAGCAACAUGGUCGUAACUCACUUAAUCUCUUAAAGCCAGAAAACUUUAAAGAGUUAAUUGAAAUAAACUUAAUGACUAUCCUACUUGAAGUAUCACCGUCGUUCAGGUAAGAAAAAGGAAGUAUAUCAAGGAAGAAGAUGUCUUACAAAGCCUGAUGGAUAUGGACCUCGAUAGAACCUCCAUAGUUGUCUUGAAUGUCCUGUUGAAUCUGCUUUGCGGAAUUCCCAACAGAUUCUGGGCAGUUUCUUAUAUAGAUUAGAGCAAGUGUGGUUAUAUCUGCAAAAUCUUGAGGGAUUGAGUCCAAAAACCUGCAACUAUCAAGAAAUAGUCGUUCAAGGCACGGAAAGUGAUCACAACUAGCUCUCCAGUACUGAAUAUGUGAUCUUUUAAGUAACAAGAACUUCAAAAAAGGAAACCCUUCCUCAGCUACUUCCCACUCCCUGCCUCUGCAUACACCCUGUGUUAGUUCAAGAAGUUCAAGUUUGGGCAAUUUUCCGACAACAAUGCUUAAAUCCUUCCAUGACAAGAAGAAAUUUCCUGUAAAAGUUAAAUUCUUAAGGUUUCGUGGAAAAGCAUCUGGAGGAGGUAAGAUCAAAGAUGGAACAACUUCUACAACAAGUGGAUUCCUUGUCUGAAAACACAUUCUCCUCUCCAAAAAGUAAGCAUUAUUUUGAGGAGGAAGACAAAAUGCUAGUUCCUCGAGAUGAUCUAAGUAGCGAAAAUCAUAGAGGUCUUUGUGACUAUGGAAGUCUUGUGGGAUGCCACGUACUUGCAACUCCUUUAAAUUGGGAAAUAGUCUAAAGAAAGAUGCAGUACAAUAGCUAGGAUUCCAUCCAAACAGAGAAUGUAAAUUUUUCAUAACCAAACUUUUCUCUGUAAGCUCAUGAUAUCGCAAGUAAUUCCGAUCCAAAUGAAGGUGCCUCAACUGUGGCAUUGUCAAAAUAUCUGAUGGUAAUAUCAAAGCAUGUUUACGAAGAUUAAUGACGAGUGGAAGGUAAAGUACCAAACUUUGCAGAUAGCAUAGGUUUGAUAUGGAUGUAGGAAUGUCUACUCUUGAUGAGAGAACAUCUUCUUCGGAUCCUAGAUAUUGCUCAACGUUAGGAUAAAUACGCAAAGCUAGGUGUCUUAAGUGAAUCAAAUAAAGUAUUUCACGGGGAAAAGUUAGACAGAUAUUAUCAGCAAGAUCUAGAACUCUUACUAGCUUGAACGGCAAGUACUCCCUCAUGCAACAUCGGAAUCUACCAAAUAAGAUAACAGAAUGAGCUUCACUGUUAAGGCACCUAACAUACUCUUUCUUAUUAUGGAUGCUGAUUCGACUUCGACUCUUAGACAAACACUGCAUGGAUUUCACAUAUGAAUUUUGAUCAUUCUUUCUUCUGAGAACAUUCACAAAAUUCAUGUUACGAGCUUCCAUCAAACAGAGUUCACGAGUCAUAUCAUGAAUUCCACAACACUUAAUUUUUCCAUCAAAAGUAGUACUUUUAAUGGAAAUUAAACUUCUAUCAAUAAGAUCUUGUAGGUACUUUUCUGCCACUUCUUCUAUGCUUUUCAUCUCUUCUACCUUCAAAAAUCCCUCUGUUUCCCACAAUAUCAUAAGUUUAUUGACAAAAAUCAGUUUAUCCUCUGGGAAGAUUGCGAAAUAUAAAAAGCAUGGUUUUAGGUGGUGAGGCAAGUAAUGGUAACUCAUUGCCAACACCCUCAUGCAUUGGACACCAACAUCUGUGCUUACUGCUGAACUUACAUUUUCAGCAACACUUUGCCACUCACUCAAUGCUUUGUCAAUUUUAGUGAGAAGUCCCGCGAUCACAACAAUUGCUAGAGGCAAUCCUCCGCAUUUCAAUGCAAUUUGCUUUCCAAGUUGUUCAUAUUCAGGGGAGAAAGAGUCUUUCGUAAAGACUUUUUCAUAUAAUAAAUUCCAACUUUCGUCAAAAUUCAUGAGGCGCAUGUGAUGAGGAAGCUUACCUGAGCUAGCAUAUUCAGCCACUUCCACAUUCCGAGUAGUCAAGAGUAUUCGGCUUCCAUUAUGAAAGUCUGGGAAACAUAUUUGUAUAUCAUCCCAAGCUUUUGUAGUCCAUAUGUCAUCAAUGACUACCAAAUAUCUCUUGCCUUUUAGAAGCUUUUGCAGUCGAUCUGCUAGUUGCCCGUCAUGUAGCUGAUCAUAAGGUUUAUCACUUAUACAAGAAAGAAGGUCUAGGAAAACAUUUCUCACACAAUACUCUUGUGAAACAGUAGCUUUUGCACGUAUGUCAAAGCGAUACAUCAUGCAUGGAUCGUUGUAGAGUUUUGUUGCCAAAGUUGUCUUGCCAAUGCCUCCCAUACCUACAAUUGAUACAACUUCUAGUUCUCUUUCUCCUCUAGCAAGUUGAUCCAGCAUCAUCUUGAAUUCAUUUUCAUAGCCAACCAUUAUAACCUCGGACCGCUCAACAGCAAGUUCAGGUAUCUUGGAUAGACAGAAAUUUUGUGCUUUGAAAUCUUUAAUGUUGUUGUACCAGUCCCAUAUUGCCAACCACUGCAUCAUGAAGGAAUCAAUACAUUCUACCUCUUGUUCCAAGGAACAACAGAGUUCCCAGAAAGCUUUGCUUCGUGUAAUUACAGUUUCUGCAGAAGAAACUUUUCUUGAUUUCGAAUCAACCAUGUCUUCUGCUUUGAAUGCUACCUCCGUGAUUUCAACUUCCAAGGUUGUUAACCCCUCAUGAUCGCCCGUUAUAUUGCAGGAUUUCUCUAGAAUAGCUCUCAAAGAUUCGAGCUUUUCAUAAAACGGUUGCAAAUCACAUCCAUUAAGUUCCAUUGAUUGGUGUAUGGUUCUCAUAAGGGAAGUAACAGCAGCAUAAGCCAUAUAUCCAAAAAAUAGGAAUCUCUCACUCUCAGUAUGAAAAUGGACAAAUUAAUUGCCACAAGUUAUGUAAUCUUUCUUUUACUAACUAUUUCCAUCACAUUUCUAGCUAGGUCCACUAACAGGAUAAAGUAGAAAGAUGUGAGGUCACUAACCUUAUCAUCAUGAAGACAAAAGAAGAGACCAAAGUUAAAAAAAAAAAAAGACGAAAAAGUAGAAAAAAUUGUGAUCAUUCAUUAUUAGACCCUACACUAAUCUCUUCAGAAAAAUAAAAUAAAAUUUUAGUUUAAAUAAAGGAAUUCAAGCUGUAUAUUGAUAACGUCCAAUUCAAAUUCAAGUGUAGUACGGUCUAGCAAUAAUAAACUCAACAAAAGUUGGAGUCGAGGAGUACGCUUGUGUCAAGGUGACAGAGAGUGUGCGAAUUUGCUAACAAACAAAAGGUCUUUCUUUUAGCUAGGUCCAUAAUCCAUGUAGUGCUCUAUACUCUCUAGUCUCUAUCAACCAGCUCAAGUUUAAGGGUGUGUUUGGUAUGGAGGAAACAUUUUCUCUAGAAUAGGGAGAGAUUUGUGCAUAAACAAGGAAGAAUCUCUCAGUAUAACAGUGAAUGGGUAUUUUUUUAAGAUUUGCUUCUUUUGUGUAUGACUUUUGUAAGAAACAUUCUGGUAAAAGUUAAAAAAAAUGAUCUUGUGGAAUAGCCACAGUGAAUUCCUUAAUAUUCGAGUAGAAAAAGCCAGAGAGGAUAACAUUGCUAUUUGUACACUUAUCGUGACACGAGUAGUCUCUUAAAUAUUACACCUUUCUACUGAUGUUGCUGAUGCCACUGGAUUUAGCCUUCCGUCUUCCUUUGCAAGGUAGAUCGAGGACUCCCAAGAAAGGAAACACAAGUUACUGGAGUCUGUUCUGGCCUAUACAGUAUGUAUGUACAUAAAAUUUGGAGUAUCUAAAAACCACUGACAAAUGGCUAUACGAAAGAUCAUAUACAAUUAAAUUACAAGCCAUUUGCAAUCAUCCUGCCCCUUUAUGCAGAAUCUUUUCAAAGAAAAUGAAAACGAACAAAACAAACACUCACACAUUUGGCUUCUGAUUUGACAUUUAUUUCAGAGAACUGGCUAGUCGCUGCAGGAAAAAAAAAGACGCAAAAAAUGGAAAAUAAUAUGUUAGAUGUCCCAUAAUUAAGGAACAAGAGAACAUUAUAGCAAGAAUGAGCAUGCAGGUAUAAGAACUUACACAUUAUUGCGGCAAGAAGCAACUUCUUUCUCAAAGUCAUCAUCAUCAUCUUCAUCUGUUGUUACACUAUCGAAAAUGCUAGCUACAAAAGAUGAAAAAUGAAAUGUUACACUUCCCAAAAUCAAGAAUGAGCAUGCAAGUAUAACAAGUUACACAAUAUUGGAAGGAUUCGAAUCAAUCACAAUGACAGCAUCAAGAACUUUUGUUGAAUUGGUGUAAUUUGACUUACUAAAGCUAUUAUCCAGAUUAUUAUCGAGUUUACUAUAAUGAUGAGUUAAAUAUUGUUGUAAAUCAAGGAAGAAGAUGUCUUACUAAAGAUUACGAGUAUGGACCUCGAUAGAGCUUCCAUAGUUGUCUUGAAUGUCCUGUUGAAUUUGCUUGGCGGAAUUCCCAACAGAUUGUUGACAGUAAUGUAUAUCAAUAAGAGCUAGUGUGGUUAUAUCUGCAAAAUCUCGAGGGAUUGAAUCCAAAUACUCGCAAUUUCUAAGAAAAAGUCGUUCAAGGUACGGAAAGUGAUCACUACUAGCUCUCCAGUACCGAAUGUAUAUUUGAUCCAGAAACAAGAACUUCAAGUGAGGAAACCCUUCCUCAACUACUUCCCACUCCUCGCCUAUGACGGCAUUGUGUGAUAGUUUAAGGACCUCGAGUUUGGGUAAUUUACCAACAAUGCUCAAAUCCUUCCAUGCCAAAAGGAAAUCUCCUCUAAAAGUUAAACUCUGGAAAAGAUUAAUUAACAAAAAUUUAUGGUACUAAUUGGGGUAUUAAUUAACAUAUCCUUACUUGAUCACAUAUGUAUUGUUCUGUGUGAAAUUUUCCUCUGACUGAUAGUUGACUAAAUUAUAUUGCAUACGUUCGUGUACAUUUUCUCACUUGGAAGAGUGGAUUUGGACGUAAUUAACUAUCACCAUCGUUUAGGUAGAAAAAAGAAAAUAACUAAUAGUUGAAUGUUUUAAUACAUAGAUGAUCAACUAAUAUGAGAAGAAAAGAGUAGCGUAAAUGUGAGAUUCACUUCUCACCAAGAAUCCUCCUUUCUUAUUAUUUUCCUUUUAGAGGUUAAUAAUUAUUAAGUAUCCCUAGAAUAAUUUAUUGAAAAAGUAGAUUUGAAAGAAAGCAAUUACUCUCUUCUUCCUAUGCGGGACUUCUUGAACAUAACUAAUUUGACAAAAACCACAAUUUUAUUUAUUUUUAGGUGGAAUUAUAUCAAUAAGGAACUAUAUAUGCUUAUGAUAUUAAUCUAAGACCAUUAUUUGUUACUUGAACACAUGGAUUCAUCAUCUGAACAAUUGAAACAAUUAAUACUUGUGUGAACCUUUUUUUAUUUCGAGUGAUGUGUCAUAAUCAUUAGCCAACUAAGACUAGCGUUAAAUUUUUGGUAAGUCUCAAGAAGUGUAAUUAAUACUUAAUAAAAUAAUCUCAUCCUUGAGAUUCAAGAACUUGUUUGGAUUGAAUAGGUUUUUAUCAUCAAGAUCUAGAACAAAGUCUUAAUAUUAGUAAGAGGUAUUUUUGUGUGAAAAGUUUUCUUUGAGGUUCGAGAAAUGGAAUAGAUAUGGACUACAAGUUGAUAUUUCCCAUUGGAAAAUUCACACAAAAAGGAACAAGGAAUUCUCAAUGAAAAAAGCGCUCUCCAAAUCUGUUUAGUAUUUGUCAUGAGGUUCUUAUCAUAAUUGGAUUUUCCUUUUAGGAAAAGGUAAACACAGUCUCCAUAUUUGUCUAGUUCUUUUUCUUGUAGGAAAAAAAUUAUGACUCUAUAAAUAGAUGUUUUGUAACAUCCGACAAUUUGAAAUAGCUAAGAAGAGGCUUGAAAUUUGGAAAUUUUCAAUUUUUGGAAAGGAUUUGAAAAUCUGGAAAAUUUGGCUAAGUAUGGGAAAGGUGAGUUUUUUUGGGCCCAAACUUUGAACAACCAUAAAUUCUAGCUCAGGAUGAGUUAGGUGGAGUUCCGGUUAUGUUUGCAUAGCCCUCGGAACGACCUUUCCAACGCCACUGAGUUUGCUCAAUUCUGAGUUCGUAUGAGCGAGUUAUGGCCAUUGAAAGUUGGGCAGUUGGCAGGGAAUCCGUCCGGAAAAUUAAGGGCAUUUUAGUCUUUUCCCUAGCCAAUUCUUUUGGGAUUAUAUUGUUGUAUAGGGCUGAUCUUUAGAUCAUUUUGUCCCAUUUUAAGAAAUUAAAAUCUAGGGCUUGAGAGUGAAGAAGAGAAGAAGGAGAAGAAGAAGAGAAAAAUCGAGGAGAUCAACAAGUUUCCGACAAGAUCAUCGUGAAUGUUCGUCGGGGGUGAUCCCUAUCAAGGUAUGUGAGCUUUUAGUGUUGGGUGAUACUUUCCCCCACACACCUAGCCCCUUUUAUUUAUUAAGGAAGGAUUGGUUAUGUUGUUAAAGUUGUUAGUUGUUGUGGUUGAAGUUGUUGGAGUUGUUAAAGUUGUUAGUUGUUGUUGUUGGAAUUAUUGUUGGUGGUGGGACAUAAUUGAGUUGUGUUUUUAUGUUGAAAUCUAUUGAAUGUUGAGGGAUUUUAUGUUUCUAAGUGAUUGGGGGCUGGAAUCUUUGAGGUUAGAGGGUUUAGAGUUGGUAACGUGAAGGAGAAAGUCGGGUAGCUUGCGAGGAGCAUGUCUGCGUCGCGGACUUGUUCCUCUGUGAACAAAAAAUCUUCUCCGCGUCGCGGACAGGACGCAGACUCCACUGUUUUCAGAAUUUAUGUUCGAAGAUUUUCUUAGGUUUGGCUGUCCCAAAUCAUUCGCAAAUCAUUCCUAAACAUCAUGAGACCCUUCCAAACACCAAUCAAGUCCUUGAAUCCAUAAUCCAAUUCAAGGUGAGUUAUGAUCAAGUCAAGUGAAGUUAGUUUUCAAGUCAAGUGAAGUUAGAAGUCAAGUGAAGUUAGAGCCAAGCUUAGAAGUUAAGCAAGUCAAAGCAAGUCUUUAAAGCUUUUCAAGAGUCUUCAUUGAACGUUUUGACUUCAUUCUAAGGCUCAAGUUCCAAGUUAAGUAUAGAGUUUCAAGUCAAGCAAAGAGUCUCAAGUUUCAAGUUAAGUAAAGAGUAUCGAGUUUCAAUUUAAGUCAUAAUUUUUCAGUCAAGAGUCAAGAGUUGAGUUCAAUUCUCAAAAGUAAUUAGGGAACUAAGUAUUUCCCAAAGAAGUUUUAUAAGUGUUUUCACAUUUAAGUUGAGAGGAAACGGAGAUUUCCAAAAGAGUUUUGAGAAGUUUGAGCACUAUCUCUUUUAAAAGAAAAGAUGAGUUUUUGAAAAAGAGUUUCUAAAUUAUGAUUAGUAUGACAAAUGGAGUAUGUCAUCAAUGUUUAAACAGUAUGGUCUCUAGAUAUACCAUCAAUGUUUAAGCAGUAUGAAUAUCCCGAGUCAUCAAUGAUCAUAAAAAAAAAAAAUGUGGUUUUGACUUGUUCUAUUUAGAAAGAGUUUUCAAGUGCCUUCGGGCUAAGUUUUGAGUAAUUAUCUCAACUAAAGAAAGAUGUGCUUAAAACACUUAUGAGCUAAAGUAUUUUGGGAGUAGUAUCGAGCACCGAAUUGGGGAAACGAGUUCAUAUUAAACUCAACUCUCCAUAAGAACCAUGUAGCCAAACAUGGGAUUUCUCGGAUCAUACUUUUUAGAUGAUCACGAAAGUUAAGCUAGUGGAUCCAUUAAGCAAAAGUUAAAGUAAGGUCCUAUAUCGAUGGCAAGGUAUAGGAUGGUCCUUGGGCAACGUGAGGUAAAACGUUGUAUCACCACUCAGAUUCAUAGUGGUGGUUUGUCGGUUAGAGAAGCUCCCACAGUAGAAAGAGCAUGGUUCCUCGAGGGUUCUGCUUAGUAUGGAUGGGGGUAUGGGACUUCAUUCAUGCAUUGCACAAGUAGACUUUGAGAGGAAGCAUGGUAUUUUUAUGAUAUUAUAAAUAUGAUUUUUACGUCAUGUUUUAAUAGUUUCAAAAGCUUUAUAUAUAUUGCAUGUGUCUCAUUGCUUUAUAUUAAGUUCAGUUAUUCUUGAGUUGUACAGAGCCAAGGUAAGUUCUCUUUUGUAUCCCUUUUCAAGCUUAAGUUGUUGUUUAGCGGUCCAGCUCGCAUACUCGUACAUUCCAUGUACUGAUGCCAGUUGGCCUGCAUCUUAUGACGAUGCAGACACNNNNNNNNNNNNNNNNNNNNNNNNNNNNNNNNNNNNNNNNNNNNNNNNNNNNNNNNNNNNNNNNNNNNNNNNNNNNNNNNNNNNNNNNNNNNNNNNNNNNNNNNNNCAGUCAGUUAGUUUUGAGUCUCUCAUCUAUGUAUAUAUGUAAAUAUUCUAUUUUGAGACUCGAGUGGCCUUUUUGGCCAGAUGUGUAUCAUUUAAGUUGUUUAUGUCUUUGCAUGGCAUUGAGUUAUUCUGUUGAGUAGGUUUCCGCUGAGUUAAGAAAGCCAGGCCAAGGGUUCGCUUGGGGCCAGCAAUGGUCUCUGAGUGCCGGUCCCGCCCAGGGUGUAGGCUCGGGGCGUGACAUGUUUAUUCAUUCUAGCUUGGUAGCAUUCAUAAUGCAAUCCUAGGGGGCUUUGAGAGUUUUGUGUAUUGUGUGAAGCUAGAGGAAGAAUGUAUGAGACACAAGUAUUACUUUAACACUUGUGUGAACCUCUUUGUAUUCAGAGUGAAUUGUGUGAGGUUAUUCUUCUCUAGAUUUUAUAGUGAUUUUUUCAUCUCCUCUUGUGGAUGUAGAUCGGUUGACCGAACCACGAUAAAUGUUUGUGUCUUUUGAUAUAUUUCUUGUUUGUCUUAUUACUCAUCGUCUUUCAAGGUUUGCUUUGCUAGCUUUUGCAUGACACCUAAUUAUUUCAGUCCCAACAAGUGACAUCAGAGUCAGGUUCAAUGGUUUAAUGAUUCAAUGGUCGAACCAUGUUAAAAAUAAGUGUUCAUCUUGACGGGUUUAGUUCUAGCCGUAACAUAUUUGACAGUAAUGAAGAUUUUUGUUGGAGAAAUAUUUUCAAAGAUGUUUUCUGUGUUGAUAUAUAUAUAUAUAUAUAUAUAUAUAGAUUUUGCAGAGGAGAUGCAAGGUAUUGAAGAUUAUGUGAAGAAGGUGGAUCAAAUUUAUUUUGUCAGAAAUUUAGGCCAAUGGAGAUAUUUGUUUAGUAUUUGUCAUGAAUUUCUUAUCAUAAUUGGGUUUUUUCUUUUAGAAAAAGGAAACCACAAAGUUUCCAUAUUUGGCUAGUUCUUUUUCUUGUAGGAAAAUGUUUGACUCUAAAAUUAUAUGUGUAUUCCUUCUAGCCUAAUAGCAUUUACAAUGUAGUCCUAAGGGGCAUAGAGAGUUUUGUGUAUUGCGUGUAGCUAGGGGGAGAAUGUGUGAGACACAAGUGUUACUUUAACACUUGUGUAAACCUCUUUGUUUUUCCAUUGAAUUGUGUAAGGUUAUUCCUCUCAAUAUUUUGUACUUUCUUUUAUAUAGUGAAUUGCUCAUAUCCUCUUUUGGAUGUAGGUCGGUUGUCCGAACUACGUUGAAUAUUUAUGUCUUUUGGUAUAUUUUUCGUUUGUAUUAUUACUCAUGGUCUUUCAAAAUUUGCUUUGCUAGCUUUUGCCUGAUACCUAAUAAUUUCAGUCCCAACAAAACCAAACGUGAAAGUUGUUUUCCAGCAGACAACUUUUCUAGUAGCUCUACUCUCGACUUGGAUAAUUUAACCAAAAAGGUACGCUUUCGGCCAUUCUACAUGCUGCCUAUGUAGAGACAUGUUUAUCUAAAGUGGAUUCUCUUUUUUGUAGUAGGUAUCAAACCUGUUAUGCCCAUUGACUAAGAAGCUAGGGGUGGACACAACAACUACAUGGACCUCUUUCUUACAUCGGCCAUCACUAUUAAUCGUCUUUGUUAUCACAAUGACCACCACUAUUACCGUCAUCAAACAUCUCUGUCCUCACAAUUACCAUUAUUAUCAACCACUACUAUAUAUCAAACAUUUGCUAUAUUUAUGUUUUUUAUUGACAUAAACAAUGGGUUAACAUGAUAUAAUUUAUUAGUAGUUUUAUAUAUUUUUCUUAUAAUAAAGGAAACAAUCACUUAUACAUUCUUUGAGAUCAUUUAGUUUAAAAUCAGGAGUGGAAUCAUAACUAGGGUUAUAGCUUAGCAUCAAUUCACCUUCUUAAUUAAUGGGAUAAUUUAAUUAGCUAAAUUUGAAUGAAAAGAAGAAGAAAUUGAUUAAUUUAAUUCGUUUACGUUCCAAUGGGGUGUGCAAUAUCCAUAAAUUUGUCAUGUCGUUAUUAGGUGUUCAUGAGAUGCACAUAUUCCAAGCAAAAGUACCUAUUUGAUCACUAGAUGAGUUUAAGUAUUCAAUUUACAAAUUCUGCCAAAUUUGAGGGACUAUCUAGGUAUUAUUUAGAUAAAAUUAUUUGUAUAGUCCACUCUAAACAUACUUAUAAUUAAGCAAGUAACAUAUACUAUAUAAAGAAGCUUCUAGAGAUAAUUAAAGUUAACUCUAUAUAAUUAGAGUUGCAAUAACAAAUACGUCAAAACAUUAAAGUGUUUCACCAAUAAAGUCAUUUUUUUAAUGUCCAAAACUAAUCCAAUGGAAGCUCUAUUAUGUGGAACACCAGAAGAAGUUUCAGUAUUGUUGGUACAUCAUGAAGUAGAAUUUCUUACUAAUCAGACUGUUAAAUUGUUAGAGGCUUAUAAAUACAAAGGUGACAUUCUAGAAUUUUUUUAACUUUUUUGUUUCUUUGAUAUAAUAACUAAAUGCCGUGUGACAUUUUUUUUUAUAUAUAGAGAGAGAUUGAAAUGAUAUGCUUUUUGUUAUCUCAUUUAUGAUUUUAGCAUCGUCCAUUUUUAAAUUUCAUUUAUCUUGUAAAUCUUGAACUUUUCUUUUUCCUUGUUAUCAUAGCACUUUUUAAUUUUUACAAAUUUAUCUAUCCUCGAAGAAAAAUAAUUCUACAUUAGUGAUGGAUGCACAAGAAAUUAGGAUGACGGGAGGGAAGAGAAAGAGCACGAAAAAGACAUGAUAAGAGAUGAUCUGUCUAUCAUUAUUACUUGAGAUAAUAUUUUUUUGUCUUUUAUUGGAUGUAUAAAAAAAAAUGAGGAGAUCUAAUUUUCAUUAAAAAAACAUUUCCCUUUCUAUUUUUUGUUUUUGUUUUUCGUUGGACGUAGACAAAAAAUUGGCAACUCCUUUCUUAUACUUUGUUAGAUCAUCUAAUUACAUAUCUAUGAAAUAAAAUUACCUCAAAACAUUUUAUCCUAUUAUCUUUUGCUUUAAUAUUUAUUUGUUUUUGACAAGCCAUAAAUAAAUUGGAAUAGUUUUUAGAAAUAUAUUCUUUAGGAUCUUCUCUAGUUUUUAGUAAUCCAAUUAACGAAAAAAAAAAACUAAUAUAUACUUUUUAUGUAACCAAUCUAGUUAAGAUUGCACUCAUCAUUUAUAAUAUAAGUUGAUUAAUAUGUGUUAUUUUAAAAAUUAAAGUGCAGAAAUAUAACAUGAAAAUUCACAGUUGAAUUUGAAUAACAAACAAACAUAUCCAAAUGAUACCUUUGUGUACAAUAUUUUUUUUUUCAUAAUUUUCACUGAUUUCAAAUUGCACGGGUAUAUGUAGUUACGGAAGUUAUGGCUCCUGCGGCAAUGUCAAUGCUUUUCAAAGAAAAGAAAAAAAUUGAUGCAAUGAUAAUCAAGGUCAUUUCACCGGAUUCACAUUGCUUUGAGCUCCUGGCACAAGCUGUAACCUUGAACAUCAUCGUAGUAAGUAAGUAUUUAUAAUUCUAUCUUCCACUUAUUAUUAUAGACGGUAAAGUAAGUUUUUUUAAUUAACUAUUGCAUAAUGUAUAUAAUAUUAUUCAAUUUUAAUUGCUAUCUUCUUGAUAUAAUUAUGCAGUUGUCUAUGAUGAACUCAAUGAAUUCUUAGUGAAGAAAGCUUUGGACAAUGGAGCUUACAUUUGCUCGAAGAAGCCUCUUGUCGAGCAAACUAUGACAUUCUUGUGGCAAUUUGUAUGGAGGGAGAAAACACAAAGAGGGAAAUCAAUAAAAAGAGUAGAAACAAAGGGAGAUCAUAUUUUUGUUUGAAGUUAUUGGAGUUCUGAGAAAACAAUAGGUCGUGGUUUUUUCCUCCCUUGAGCAAAGAGGUUUCCACGUUAACAUAUGUGUUCUUACUUUAAGCAUUUAGAUUACUUCUUGUUAUCAGUAUAGUCAAGUGGUCAGAACACGAGAAGACAUGUCACUAAACAACAACAUAUAUAGGAAAAAACAAACUCUGCUAAGUGAUCGAUCCGUGUGUGAUAGUUGCCUUCUUAACCUUGAACUAUUGCUUCCUGCUAGAUUAUAUGAACUUAGAUAUGUAUACAAAUUAGUAUUCAAUGAGUUCCCAAACAUUCGUGCAUAAACAAUUUCCCCUGUUGUCGUGCCACCAGGACUUAGCAUAUGUUCUGUAUUUGUAUAAUUUCGAUGAUGAUCAUGAGAUUGCUGGGAUAAUGGAGGCAUAUUAUUAUUGUGUAUUAGACCGUGACUCCUACAUCUCGAACUAGGAGGUCUUUGUGGUAUGACUAUACCAAAAUUCUAUACCAAAAUUCGGGGCCUUAAUUUCAGAUGUUUUUGUAGCUUGACAGCGACCAUAGAGUGGAAUCAAUGUUUUUUGUGAGACUUCAGCUUUGCAAACAGGGCAAUUUGGUUGUUGGUUAUCGAUGUUCUCUGAUGAAAUGGUCUUAAAAUGUAUCCAUUUGUAGAUGCAAGGCCAACAAUAGGAGGUGACCACAUAAUGUAACAACAGGAUCAUGUACAACAUCUAGGCAAAUGUUGCACUCGAAACCUCCAGGUGAAUUUUCUUCAAGUUUAUCAAGAUCAAUUGUCUCCAUUUUUCAAAGGAAAUAUCGCGUUGAUCAAAGGUAGUUUCUGCUAUUUGGUCUUGAAAAAUUUGUUCUAAGGCCAUAUUUGCCUCUUGGUAUUGAAUUAUUUUGGUAAUGGCAAGAUGAAGAAUGGUUAGAAUUCAGGUUUUUAAUACAAUUAGAAGUGAGUAUUUAUAAGGACAAAGAAUAGUAGUUUGCAAACAAUGAUUCUUAAGGUUGUCACUUGUCAACAUCACAUUAUGUUAAAGGGGCAUGGCCAAAAAGAAAAGGCCCUACACAUUAUUAAACAACACUAUAUCAUAUUACUCAACAGUCUUGAUUUAUGGGGUAUUGUUUGAUUUGAUAUAACAUUUAAUAAGAAAAUGAAGACUUUUAAAAUAUGUACUGUAUUAAAGAUAAAAAAUAAAUUUUAAGUUUUUCGAUCCUAGAAAUGAUAUUCUUUUUAUAUUAAGACUAAAACAAAUGUUUUACAUAAAUUAAGAUAGAUGAACUAUCAAACACAUCAUAAUUAAGUGAUUUAAUGAAGUCAAAAAUAAAUAUUAAUGGAUCAUGGUUAAGUGAGAGGAGUUUUGUGCAAACACGUCUUUUAUCUAUCUAUUUGAUUUAAACAAGCAUAAGUUUUAUCAUAUUAGAAAUAUGAUUAGGACCUUAUAUUAGGCCCCAUGAUAGGAAUCUUAAUCUAGAAAAUAACUUUUAGUCAAUAAAAAGUAGCACUAGUUGCGUACAAGGAGCUACCACUUGAUGACCUUCCACACUUCCACAUCCCAUAAGUUCAAUAGUUUUCACACUAUAAGAACUAGAUGUUUUUUUCCGCGUGAAUCAAUAAAAUUUUUAGUUUUAUGUUAUAAAACAUGAUUUUUUUCAUUUUGAUUUUAUUAAACUAAUUCACUAAGAAAAUUCAUAACGAAACAUAAGUUCUCAUUGAAAUACUGGAAAUAGUCACUUGGAAAUUUAUGAGUUUUAGGAAAUUAUGCAUCAAAACUUAGAAAGACGCGGCUCAUAUAGAAAUUUGUUGUUAAAUCAUAAUAUAUACUUUUACAUCUGAAUAUCUUUAUUGAUUUGGUUAAAAUUAUAAUUAAAAAAAUUACAAUACAAUAUAUAUAGAUUCACAUAAAUUUAAUACUGUAAGUUCAAUUAUUAUUCAAUUAUUAUUAUGAUAUAUUAAUCUAAAAUUAUUAUAGAAGCUUCUAAACUCUAAAUUCAGAUCCAACUAAGGAGUGAAUAUACAUAGUGGGGGUCUGGGGGAUGGGAGAAAACAUAUGGACGGUGUGACAAAUAAAUAAAAGAAAUACUCCGUCCAUUCCAUUUGACUUAGUAUUGUUUGACUUAAUACGAUGUAUAAGAGAAAAAAAAGAUUUUAGAAAAUUAUAGGCUAAAACAAUUUUUAUAUAUUUAUAUAAUUGUAAAUCAUUUCAUUAAUUAAGGGUAGAUGGAGAAUUUUAAGUUUAAUUAUUUUCAAUUACAAUAAAAUGACAUUUUUAAAGACGGAUUAUGAGAAUAGAGUGCCACGUAAAAUAAAACGAGAAAAUACUACUCCCUCCUUCCCAUUUUAUAUGUUACCUUUUUACUUUACAUUUACAUUAAGAAAUAAUGUAACUUUACCCUUCUACCCUUAUUUAAUGUUUUCUUAAGUUAACUUUAUAACUCCCUCCGUCCCAUUUUAUAUGUCAUCUCUUUCUAUAAAUAGUUGGACCACAAUACUUGUCAUUUUAUAAAAUUUAUGUAUAAAUUACCAUAUUUUACCUAUUAUAUCCUUGAUAGAGUAGUUAAUUAAUCUUGAAAAUAUAUUCAUCAUUUAUUAUAAAUUGACUUAAGAAAAUAUUAAAUAAGAAUAGAAAGAUAAAAUUACAUCAUUUCUUAAUAAAAGUAUAAAGUAAAAAUGUGACGUAUAAAAUAGAACGGAGGGAGUACUACAAAAGAACGAGUCCGCACAUGCAUUAUACAAGUACUACAUGUGUCUCGAAUUUAGCAGCCUUUUGUCAACUUUUUAUAUUUUGGCUUACUUGGAAGCAAGUCUAUCCUCUCCUAUACAAUCAAUUAGGGUGGCCAUUAAUCAUAUAUUAUUAGGCUAAAGAUAACAUAUUGCUCCCUCCGUUUUUAAUUAUUUAUCCAUUUUUUUAGUUAUUCCUAAUUACUUGUCUAUUUUUACAAAUCAAGAAAGAACAAUUUUUUUUACCUAUUAUACCGUCAAUUUAUUACUUUGAAAAAAGUAGAACUUUUUGAAAAUCUUGAGUUUUUAAUUCAUCCACUUCAUAAUUAAUAUGGAUAAAAUGGUAAACUCACUAUUUCAAUAAUUGUUUUCUUAAUAGGUGUGCCAAUUCAAAAAUGGACAAGUAAUUAGGGAUAGAGAAAGUAUAUCGAAAUAAUAUAAUAAGAUAUUAUGCUAAAGAUAAUUAACAAAACUUUGAACAAUUAUAAAUAAGAUAGCAAAAAAAUCCAUAGUAAAUUAACAUGGUUCAACGAUUAGUGAUGGAAUCUGAAUAUGAUUCAGGAUUUUCACUAUUAAUGAAAUUCAAAAGGAAUAAUACAUAAAUGUGCCCUUUAACUUGACUUCAUUUUAUGUUUAUGUCCUUCAACUUUGGGUAUACACAAAUAUGCACCUAAACUUGUAUAAAGUUGAACAACUAGACACAUGAGUCCUACAUGACACAAUACACAUAAGAUACCACGUAGGAUAAAAAAUGCCAUGUAGGACAUGUGUGUCUAUUUUUUCAACUUUAUACAAAUUUAAAUAUCUACUUGUGCACACCCAAAGUUGAAGGGCAUAAAUGUGAUUUGAAGCCAAGUUAAAGGGUAUAUUUAUGUAUUAUGCCUAUUCAAAAUAUGAAUAAAUAAACAUAUAAAUUAGCUGACUACAAUAAUAGACAGAUAAAAAAUAAUUUUAACUAUAUGUAUAAAUAAUAUAAUUUUUCAUCGAAAGAGGUUCAUCUGAUUCCUCACUACUUUCUCUCAUUCAAAACUAAGCAAUAUGAGACUUUCAUGUCACAUGGAACCCUUUUUUUUUUUUUUGGAAAUCUCAGUAGUUCAGUUAAUUGACUGACUAUCUGAAUUCUCGAUUUCCCAUGUUGUAAUCCUCUACCCCAAUUUUUUUAUUACCUUCCUCACAUAUGUAUAAGACCGAAUCCAAAUAUCUAAGAUGAGAGAAUUUUGGGAGAGCCACCGACUCCAACUACUGCCAUAUAUUAUCCAUAUUAGAUUUGACCAACUAUCCAUCCUACCCUCCUCUACGUUCUUGACAACCCAUUUUUGUCUUAGUCAAGUCUUUUAGUGGCACGUUUUGAUCCUCUUUUCAAUUACUUAGAAAAAGUGAGUUAUUAUUCAGAUACAAAAUACUAUCAUUAUCGCCUAAAAAAUUAGACAUUCAACCCGUAAUCACAAUGAUCCAAUUACAAAAGCUCCGAACCCCCUAGGUCUAGACUGGCUCUGGCCCUAGUUUUAUCUCUUGACCUUCACAUGAGUAAACUCGUUGAUAUAGAGGAUUACAGUAUUGAUUUCUUUAAAAGAAAAAAACCUUAAUUUAAGGUAUGGAGGCCUAGAAAGGAAACACACGUUAUAUAUGGAGCCUGUUCUGGCCUAUACAGUAUAUAUGUACAUAAAAUUUGGAGUAUCUAAAGAACCACUGACAAAUGGCUACGAAAGAUCAUAUACAAUUAAAUUACAAGCCAUUUGCAAUCAUCCUGCCACCUUAAGCAGAAAAAAUGAAAACGAAUAAAACAAACACUCACACAUUUGGCUUCUGAUUUGACAUUUAUUUCAGAGAACUGGCUAGUCCUCAGAACACCUUAACUACUCGCUGCAGAAAAAGAAAAAAAAGACGCAAAAAAUGGAAAAUAAUAUGUUAGAUGUCCCAUAAUUAAGGAACAAGAGAACAUUAUAGCAAGAAUGAGCAUGCAGGUACGUAUAAGAACUUACACAUUAUUGCGGCAAGAAGCAACUUCUUUCUCAAAGUCAUCAUCAUCAUCAUCAUCUUCAUCUGUUGUCACACUAUCGAAAAUGCUUGCAACAAAAGAUGAAAAAUGAAAUGUUACACUUCCCAAAAUCAAGAAUGAACAUGCAAGUAUAACAAGUUACAAAAUAUUGGAAGGAUUCGAAUCAAUCACAAUGACAGCAUCAAGAACUUUUGUUGAAUUGAUGCAAUUUGACUUACUAAAGCUAUUAUCCAGAUUAUUAUCGAGUUUACUAUGAUGAUGAGUUAAAUAUUGUUGUAAAUCAAGGAAGAAGAUGUCUUACAAAAGAUUCACGAGUAUGGACCUCGAUAGAGCUUCCAUAGUUGUCUUGAAUGUCCUGUUGAAUUUGCUUGGCGGAAUUCCCAACAGAUUGUUUACAGUCACUUAUAUCAAUAAGAGCUAGUGUGGUUAUAUCUGCAAAAUCUCGAGGGAUUGAAUCCAAAGAAUAGCAAUCUUUAAGAAAAAGUCGUUCAAGGUACGGAAAGUGAUCACUACUAGCUCUCCAGUACCGAAUGUAUACUCUAUCCAGAAACAAGAACUUUAAGUGAGGAAACCCUUCCUCAACUACUUCCCACUCCUCGCCUAUGAAGGCAUUGUCUGAUAGUUUAAGGACCUCGAGUUUGGAUAAUUUACCAACAAUGCUCAAAUCCUUCCAUGCCAAAGAAAAUUUUCCCCUAAAAGUUAAACUCUUAAGGUUUUGUGGAAAAGCAUCCGGAGGAGGUAAGAGUAAAGUUGGAACAUCAGUUGGAGGUGCAGUUCCCCCGAAACGAGUCUGAAACCUCAGAGGAUCUUGCGGAGUAGAACCUGAAGGUGCAGUGUUUUUUAGAAAGCAAGCAAUAGGUGAAUAAUAAAUACCAAAUGUCAAUUUCUCGAGCUGAUAUAAGUAGCGAAAAUCAUACAGGUCCUUGUGAUUGCGAAAGUCCUCUGGGACGCCAAAUACUUUCAACUUCUUUAAAUUGGGAAAUAGUCUAAAAAAAGACCCUGUACAAUACCGAGGAUUCAAUUGAUUGAGGCAUUGCAAACUUUUCAAAACCAAUCUGUUCUCUGUAGGCUCAUGACUCUGCAAGUAAUUCCAGCCCAUAUGCAGCUUCCUCAAUUGUGGCAUCGUCAAAAUUUCCGAUGGUAAUAUGAAAGGAUAACUACUAUUGGGAAAUGGAAGGUAAAGUUUAAAAGUUUGCAGAUAGCAUAGGCUUGAUAUCGAUAGAGGAAUGUCUAUUAUUGAUGAGGGAACAGCUUCUUUCGAUCCUCGAUACUGCUUUAAGCAAGGCUUAAAACACAAAGAUAGGUAUCUCAAAUGAAAUAGAGAAAGUACUCCACUGGGAAAAAAUGGGCAUAUAGUCAAACCAAGAUCUAGUACUCUUACUAGCUUGAAAGACAAUGCCAGUGUGACGCAUUUGAAUCCACCCAACAUGAUAAUAGAAUGAGCCUCACUGCUACAACACCAAACCAAUUUUUUCUCAUUAUGGAUUCUGAUCCGAUUUCGACUCUUAAAGGAACACUGCAUGGAUUGUUCACAUGAAUUUUGAUAACUCUUUCCUCUGAUAACAUUCACAAAAUUCAUGUUUCGAGCUUCCCUCAAACAGAGUUCACGGGUCACAUCAUGCAUUCCACAACUUUCUAUUGUUCCACGAAAACUAAAAUUGUGGAUGAAAAUUAAGCUUCUAUCUAUAAGUUCAUUUAUACAUGUUGUUGCCACCUCUUCUAUGCUUUUUCCCUCUUCUUCAUUCAAAAACCCCUCUACGGCCCAUAAUUCAACAAGUUUAUUUACAUAAAUCUGUUCAUCCUCUGCGAAAAUUGCAAAAUACAGAAAACACGGUUUUAGGUGAGAAGGCAAGUGAUGGUAACUCAAAGCCAACACUCUCAUGCACUUUGCUUCAAGAUCUGUGCUUACCACUGAACUUACAUUCUCCGCAACAUAUUGCCACACACCCAAUGUUUUACUGAUUUUGGAGAGAAGUCCAGCAAUCACAGUAAUUGCUAGAGGUAACCCUCCACAUUUUAAUGCAAUUUGUUUCCCAAUAUUUUCAAAUUCAGGAGAAUAAGAACCUUCUUUUUCAAAGAUCUUUUUGUGUAGUAAAUUCCAACUUUCGUCAAAAUUCAUGAGGCGCAUGUGAUGAGGAGGCUUACCUGACCUAGCACAUUCAGCCACUUCCACAUUCCGAGUAGUCAGGAGUAUUCUGCUUCCAUUAUAACAGUCUGGGAAACAUAGUUUUAUAUCAUCCCAAGCUUCUGUAGUCCAUAUGUCAUCAAUGACUACCAAGUAUCUCCUGCCUUUCAGAUGCUUCUGCAAUCGGUCCGCUAGCUGAUCAUCAGGUUCAUCACUUAUCGAAGGAAGAAGGCCUAGGAUUACAUUUCUCACACAAUACUCUUGUGAAACAGUUGCUUUUGCACGAAUAUCAAAUCGAGACAUAAUGUAAGGAUCACUAUAGAGUUUUGUAGCCAAAGUUGUUUUCCCGAUACCUCCCAUCCCUACGAUUGAGACAACUUCUAGUUCCCUUCCUCCUCUAGCAAGUUGAUCCAGCAUCAUCUCAAAUUCAUUUUCACGGCCAACCAUUAUAUUCUCGGGCUGCUCAACAGCAUGUUCAGGUAAACUGACAAGUGAGCUAGUUUGUGGUUUUAGAUCUUUCAUGCUGUCCGAUGCUGCCAUCCACUGUUUCACGGUGGAAGCAAUGCAUUCUAGUGCUUGUUCCAAGACGAAAAAAAUCUCCCACAUAGCCCUGCUUCUUUCCUCCAAAUUCUGUGCUAAAAAAACAUUUCUUGAUUCCGAGUCAACCAUAUCUUCUGUUGUGUAUGCUACCUCUGCGAUUUCAACUUCCAAGAUUGUUAACCCCUCAUGAUCGCCCAUUAUAUUGCAGGAUUUCUCCAGAAUAGCUCUCAAAGAUUUGAGCUUUUCAUAAAACGGUUGCAAAUCACAUCCAGUAAGUUCCAUUGAUUGAUGUAUGGUUCUCAUAAGGGAAGUAACAGCAGCAUAAGCCAUAUAUCCAAAAAAUAGAAAUAUCUCUCAGUAUGAAAAUGGACAAAUUGCCACAAGUUAUGUAAUUUUUCAGUUUUUAAGAAAACAGAAAAUGCAAAGUUCUUUCUUUUACUAGCUAUUUCCAUCACAUUUCCAGCUAGGUCCACCAACCUUAUCAUCAUGUAGACAAAAGCAGAGACCAAAGUUAAAAAAAAAAGAAAAAAGGCAGGACUCUAACAGGAAAAAGUAGAAAAAAUUGUGACCAUUCAUUAUUAGACCCUACACUUAUCUAUUCAUGAAUAUAGGUAUGUUUCUUACAUACAAGAGAUUGAUGAUUUUAAUUCCAUUGAAAGCAACUUCGUAGAAUUUUCCAAAUCAAAGAGAGAGAAAUAUUAAGAUCCAAGUAGGAAUUUCUCUAUUCCUAGUUCGAUUCAAUUAACCAAGCAUAAAUAUCUCUUUAAAUAUAUAUGAGAAGUUUAGACUCUAAAAGUCAAAUCAACAAAAUAUUUAUGGGCUAACACAUGAAAAACUAUUGAGAAAAUUGCCUAAUUUCUGUAAAUUGGCCCUUAAAUCUCCAAAAUGGACUCUAAAAAUUGUCAGACUGUACGUAUUGCUCCCAACUCCCUACUAAGGGUUCUGUAAUUUCGAUUAGAAUUCGCCCGUAAGUCAUAUCACCAAUAUAUUAAUGACUAACACACACGAAAAACUAAGAAAAUUGUCUAAUUUCUUGAAAUUGGCCCCUAAAUGCCUAAAAUGGACUCUAAAAAAUUGUCAGACUGUACGUAUUGCUCCCAACUACCUACUAAGGGUUCUGUAAUUUCGAUUAGAAUUCGCCCGUAAGUCAUAUCACCAAAAAUAUUAAUGGGCUAACACACACAAAACACUGAGAAAGUCGCCUAUUCCUGUAAAUUGGCCCCUAAAUGCCCAAAAUGAACUCUAAAAUUGUGAGACUAUGUACUGCUCCACUAACUCCCUAUGGAGGGUUCCGUAAAGAUUUCACAAAGAAAUUAUUCGGAAGAUAUAUCACCAAAAUAUUUAUGGGCUAAUACAUUUUUAUUUGUCCAUUUGAUUUGAUAUAUCUUUCAAGUACUUUGAUCCGGUUAUACUUUUUUUUUAUUGCUAAAAAUAAAUAUCCACUUUUACUUGUUCAUUCUACAAAACAAAGACAAUAUUUUAUUGCUUGAUUCAGAUAUAAAAUUUGAGUAGGCUAAUUUACAAACCAUCUGUAGUCAUCCUGCCCCUAUGCUAUAACAUUUGAAAGAAAGAGGUCAUCAUCAUCAUAUUCAUCAUCGUUGUCAUCUUCAUCUUCAUCUUCAUCAUCAUCUUCAUCUUCAUCAUCAUCUUCAUCAUCAUCUUCAUCUUCUUCAUCAUUAUCAUCAUCAUCAUCAUGAUCGUCAUCGUCACUUGUUUCCUCACUGUUGAAAAAGCCAGCAACAAAAGAUGAAAAAUGAAAUGUUAUGCAAGUAUAACAAGUUACACAAUUACUAUAUUGGAAGGAUUUAAAUCAUAUACAAUGACAACGUAUGAACUUUUACACUAUAGGUGCCAUUUAACUGCUUAUUAAAGCAACUUAUAAUUAUUUUAUUACUAGUUCUGGACACAUGCUUUGCAUGUGUAUAUUACACGUUUAGUCACGAUUGUAAGAGGGUGUACACCAGGAUCAUUCGAAGAGCAAAGUCGUGUGAGCCUUACAGAUAUUCUUGACGUACUCCUAUUAAAAUCUGUAUCAUAAUAUCUGAUGAAAUCAGCUACUGAUCAGUCAAGCUCUCCAUUGAUGUAGACUUCAACUACACAUGAGAAAGAAUGAGAGAAGAAGAGAGAAGAGAAGAGAAGAAGAAUCUAGAAGAGCAACAUGAAAAUUAAUCUCUCAUUGAAUGUGAAUUAAAACUACAAGAAUUACAAUGUGACUAUAUAUAUAUAAUCACUGGCAGAAAUUAACUAACUAACAAACUUGAUUCUAACUAACUCUACUGUACAUAGAUUCUAACUAACUCUACUGUACAUAACCGACUCUACUGUACAUAACUAACUAAUUAUACUUUAUAUUCUCAUCACCCCCCCUCAAGUUGGAGGUGAUGUAAUUACAGACAACUUGUGCAAUAAGGCAGUAUGUUUAACUCCAGUCAGAGCCUUGGUGAAGAUGUCUGCCAACUGUGAAUCAGUGGGAAUAUGAUGGAGUGUGAUUAGGCCUUGUUGAAGCUUGGUCCUAACAAAGUGACAAUCGAUUUCUAUGUGCUUUGUCCUCUCAUGAAAAACUGGAUUCUUUGCAAUGUGGACUGCUGCUUGACUGUCACAAUGGACAGGGAUAGGUAAGGAGCAUUGUACAGUCAACUCAUCCAACAAUCGUUCAAGCCACACUAGUUCUCCUACAACUUGUCUCACAGCUCUAUAUUCAGCUUCAGCAGAUGACAAAGACACUGUUGCUUGCUUCUUAGACUUCCAGCUGACAGGACUAUCACCCAGAAGCACUAGGUAUCCACUAACAGACUUCCUGGAAUCAGGGCAAGCAGCCCAAUCAGAAUCACAAUAAGCACUGAUAGUGAGAUCAGGCUUGUUUGAGAUAAAAAUUCCCAAUGUUGGAUCCUGUUUCAAAUAUCUGAGCACAUGGUAUGCUGCUUUUAAAUGUGGUUCCCUAGGUGAUUGCAUAAAUUGGCUCAAGUGUUGUAUACUAUAAGCUAUGUCCAUUCUAGUGUUGGUCAAAAAAUUUAGCUUACCAACCAACUUCCUGUAUUGAGUAGGAUCAGAUAAAAGAUUGCCAUCUGUAGCUGUUAACUUCUCAGUGCAAUCAAGUGGUGAUGUAGUGGCCUUGUGACUUAACACAUCAAAAUCUUUCAGGAGAUCAGAAGUGAAUUUCCUUUGUGAAACUAGCACUCCAUCAUGUCUGUAUAAUAUUUCCAGUCCCAGAAAGUAGUGUAGUUUGCCCAAAUCCUUUAUCUUGAACUGAUCAUUUAAGAAGCUCUUUAAGGAGUUGAUUUCAGCCACAUCUGUUCCAGUUAGAAUUAUGUCAUCCACAUAUACAGCAACAAACACCAAGGAGCAGCCCUUCCUUUUGUAGAACAGUGAGUAAUCACUGUCUGAGUGCUGAUACCCUCUUGAACAUAGACAGUUUGCCAACUUCUCAUACCAUUGCCUGCUGGCCUGUUUUAGUCCAUACAAAGACUUCUUCAAUUUGCACACCAUGUUAUCACAACCUACUACAAGACCUUGUGGAGGUGCCAUGUACACUUCCUCAUGCAAAUCACCAUGUAAGAAUGCAUUAUUGACAUCUAGCUGAUACAAGCUCCAAUCUUUCUUAACAGCUAAAGAGAUUAAUGUUCUAACAGUAGUCAUUUUAACUACAGGUGAGAAGGUUUCAGUGUAAUCUACCCCAACUUGUUGUGUAUAACCUUUGACCACCAACCUACACCCCAGCUUGUUGUGUAUAACCUUUGACCACCAGCCUAGCCUUGAACCUCUCCACACUCCCAUCAGCUUUGUGCUUGAUUUUGUACACCCACUUGCACCCAAUAGCUUUCUUCCCAUCAGGUAACAUGACCAUCUCCCAAGUGUCAUUAGCAUACAAAGCUUCAAACUCCUGUGUCAUGGCCUGCUGCCAGGCAGGGUGCAAUAUUGCUUCCUCAAAUGAAAUAGGCUCACAUUCAUGUGAAAUGGUUGUUACUAACUGCUGACUAUCAGAACAAAGACUGGUGAAACAUACAUGUUUAUGGGGAGAUAUAAAGGAAGUGAGGGAGUGCAGCUUAGGUAUAGUGUAGGUGUAUUCUUUUAGGUAAUUAGGAGUGUGUAUGGUUCUGGUUGUUCUUCUAGGUGCUGAUAUUGUAGGUACUGGUAAAGUAUCAUGAUGCAUGGUGGCAUUUGGAUCAGGUAAGGUAGGUUGAGUUGUAGUAGGUUGAGUUGUAGGUUCAUGUAGGACAGCAGGUGGUACUUCAUUCAUGUUGGUAUUACUGGUUACUUGAUUAUUAGUGACUUCAUGUGGUGUGAAAUUUUCCAGUUGAUCAUCAUUAGCAAAAAUGUUCAUUUUACCAGACAUACAAGGCAUGCUAGUGGUAUGAGUAAGCAUUUGCAGAAUGGAAUUGAAACUAGAACCAUCAGGGGCAAUAACAAAAGGAAAAAUAUUUUCUUGAAAAAUAACAUCUCUUGAUAUAUGAACUUUCUUGGUAGCUAAAUUCAAAACUUUGUAACCUUUUGUAUUGAAAGGGUAACCAACAAAAACAUGAGGUGUGGUUCUAGGUUCAAAUUUAUCUUUGUGAGUUUUCAAGGUAGUGGGGAAACAAAGACAACCAAAACUCUUAAGGUGGGAAUAUGUAGGUGAUUUAUGGUACAACAUUUCAUAUGGAGAUUUAUUCUGUAAAAGUUGAGUGGGCAGUCUAUUAAUCAGGUAUGUGGCAGUCAAUACACAUUCCCCCCAGUACCUCAUAGGCAACUUUGACUGAAACAAAAGUGCCCUUGCUGUUUCAAGUAGGUACUUAUGUUUCCUUUCUACCACCCCAUUUUGUUGAGGUGUAUAAGGACAAGUUCUUUGGUGUAUGAUACCUUGUUUUGGAAGAAAUUUGUGGCUUCAGCUGAAGUAAACUCUAACCCAUUGUCAGAUCUUAUGGCUUUUUAACUUGGUUUGGAAUUGGUUUUCUAUGAGAGAUAUGAAGGCUUUGAUAGUUUGGAGAGCAUUACUCUUACAUCUCAGCAAUUGUGUCCAAGUGGACCUACUGUGGUCAUCUACCAUAGUGAGGAAAUAAUGAUAUCCAUCAUGAGUGGGAACAUGAUAUGGUCCCCAUAGGUCAACAUGUAACAACUCAAACACUUUAGUGGUGGUGGUGAUACUUUCUGGAAAAGGCAUCCUAGUUUGCCUAGCCAUAGGGCAUAUAUUGCAAGUAAAAGGCUGUUUAGGAGAAAAAUGAACAGGUAUAGUUGAGAUAUUUUUCAUUUUUACAAAAGGUACAUGUCCUAAUCUAGCAUGCCACAAAAGUUCAUCAUCAUGAGUGUGAUUAGAGACAUUUGUAAAUGAAGGACAAGCAUGAGUAAAACAAGAGGAAGGAAAAACAGUACAAUCUGCCUUAUUCAUAGGAGAGUAUUUUACAGAAGAACCAGUGGACACAUUAGAAUCUGAAACCCUGCUAGUAUUGCCUAAAGAAGAGACAAGAGGACAAUUAACAUGAGGUGCUUUACUCUCAGCAGAUGGACAACAAUUGUGGCAUUUGUGACACAAGAAGUACAGGCCAUUCUUGGCUUUACCAAGUUCCAGAGGGCUCUUCAGAGAAGGGCCCUGCAGCAAACAAGAAGAUUUGUCAAAGCUGACUACACCAUUGAAUUGUAGUGCUAAACAAUGAACAGAAAUGAGAUUAAACUUGAAGCUAGGUACAAACAACACUUUGCUUAGAGUCAAAGCUGGAUUUAAACAAGCAUCACCAAUUUCAGUCACUUUAACCUUGUAACCAUUAGGGAGUGAAAUUAGAAAGGGAUAUGGAAGUGAAAUGAUGUUUGUGAGGGUGGUCUUAUCAUAGGUCAUAUGGUGUGAUGCUCCUGAAUCUAUGAUCCAAGAGCCAGCAGUCAGUUUAACACAUUUACAAGAAAGAUCACCUAUAUCAGUAAUAGAGGAAUAACAUGCAAGUAUACCUGCCAAGUUCACAGCUCCAUUCAGCAUGUUGUUUGAGUUGUCUGAGGCUCCAUUUCCAACUUGUAAAGUUCCCAGGAGAUUGAGUAGUUGUUCAUAUUGAUCUUUGGACAAGUUCAAUGGCAUUUGUCUCCUUACUUCAGGUUCCUCUUCAGAUUGAACUCCAUUCAUAUCAGGGGCACACACAUUUGCUGCAGCUUUUCCCUUUUUGAACCUUGGAUUUGGAUUGGAUGGGUAUCCAUGAAGCUUGUAACAUCUAUCCUUUGUGUGUCCUGAUUUCUUACAGUAGUCACAAAACAAAGAAGACUUGCCAGUGCUAGAAUUGCCUCUAAACCCAGUAUUACCAGAAUUGGUUCCACCUCCUCCAGAUGAACUGUAGUUUGUCCGGAAUCCCCUGUAUCCUGCACUGCUGUUGGUCUGUCCAUAAGCAUUGAGAGAGGUAGAAUCCAAGGCUGUAUGAUUAUGAGGCUUCACCUCCCUUUGUUUUUCCUCUUGGGAUAAUAUGGCAAAAGCUUGAGCCAUGCUUGGAAGUGUGUUCAUCAUGAGAAUGCUGCCUCUGACAGUCGUAUAUAUCUCAUUCAAUCCCAUUAGAAAAUGUAUCAAUCUUCUGUCUUGUUCAGCCUUGUGUAAUUUGCUUUUACCCCCACAAAUGCACACACAAGUACACUGAGAAUUGACAUCAAUGGUACUCAUUUCCUCCCACAACUUCUUCAUUCUUGUGUAAUAUCCAGUGAUGUCUAAAGUGCCUUGGACCAGAUCAUUAAUUUCCUUCUGCAGUUGAUACAAUUUACACCCAUUGGUUUGAUCGUACCUUUCUUCUAGUUCUCCCCAAAGCUCCUGAGCAUUAUUGACAUACUGCAGACUAUCACGCAAAUCUGGUGACAAGGAAUUCAGGAUCCAAGAUGUGACCAUAUCAUCACACCUUUCCCAUUGCUGAAAGCUAGGAUCAGUAGGAUCAGGUCUCACAACCUUCCCAUUAAUGAAUCCUGUCUUGCUCUUAACAGAUAAAGCCCUGAGAACUGCUCUUCUCCAGGAUCUGUAACCAGUUCCAUCAAAAACUGCAGGUAAUAGGGAUGAACUUGCAUUCUCAGAUGGAUGCAAGUAGAAAGGACUAGGGAUUUCUACCCUAACAGUGGAUGCAGAAGCAUUUGGAAUGGAAUCAUUUGAAGAAUCGACCAUUGUGAAUUGAAAAUUGGGAAGAAGAUCAAGUCGAGAACAACCAGAUCAAACAGCGUUCACAAACAAAAUUGACAGAUCGAAGAUCCAGUCGAGAUCAACCAGAUCAAAGAAAAAAUUCACAUAAGAGAAAACGAAGCUCACAGAUUGAAUUGGAAACAAAAAAAAACAGGAGCAAUUCCCUGUGCUUUGAUACCAUGAUGAAAUCAGCUACUGAUCAGUCAAGCUCCUCCAUUGAUGUAGCUUCAACUCACAUGAGAAAAGAUGAGAGAAGAAGAGAGAAGAGAAGAGAAGAAGAAUCUAGAAGAGCAACAUGAAAAUUAUCUCUCAUUGAAUGUGAAUUAAAGAAGUGAGUAUUACAAUGUAUCUGUAUAUAUACACAAUCACUAAGCAACUAAUAAUCAUUGGCAGAAAUUAACUAACUAACAAACUUGAUUCUAACUAACUCUACUGUACAUAACCGACUCUACUGUACAUAACUAACUAAUUAUACUUUAUAUUCUCAUCAAUAUCCCUUUUUUCAAAUUUCAUAGCUGAACUACUAGGUGUGCGAGUUCCUACCAGAACUAUUACCAACUAUUUAUCAAAACACACAUCAACUAUAUAUGAGUUGUUCCCUUUUACUAGUGGUGAAAAAUAGGUGGAUUUGGACGGGACUGAAAAUGGAUUGAGCAACAUGGUCGUAACUCACUUUAAUCUCUUAAAGCCAGAAAACUUUAAAGAGUUAAUUGAAAUAAACUUAAUGACUAUCCUACUUGAAGUAUCACCAUCGUUCAGGUAAGAAAAAGGAAGUAAAUCAAGGAAGACGAUGUCUUACAAAGCCUGAUGGAUAUGGACCUCGAUAGAACCUCCAUAGUUGUCUUGAAUGUCCUGUUGAAUCUGCUUUGCGGAAUUCCCAACAGAUUCUGGGCAGUUUCUUAUAUCAAUUAGAGCAAGUGUGGUUAUAUCUGCAAAAUCUUGAGGGAUUGAGUCCAAAAACCUGCAACUAUCAAGAAAUAGUCGUUCAAGGCACGGAAAGUGAUCACAACUAGCUCUCCAGUACUGAAUAUGUGAUCUUUUAAGUAACAAGAACUUCAAAAAAGGAAACCCUUCCUCAGCUACUUCCCACUCCCUGCCUCUGCAUACACCCUGUGUUAGUUCAAGAAGUUCAAGUUUGGGCAAUUUUCCGACAACAAUGCUUAAAUCCUUCCAUGACAAGAAGAAAUUUCCUGUAAAAGUUAAAUUCUUAAGGUUUCGUGGAAAAGCAUCUGGAGGAGGUAAGAUCAAAGAUGGAACAACUUCUACAACAAGUGGAUUCCUUGUCUGAAAACACAUUCUCCUCUCCAAAAAGUAAGCAUUAUUUUGAGGAGGAAGACAAAAUGCUAGUUCCUCGAGAUGAUCUAAGUAGCGAAAAUCAUAGAGGUCUUUGUGACUAUGGAAGUCUUGUGGGAUGCCACGUACUUGCAACUCCUUUAAAUUGGGAAAUAGUCUAAAGAAAGAUGCAGUACAAUAGCUAGGAUUCCAUCCAAACAGAGAAUGUAAAUUUUUCAUAACCAAACUUUUCUCUGUAAGCUCAUGAUAUCGCAAGUAAUUCCGAUCCAAAUGAAGGUGCCUCAACUGUGGCAUAGUCAAAAUUUCUGAUGGUAAUAUCAAAGCAUGUUUACGAAGAUUAAUAACGAGUGGAAGGUAAAGUACCAAACUUUGCAGAUAGCAUAGGUUUGAUAUGGAUGUAGGAAUGUCUACUCUUGAUGAGAGAACAUCUUCUUCGGAUCCUAGAUAUUGCUCAACGUUAGGAUAAAUACGCAAAGCUAGGUGUCUUAAGUGAAUCAAAUAAAGUAUUUCACGGGGAAAAGUUAGACAGAUAUUAUCAGCAAGAUCUAGAACUCUUACUAGCUUGAACGGCAAGUACUCCCUCAUGCAACAUCGGAAUCUACCAAAUAAGAUAACAGAAUGAGCUUCACUGUUAAGGCACCUAACAUACUCUUUCUUAUUAUGGAUGCUGAUUCGACCUCGACUCUUAGACAAACACUGCAUAGAUUUCACACAUGGAUUUUGAUCAUUCUUACUUCCGAGAACAUUCACAAAAUUCAUGUUACGAGCUUCCAUCAUACAGAGUUCACGAGUCGUAUCAUGAAUUCCACAACACUUAAUUUUUCCAUCAAAAGUAGUACUUUCUAUGGAAAUUAAACUUCUAUCAAUAAGAUCUUGUAGGUACUUUUCUGCCACUUCUUCUAUGCUUUUCAUCUCUUCUACCUUCAAAAAUCCCUCUGUUUCCCACAAUAUCAUAAGUUUAUUGACAAAAAUCAGUUUAUCCUCUGGGAAGAUUGCGAAAUAUAAAAAGCAUGGUUUUAGGUGGUGAGGCAAGUAAUGGUAACUCAUUGCCAACACCCUCAUGCAUUGGACACCAACAUCUGUGCUUACUGCUGAACUUACAUUUUCAGCAACACUUUGCCACUCACUCAAUGCUUUGUCAAUUUUAGUGAGAAGUCCCGCGAUCACAACAAUUGCUAGAGGCAAUCCUCCGCAUUUCAAUGCAAUUUGCUUUCCAAGUUGUUCAUAUUCAGGGGAGAAAGAGUCUUUCGUAAAGACUUUUUCAUACAAUAAACUCCAACUUUCGUCAAAAUUCAUGAGGCGCAUGUGAUAAGGAGGCUUACCUGAGCUAGCAUAUUCAGCCACUUCCACAUUCCGAGUAGUCAAGAGUAUUCGGCUUCCAUUAUGAAAGUCUGGGAAACAUAUUUGUAUAUCAUCCCAAGCUUUUGUAGUCCAUAUGUCAUCAAUGACUACCAAAUAUCUCUCACCUUUUAGAAGCUUUUGUAGUCGAUCUGCUAGUUGCCCGUCAUGUAGCUGAUCAUAAGGUUUAUCACUUAUACAAGAAAGAAGGUCUAGGAAAACAUUUCUCACACAAUACUCUUGUGAAACAGUAGCUUUAGCACGAAUGUCAAAACGAUACAUCAUGCAUGGAUCGUUGUAGAGUUUCGUAGCCAAAGUUGUCUUGCCAAUGCCUCCCAUACCUACAAUUGAUACAACUGCUAGUUCUCUUUCUCCUCUAGCAAGUUGAUCCAGCAUCAUCUUGAAUUCAUUUUCAUAGCCAACCAUUAUAUCCUCGGACCGCUCAACAGCACGUUCAGGUAUCUUGGAUAGACAAAAAUUUUGUGCUUUGAAAUCUUUAAAGUUGUUGUACCAGUCCCAUAUUGCCAACCACUGCAUCAUGAAGGAAUCAAUGCAUUCUACCUCUUGUUCCAAGGAACAACAGAGUUCCCAGAAAGCUUUGCUUCGUGUAAUUACAGUUUCUGCGGAAGAAACUUUUCUUGAUUUCGAAUCAACCAUGUCUUCUGCUUUGUAUGCUACCUCCGCGAUUUCAACUUCCAAGGUUGUUAACCCCUCAUGAUCUCCCGUUAUAUUGCAGGAUUUCUCCAUAAUAGCUCUCAAAGAUUCAAGCUUUUCAUAGAAUGGUUGCAAAUCACAUCCAGUAAGUUCCAUUGACUGGUGUAUGGUUCUCAUAAGGGAAGUAACAGCAGCAUAAGCCAUAUAUCCAAAAAAUAGGAAUCUCUCACACUCAGUAUGAAAAUGGACAAAUUAAUUGCCACAAGUUAUGUAAUCUUUCUUUUACUAACUAUUUCCAUCACAUUUCUAGCUAGGUCCACUAACAGGUAAAGUAGAAAGAUGUGAGGUCCCUAACCUUAUCAUCAUGUAGACAAAAGAAGAGACCAAAGUUUUUAAAAAAAAGACAGGAAAAAGUAGAAAAAUUUGUGAUCAUUCAUUAUUAGACCCUACACUAAUCUCUUUAGAAAAAUAAACUAAAAUUUUAGUUUAAAUAAAGGAGUUCAAGCUGUAUAUUGAUAACGCCCAAUUCAAAUUCAAGUGUAGUACGGUCUAGCAAUAAUAAACUCAACAAAUGUUGGGGUCGAGGAGUAUGCUUGUGUCAAGGUGACAGAGAAUGCGAAUUUGCGAAUUUCCUAAGCUUAUCUACAAAUAAAAGGUCUUUCUUUUAGCUAGGUCCAUAAUCCAUGUAGUGCUCUCUACUCUCUAGUCUCUAUCAACCAACUCAAGUUUAAGGGUGUGUUUGGUAUGGAGGAAACAUUUUCUCUAGAAUAGGGAGAGUUUUGUGCAUAAACAAAGAAGAAUAUCUCAGUAUAACAGUGAAUGUGUAUUUUUUUUAUGAUUUGCUUCAUUUGAGUAUGACUUUUGUAAGAAAAUUCUGGUAAAAGUUUAAAAAAUGAUCUUGUGGAAUAAGCACAGUGAAUUCCUUAAUAUUCGAGUAGAAAAAGCCAGGGAGGAUAACAUUGCUAUUUGUACACUUAUCGUGACACGAGUAGUCUCUUAAAUAUUACACCUUUCUACUGGUGUUGCUGGUGCCACUGAAUUUAGCCUUCCGUCUUCCUUUGCGAGGUAGAUUGAGGACUCCCAAGAAAGGAAACACAAGGUACUGGAGUCUGUUCCGGCCUCUACAGUAUGUAUGUACAUAAAAUUUGGAGUAACUAAAAAACCACUGACAAAUGGCUAUACGAAAGAUCAUAUACAAUUUAAUUACAAGCCAUUUGCAAUCAUCCUGCCCCUUUAUGCAGAAUCUUUUCAAAGAAAAUGAAAACAAACACUCACACAUUUGGCUUCUGAUUGACAUUUAUUUCAGAGAACUGGCUAGUCCUCAGAACACCUUAACUACUCGCUGCAGAAAAAAAAAGACGCAAAAAAUGGAAAAUAAUAUGUUAGAUGUCCCAUAAUUAAGGAACAGGAGAACAUUAUAGCAAGAAUGAGCAUGCAGGUAUAAGAACUUACACAUUAUUGCGGCAAGAAGCAACUUCUUUCUCAAAGUCAAUAUCAUCAUCUUCAUCUAUUGUUACACUACAUCGAAAAUGCUUGCUACAAAAGAUGAAAAAUGAAAUGUUACACUUCCCAAAAUCAAGAAUGAGCAUGCAAGUAUAACAACUUACACAAUAUUGGAAGGAUUCGAAUCAAUCACAAUGACAGCAUCAAGAACUUUUGUUGAAUUGGUGUAAUUUGACUUACUAAAGCUAUUAUCCAGAUUAUUAUCGAGUUUACUAUAAUGAUGAGUUAAAUAUUGUUGUAAAUCAAGGAAGAAGAUGUACUUACUAAAGAUUACGAGUAUGGACCUCGAUAGAGCUUCCAUAGUUGUCUUGAAUGUCCUGUUGAAUUUGCUUGGCGGAAUUCCCAACAGAUUGUUGACAGUAACUUAUAUCAAUAAGAGCUAGUGUGGUUAUAUCUGCAAAAUCUCGAGGGAUUGAAUCCAAAUAAUAGCAACUUCUAAGAAAAAGUCGUUCAAGGUACGGAAAGUGAUCACUACUAGCUCUCCAGUACCGAAUGCAUACUUCAUGCAGAAACAAGAACUUCAAGUGAGGAAACCCUUCCUCAACUACUUCCCACUCCUCGCCUAUGAAGGAUUUCCAUGAUAGUUUAAGGACCUCGAGUUUGGGUAAUUUACCAACAAUGCUCAAAUCCUUCCAUGCCAAAAAGAAUUCUCCGCUAAAAGUUAAACUCUUAAGGUUUUGUGGAAAAGCAUCCGGAGGAGGUAAGCGUAAAGUUGAAACAUCAGUUGGAGGUGCAGUUGCCCUGAAAGGUAAGAGUAAACUUGUAUAAAGUUGAACAACUAGCCACAUGAGUCCUACAUGACACAAUACACAUAAGACACCAACUAUUUCCAUCACAUUUCCAGCUAGGUCCACUAACAGGAUAAAGUAGAAAGAUGUGAGGUCACUAACCUUAUCAUCAUGUAGACAAAAGAAGAGACCAAAGUUAAAAAAAAAAAAGACAGGAAAAAGUAGAAAAAUUUGUGAUCAUACAUUAUUAGACCCUACACUAAUCUCUUUAGAAAAAUAAGUUUCAAUAAAGGAGUUCAAGCUGUAUAUUGAUAACGUCCAAUUCAAAUUCAAGUGUAGUACGGUCUAGCAAUAAUAAACUCAACAAAAGUUGGGGUCGAGGAGUACACUUGUGUCAAGGUGACAGAGAGUGUUCUGGCCUAUACAGUAUGUAUGUAUGUACAUAAAAUUUGGAGUAUCUAAAGAACCACUGACAAAUGGCUAUACGAAAGAUCAUAUACAAUUAAAUUACAAGCCAUUUGCAAUCAUCCUGCCACCUUAUGCAGAAAAAAUGAAAAUUCUGAUUUGACAUUUAUUUCAGAGAACUGGCUAGUCCUCAGAACACCUUAACUACUCGCUGCAGAGAAAAAAAAAAGACACAAAAAAUGGAAAAUAAUAUGUUAGAUGUCCCAUAAUUAAGGAACAAGAGAACAUUAUAGCAAGAAUGAGCAUGCAGGUAUAAGAACUUACACAUUAUUGCGGCAAGAAGCAACUUCUUUCUCAAAGUCAUCUUCAUCUGUUGUUAUAUCGAAAAUGCUUUCUACAAAAGAUGAAAAAUGAAAUGUUACACUUCCCAAAAUCAAGAAUGAACAUGCAAGUAUAACAAGUUACACAAUAUUGGAAGGAUUCAAAUCAAACACAAUGACAGCAUCAAGAACUUUUGUUGAAUUGGUGCAAUUGGACUUACUAAAGCUAUUAUCCAGAUUAUUAUCGAGUUUACUAUGAUGAUGAGUUAAAUAUUGUUGUAAAUCAAGGAAGAAGAUGUCUUACAAAAGAUGACGAGUAUGGACCUCGAUAGAGCUUCCAUAGUUGUCUUGAAUGUCCUGUUGAAUUUGCUUGGCGGAUUUCCCAACAGAUUGUCGACAGCUACUUAUAUCAAUAAGAGCUAGUGUGGUUAUAUCUGCAAAAUCUGGAGGGAUUGAAUCCAAAUCAUAGCAAUUUCUAAGAAAAAGUCGUUCAAGGUACGGAAAGUGAUCACUACUAGCUCUCCAGUACCGAAUGUAUAUGUUAUCCAGAAACAAGAACUUCAAGUGAGGAAACCCUUCCUCAACUACUUCCCACUCCUCGCCUAUGACGGCAUUGUCUGAUAGUUUAAGGACCUCGAGUUCGGGUAAUUUACCAACAAUGCUCAAAUCCUUCGAUGCCAAAAAGAAUUCUCCGCUAAAAGUUAAACUCUUAAGGUUUUGUGGAAAAGCAUCCGGAGGAGGUAAGAGUAAAGUUGGAACAUCAGCUGGAGGUGCAGCUUUCCCGAAUUGUGUCUUUUUGUACAAUAAUUUCGUCUGAAACCUCAGAGGAUCUUGCGGAGUAGAACCUGAAGGUGCAGUGCUUUCUAGAACGCAAGCAGCACCUGGAUAAUAAACACGAAAUGCCAAUUUCUCGAGCUGAUAUAAGUAGCGAAAAUCAUACAGGUCCUUGUGAUUGCGAAAGUCCUCUUGGACGCCAAAUACUUUCAACUUCUUUAAAUUGGGAAAUAGUCUAAAAAAAGACCCUGUACAAUUCCGAGGAUUCAAUUGAUUGAGACAUUGCAAACUUUUCAAAACCAAUCUGUUCUCUGUAGGCUCAUGACUCCGCAAGUAAUUCCAGCCCAUACGCAGCUUCCUCAAUUGUGGCAUCGUCAAAAUUUCCGAUGGUAAUAUGAAAGGAUAACUAUCGGUAAAUGGAAGGUAAAGUUUAAAAGUUUGCAGAUAGCAUAGGCAUGAUAUCGAUAGAGGAAUGUCUAUUAUUGAUGAGGGAACAGCUUCUAUCGAUCCUCGAUACUGCAGUAAGCAAGGAUUAAAACACAAAGAUAGGUAUCUCAAAUGAAUUAGAGAAAGUACUCCACUGGGAAAAAUUGGGCAUGGAGUCCAACCAAGAUCUAGUACUCUUACUAGCUUGAAAGACAAUUCCAGUGUGAUGCAAUUGAAUCCACGCAACAUGAUAAUAGAAUGAGCCUCACUGUUACGACACCAAGCCAAUUCUUCCUCCUUAUAGAUACUGAUCCGACUUCGCUUCUUAAAGGAACACUGCAUGGAUUGUGCACAUGAAUUUUGAUCACUCUUUCCUCUGAUAACAUUCACAAAAUUCAUGUUUCGAGCUUCCCUCAAACAGAGUUCACGGGUCACAUCAUGCAUUCCACAGCUCUGUAUUUCCCCAUCAAAACUCAAUUUGUGGAUAGAAAUUAGACUUCUAUCUACAAGUUCGUUUAUACAUGUUUCUGCCACCUCUUCUAUGCUUUUUCCCUCUUCUUCAUUCAAAAACCCCUCUACGGCCAAUAACUCAACAAGUUUAUUUACAAAAAUCCGUUCAUCCUCUGCGAAAAUUGCAAAAUACAGAAAACACGGUUUUAGGUGAGAAGGCAAGUGAUGGUAACUCAAAGCCAACACUCUCAUGCAUUGUGCUUCAGGAUCUGUGCUUACCACCGAACUUACAUUCUCCGCAAUUCUUUGCCACUCAUCUAAUCUUUGACCGAUUUUGGAGAGAAGUCCAGCAGUCACAGUAAUUGCUAGAGGUAAUCCUCCACAUUUUAAUGCAAUUUGUUUCCCAAUAUUUUCAAAUUCAGGAGAAUAAGAACCUUCUUUUUCAAAGAUCUUUUUGUGUAGUAAAUUCCAACUUUCGUCAAAAUUCAUGAGGCGCAUGUGAUGAGGAGGCUUACCUGAACUAGCAUAUUCAGCCACUUCCACAUUCCGAGUAGUCAGGAGUAUUUUGCUUCCAUUAAUACAGUCCAUAUGUCAUCAAUGACUACCAAGUAUCUCCUGCCUUUCAGAUGCUUUUGCAGUCGGUCCGCUAGUUGAUUCUCAGGUUCAUCACUUAUCGAAGAAAGAAGGCCUAGGAUUACAUUUCUCACACAAUACUCCUGCGAAACAGUUACUUUUGCACGAAUAUCAAAUCGAGACAUAAUGUAAGGAUCACUAUAGAGUUUUGCAGCCAAAGUUGUUUUCCCGAUGCCUCCCAUCCCUACGAUUGAGACAACUUCUAGUUCCCUUCCUCCUCUAGCAAGUUGAUCCAGCAUCAUCUCAAAUUCAUUUUCACGGCCAACCAUUAUAUUCUCGGGCUGCUCAACAUCAUGUUCAGGUAAACUGACAAGUGAGCUAGUUUGUGGUUUUAGAUCUUUCAUGCUGUCCGAUGCUGCCAUCCACUGUUUCACGGUGGAAGCAAUGCAUUCUAGUGCUUGUUCCAAGACGAAAAAAAUCUCCCACAUAGCCCUGCUUCUUUCCUCCAAAUUCUGUGCUAAAAAAACAUUUCUUGAUUCCGAGUCAACCAUAUCUUCUGUUGUGUAUGCUACCUCUACGAUUUCAACUUCCAAGAUUGUUAACUCCUCAUGAUCGCCCGUUAUAUUGCAGGAAUUCUCCAGAAUAGUUCUUAAAGAUUCGAGCUUCUGUGUAUGCUACCUCUACAAUUUCAACUUCCAAGAUUGUUAACUCCUCAUGAUCGCCCAUUAUAUUGCAGGAUUUCUCCAGAAUAGCUCUCAAAGAUUUGAGCUUUUCAUAAAACGGUUGCAAAAUCACAUCCAGUAAGUUCCAUUGAUUGAUGUAUGGUUCUCAUAAGGGAAGUAACAGCAGCAUAAGCCAUAUAUACCAAAAAAUAGAAAUAUCUCUCAGUAUGAAAAUAGGACAAAUUGCCACAAGUUAUGUAAUUUUUCAGUUCUUAAGAAAACAGAAAAUGCAAGGUUCUUUCUUUUACUAGCUAUUUCCAUCACAUUUCUAGCUAGGUCCACCAACCUUAUCAUCAUGUAGAAAAAUUUGUGAUCAUUCAUUAUUAGACCCUACACAUAUCUAUUCAUGAAUAUAAGUAUGUUUCUUACAUACAAGAGAUUGAUGAUUUUAAGAGCCUGUUUGGAUGGACUUUUAAGCUGGUCAAACUGACUUAAAAGUCAGUUUUUGACUUAUUAGAGUGCUUGACAAUUAGCAAAGUGACUUAUUUUAAGUCAAAAAUGACUUAUUUUAAGCCAAAAGCUAAAAGCUAAAAGCUAGGUGAGGGGAGUUUUUUUUUUUUUUUAAAACUUAAAAGCCCUUUUAUGUUGACCAAGUAUAUUACCUUUUUGCCCUUAAUUCUUUUAUACAAUUUCCAAAUUGCCCAUAUUGAAUUAUUAUUAUUUUAUUAUUAUUAUUAUUAUUAUUAUAUUAUUAUUAUUAUUCAACUGCAACACUUUUAUCCAAACACAUAACUACUUAUUUUAAAAAUAAGUUCCAGCACUUUAAAAAGUUACUUUUUAAAAGUUACUUUUUUUAAGUCAAUCCAAACGGGCACUAAUUCCAUUGAAAGCAACUUCAUAGAAUUUUCCAAAUCAAAGAGAGAGAAAUAUUAAGAUCCAAGUAGGAAUUUCUCUAUUCCUAGUUCGAUUCAAUUAACCAAGCAUAAAUAUCUCUUAAUAUACAUGAGAAGUUUAGACUCUAGUCAAAUCAACAAAAUAUUUAUGGGCUAACACAUGAAAAAAUACUGAGAAAAUCGUCUAAUUCCUGUAAAUUGACCCUUAAAUGCCCAAAAUGGAUUCUAAAAAUUGUCAGAUGGUACGUAUUGCUCCCCCAACUCCCUACUAAGGGUUUCGUAAAGAUUUCGAUUAGAAAUCAUCCGUAGGUCAUAUCACCAAUAUAUUAAUGGCUAACAGACACGAAAAACUGAGAAAAUUGUCCAAUUUCUUUAAAUUGGCCCCUAAAUGCCUAAAAUGGACUCUAAAAUUGUGAGAUUGUACAUACUGCUCCCCUGACUCCCUACAGAGGGUUCCGUAAAUAUGUAGCAAAUAAAUCGUCUGAAAGUCAUAUCACCAAAUAUUAAUGGGCUAACACACACAAAACACUGAGAAAGUCGCCUAUUCCUGUAAAUUGGCCCCUAAAUUGUAAAAUCCGACAAAUUGAAAUAACUAUGAAGAGGCUUAGAAUUGGAAAUAGUUAUUUUUGGAAAGAAAAAAAAAUAUCUGGAAAAUUUGGUUAAGUAUGGGAAAAAGUGAGUUUUUGGCCAACUUUGAACAGUCAUAACUCCUAGCUCAGGAUGAUUUAGGUGUAGUUCCAGUUAUUUUUGCGAAGAUCGUUGAAUGAUCUUUCCAACGAUGCCAAUUUUACAUGAUUUCGAGUUCGUAUGAGUGAGUUAUGCCCUUUGGAAGUUGGGCUGUUGGCAGGGCAGUUAGCCGGAAAUUGUAAGGGUAUUUUGGUCUUUUCCCUAAUCAAUUCUUUUGGUUAUAUUAGUGUGUUAGACUGAAUUUAGAUCAGUUUUUACCAUUUUAAAAGAGUGAGAGUGAGGGUUAGGGUUCUUGAGAGAAGAGGAGAAGGAGAAGAAGAAGCAAGGUUCGUAGAGAUCGUCGUGGAUUUCGUCGGGGGUGAUCCCUAUUAAGGUAUGUGAGUUCAUAGUGUUGGGUUGGUUCUUUCCCCCACAUGCCACACUCGUUUUAUUUUUGAGAAAAGAUUGGUUGUGUUGUUGAAUUUUUGUGGUUGUUCUUGUUGAAGUUUGUGGUUGUGUUGGUUGAAGUUUGUGGUUGUGUUGUUGAAACUUCUUGUGGGUUUGGUGCAUGUUCCCGGAUGGAAUUCUGAGUUAAAUCUAUUGUAUAUUGAGGGUUUUAAUGAUUCUAAGUGAUUUGGGGAAGAAACCAUUCGAUUUUAGGCGAAAUAGGGUGAGAAAACGAGAAAAUAAACUUGCUGAAAUUUCUGGGUUGGGGGCCUGCGCCUGCCAGAGCGCCCCAAACCCACCUCUGAAGUUUAGGGGCUGGCGCCCCGCGCCACCCAUAGCGCCAGGGUCGCCUACCCCAUCCAAUUUGUCGUCGGUUGCCCCGUUUGAGUUCAUUAAAAGUGCACCUUCACUCCUUUUCGAUUCUAACUACUCUAAGCUACUUCUAAACACCUAAAAGUCAUUCCUAAUAUGAUCAUAAUCUUGAAUUCAUAAAUUCAAAUUCAAGGUAGAGUUGAGAGUUUAUGUUUUUGAGAAUUCUUUCGAAUAUUCUAAGAAAAUCCCUUUGAGUCUUUCUGAGGAGUCUUCUACAAUUUCUAGUAACUUGUUUCAAGACUCGAGCAAGUGAGUAAGAGAAUGAGAAGUGUCGUACACAUGAGUUCCAUGUAGCUUGUACACCUUCAAGUCAAGUUGUUCAUGCCCAUAAUUCAACAUGAACCAUAUUUUAAGAAGUCUUUUACAAAUGUUUAAACCUUGUUUUAAGACUUAAGCUUUGAAGUUAAGUAUUGAGUUCCAAGUUAAGUAUAGAGUUUCAAGUUAAGUAAAGAGCAUACAGUUUCAAGUUAAGCCAAGAGUAAGAGUCAAGUUCAUUUCUCAAAAGUUAUUAGGGAACUAAGUAUUCCCAAAGAAGUUUAUAAAUGUUUUCACAUUUAAGAUGAGAGAAAACUGAGAUUUCCAAAAGAGUUUUGAGAAGUUUGAGUACUAUCUCUUUUUGAGAAAAGAUGAGCUUUGCGAAAGAGUUUCAAAAAUAUGAUUAAUAUGACAAAUCGAGUAUGUCAUAAAUGUUUAAACAGUAUGGUCUCUAGAUAUACCAUCAAUGUUUAAGCAGUAUGAAUAUCCCGAGUCAUCGAUGAUCAUAUAAAAAUAUGGUUUUGAGAUGUUCUUUUUAGAAAGAGUUUUCAAGAGCCUUUGGGCUAAGUUUUGAGUAAUUAUCUCAACUAAAGAAAGAUGUGUUUAAAACACUAAUGAGCUAAAGUAUUUUUGGGAGUAGUCUUGAGCACCGAAUUGGGGACACGAGUUCAUAUUAACUCAACUCUCCAUAAGAACCAUGUAGCUAAACAAGGGAUUUCUCGGGUCAUACUUUUUAGAUGAUCACGAAAGUUAAGCUAGUGGAUCAACUAAGCAAAAGUUAAAGUAAGGUCCUAUAUCACGGAAAGGUAUAGGAUGGUCCUCGGGCAACGUGAGGUAAAACGUUGUAUCAUCACUAGGACUCAUAGUGGUGGUUAUUGGUUAGAGAAACUCCCACAGUAGAAAUUGCAUGGUUCCUCGAGGGGUUCUGCUUAGUAUGGAUGGGGGUAUGGGACUUCAUUCAUGCAUUGCACAAGUAGACUUUGAGAGGAAGCAUGGUAUUUUCAUGAUAUUAUAAAUAUGAUUUUGACGUCAUAUUUUAAAUAGUUUUGCCAGCUUUAUAUAUAUUGCAUGUGUCUCAUUGCUUUAAAUUGAGUUCAGUUACUCAUGAGUUGAACAGAGCCAAGGUAAGUUCUCUUUUGUACACCUUUCAAGCUUAAGUUGUUGUUUAGCUGUCCAGCUCGCAUACUCGUACAUUUCAUGUACUGAUGCCAGUUGGCCUGCAUCUUAUUAUGAUACAGAAGCAGGCAACCAGGAUCAGCAUCCAGCACGCCGUUGAUCCAGCUGAGCACUCCAUAGUCAGUAGUGAGCCUCCUUACUUUUCGGAGGACCCUGUUAUUUUGUGUUCCUAGUUUUGUUUAAUUAAGAUGUUGCGGGGUCUGUCCCAACAUCCAUCUCAGUGUUAUAGAGGCUUCAUAGACAGUCAGUGAGUUAGUUUUGAGUCUCUCAUCUAUGUAUAUAUGUAAAUAUUCUAUUUUGAGACUCGAGUUGCCUUUUUGGCCAGAUUUUUAUCAGUUAGGUUGUCUUAUGACCUUUCAUUGCAUGAAGUUAUUCUAUUGAGUUAGGUUUCCACUGAGUUAAGUAAGCCAGGCCAAGGGUUCGCUUGGGGGCCAACAAUGGUCUUCGAGUGCCGGCCAUGUCCAGGGUGUAGGCUCGGGGCGUGACAUAAAUGCCCAAAAUGAACUCUAAAAUUGUGAGACUAUAGGUACUACUCCACUAACUCCCUAUGAAGGGUCCCGUAAAGAUUUUACAAAGAAAUUUUUCGGAAGACAUAUCACCAAAAUAUUCAUAGGCUAAUACAAACGAACUGAGAAGAUCACCUAUUUCCUAUAAAUUAUCCCCUAAAUGCCCAAAAUGGACUCUAAAAAGUGUGAGACUAACUCCCUACGAAGGGUUCCAUAUAAGUUGCACAAAAGAAAUCGUCCGAAAACCAUAUCACCAAAAUAUUUAUGGGUUAACACACACGAAAAACUAAGAAAAUUGCCUAAUUCUUUGAAAUUGGCCCCUUAAUUCCUUUACGAGAUUAAUUAGAGAUGCAUAUAUAUAUAUAUAUAUAUAUAUAUAUAUAUAUAAAGAAGAAGCUAGUUGUAGGGCUUGAUUGCCAUAAAAUACUUAGACGAUGUGGGUGACGCACAUAGUGAAUCUCAUGAAUUGACUUGUGGAUCAUUGUGAUAUUGGGCCAUGAAACUUAGUCUGAGGGAAAGAUUGUUGGGUGUGAGAUUGAAUUUCCACAUUUGAGAAGCUAUAUAUAAGGUGUAGGAUCGCUUAAGGGAAAAUUUCAUAUAUGACAAACGUAUUUAAUGAAAUAACACUCUAUAGGUAUAGUUUAGUAAUUACAUUCAAUGGGUAUAGUUUAGUUUGCUAUGAAGCAUUAAUUUUGUAUAUUUUCUUUCAAAAAUAUAAUUUAUACAAAAAAAAAUUUUAAUAAAUGGAUACAUGAGUGCUAAAUAUGGUAAUAAAAAAUUUACAUAAUCCCAUUAUUCAAGCUAAUCGUCCAAAAUUAAAUAUUUUUCCAAAAAAAAGUUCUAUAGCAAUAGAAACACCAUAACAACUGGGUUCCUCAAAUGACUGAAGCAUACGAUUAAUCAAUAUUCUUGUAUAUUCAACGCUAGGUAAGCAUUUCUUUCAAGGAAACUUCAUGUUUUGAACGGCAAGAAAGUAUACAAUUGAUUUGUAUAGUAUAUAAUUGAAAUUUUGGAAAAUGGAUUAUUUUUGUUUUUUUCAUUCUAAUGGUUCACAAUAAUUUAAUUUUGUUUAUACAAGAUUAGAUAAAUUUUAUAUUAACAAUUCAAUUCUAAUUUUUUGUUCGAAAAAUUGAAUGACACAAUUUGUAUAUAUGAAGUGUAUAUGAUUCGACAACAACGGUGUGCUUUAAUUUGAUAAUCUUUGUUGUUGUUGUUGUAAUUUUAUUGUAUAUAUAAGUUAUACGAUUUGUAUAUUGUUUAAUUGAUAAUAUUGUAUAUACGUAAGUAAUUGUGUAAAAUUCUUAUCCCAUGUAUAAGUGUAAGUAGUUGUAUAAAAUUACUAAGUCAAUUAUAUAUAUAUGAAUUGUAUAUGAUUCGAUAAAAAAGGUGUGCUUUAAUUUGAUAAUUUUUGGUGUAACCUAACUGUAUAUAUAAUAAUGUAAGGUUUGUAUAUUGUUUAGUUCAUACUAUUGUAUAUAACUUACAAAAUAUACAAAUAUAUAUAUAUAUAUAUAUAUAUAUAAUAUACAAUUGUGAUUUAAGCAGAAAAUAUACAUAUACUACAUACAAUUUUGUAUAUAACUAACAAAAUAUACAAAUAUCUACAUACAAUUGUGUUUUAAGCAAAUACCUGAUGUUCUUUGUAUUUGUCUUGAUCUAAUGAAGGAGACACAACCUCCUCAGAAUCACUAUCUUUGGCUUUCCUCUUACUUUUUCCUUCAACAAUUUUAAUGUCGCUUGCCUUGACAUUGUUGAUGACUUCUGGAAGUGCAAUUGGGUCAUUUUUUUCUUGGAUCUCAAUUCUGCAAUAGAUUUUUCCUCUAGAAUUUGUUUAGAUUUUUCCAUAGACCCUGCAUUGACUCCAAAAUCUUGAGUGAAACCGACUGAAAAUGAAGGUUGAUUAUUAAAAACUUUGACAUGCAAUGACGUACCUCUCGUAAUCCGCUUAGAUGGAGUCGAAUCAUCCAUUUUAUUUUCUAUAAAAAUGAUAAUCUAAUAAGUAAUGAGGGAAUUUUGAGAAAAAAUUAUCCAAACACUAACAAGCACAAUACAUAUACAAUUGAAAAAUGAAAAAAAAGAAGAGGUUCACCUACGAUUUAGGCAGUUACCUGCAAAAAGUAAAACACAAUUGGAGGGAGAAAGUGAAAUUCGAAUUUCAAAUUGGAAGUGAAAGAGUUAUUUUAGGAGAAAAAUAGGAAAUGAGGAAAGGAGAGGAGAUGAGAGAUAAAUUUGAUUUGUAUAAAAUCAUAUACAAAGGCCGAUGAAGGUUUUGUUGAUUCGGUAUACAAAGAGGUGGUGGGUCUCAUUUUUAAUGGCAAAAAAACUGAAACUGUAUUUACUGACAGUAAGUAAAUUAAACUAUACCCUACCCUCAAUGACUAAUAACCUAGUAAUAUUUGUCAACUCGUGUAAUUUUUUCAUAAUGUGUGAGACUUUUUGAAGAAAAAAAAAACUGUGCUAACUUGGUCAAAGUGCACAAUAUCAUACUCUAUUUAGAAUAUCUUUGGGCUAAUUUAUCCGAACAAAAAUAAAUAAGGCCUAAAUCUAAGACCAUUAGCCGUUACUUGAAGACAAGACAUUCAUCAUUUGAACUAUUGAAUUAUGGACACAAGUCAAAGAAUCUUCCAACUAUUCAAGAAGUGUAAUUAAUACUUAAUAAAUAUAAUGUCAUCCUCAAUAACUUCAAAUAAUAUCCAAUAAUCAAUGUUAAAUUUUGAUAUUAGUAGAAAUAGUUAAUGAACCCCAAGUUGUAUAAUUUGAUUGUUGGAAUAGAAGUCAAUCAAAAAUUUAAUUUUUUUAAGAAAUAAUCUUUUUAUUGUGAUUCAAUAAUGUAAUAACACAAGCAUUUACAAUACACAUAAAUUUGCCAUGUCAGCAUAAGGUGUUCAUGAGUGCGUAUAUGACAAUAGUAAAAGUAUUUAUUUGGUCUCUUUUAGAUAAAUUUAAGUAUCUAAAUUACAAUUUGUGUCAAAUUUGAGGGAUUAUCUAGAUAUUUAGAUAAGAUUAUUUAUAUAUAAUUAUCUCUAAACAGGCUCAUAAGCCAGUAAAUGAUACUUUAUAAAUAGCUUCAGUUGUAAGUGUUUCUCUUACAAAUUCAAAUUAAUCUAAUGACAGAACCUUUUUAUGAUUUGACUGAAGAGGUUUCUGUGUUGCUGGUAAGAUGAGGAAUUGGUUUCUAAUCCAAUGGUUGAUUUACUAGAGUUCAAUGGAUACAAAGGUGAUAUAUCUAGAACUAAUUUCUGUAUGACUUUCAUUAUAUAUAGAGAGAAUUAAUUGAUAUGAUGUUUAUUUAGAACUUUUCCUUUCCUUGUUAUCAUAACAUUAUUUCUAUACUUGUGUAUGUCGUUUUACAAGUUAAUAAAUGAAUUUUGUAUGAUUAUAAAGAAUUAAAUUAGAUUCUCCAUUUUUGUUUUUGUUGUAACCAUGUCACAUAUUAGCUUUCUCCAUAAGGAUUGUGUAAUUUUUAAGAGGUUCAAUAAUUUUAUGUUAAAGUAUGUGUUGUUCUAAUUUUAUCGGAUAUUUUUCCAUAAAGGAGAUAGUUUAAGUUUAUAUUAAUUAUUUCACACUUGACUUUUUUGUACAAAAAAUAAAAAGGAAACUAAUUCUUUGUCAAUCAGCCUAGAGUUACAUCGUGUUGGAGGAGAAAAUAAUUAGGUCCCUCAUAAAUGAUUUUGAAAUCAUAGAUCUUUGAUUUUUGCAAAUCUAUAUAUCGUUUUAGAAAGAAAACAAAUUCACUUGGAUGAUUGAGGCACAAAAUAAGAGUAAGGGAUCGAAGAGAGGAGCGAGAUAAAGACAUGAUAAGAGAUGAUCUGGCUAUCAUUAUUAUCUGAGAUGACUUUUUUGUCUUUUAUUCGAUGUAGACAAACAAAUAAAUAGGGACUUAUGAUUUUCAUGAUUUUUUUCUUCAAUUUCUUUUUUGUCUUUUAUUAGAUGUAGACAAGAAAAGAAAAAUCUUUUCAUGUGACUUUUUCCUCAUUUAUUUUUGUUUUAUUUUCAAUUACUUUGUUAGUAUUUAAUAUCGAUUGUUCCUUAAUCAAGCUAUGUUAAACCUUUUCAACAUAAUUUUUUUGGUAACUCCUUUCUAAUAAUUUGUUAAAUCUCCUAAACUCUCGUUACUUAUUUAUGAAAUAAAAUUACCUUAAAACUUUUUACAUAAAUUUAUCUUAAAACUUUUUAUCCUAUUAUAUCUUGCUUUAAUAGUAUUUAAUCUAUAUAUAUUCAGUGUUUAUUUGCUUUCAACAAGUCAAAGAAUAAAUUAGAAUGUAUUCUUUAGAAUUAUAUUCCUAUAGAAUCUUCUCUAUUAUAUAUUCCUACAGUUAGUUACUCUAAAGUAAUAUUAUAUAUUAGUAAGUGUAACAUCCGGCAAUGUGAAAUAAGUGAAGAGGCUUAGAAUUGGAAAUUUUCAUUUUUUGGAAAGAACUUGAAAUCUGGAAAAAAAUUGGCUAAGUGUGGAAAUCAGUUAUUUUUGGCCAACUUUGAGCAGUCGUAACUCCUAGCUCAGGAUGAGUUAGGAGUAGUUCCGGUUAUGGUUGCAAAGUUCGUGGAACGAUCUUUCAAACGCCACCGAGUUUGCUCAAUUCCGAGUUCGUAUGAGCGAGUUAUGGCCCUUUGAAAGUUGGGCAGUUGACAAGGAAAUCCGUCCGGGAAUCAUUAAGGGCAUUUUGGUCUUUUCCCUAGCUAUUUCUUUUGAGGAUAUAUUGUUGUAUAGGGCUGAUCUUUGGAUCAUUUUGUUCCAUUUUAAGAGAGUGAAGGCUAGGGCUUAAGAGUGAAGAAGAGANNNNNNNNNNNNNNNNNNNNNNNNNNNNNNNNNNNNNNNNNNNNNNNNNNNNNNNNNNNNNNNNNNNNNNNNNNNNNNNNNNNNNNNNGAGGAAAAAUCGAGGAGAUCAUCGUGGAUUUUCGUCGGGGGUGAUCCCUAUCAAGGUAUGUGAGCUUUUAGUGUUGGGUGAUCCUUUCCCCCACACAUCUAGCCCCUUUUACUUAUUAAGGAAGGAUUGGCUUUGUUGUUAAAGUUAUUAGUUGUUGUGGUUGAAGUUGUUAAAGCUGUUGGUUGUUGUUGUUGGUAUUGUUGUUAAUUGUGAUGUUGAGAUUCUUGUUGAAUUGGGACUUGUUUCCGGUUGGGAUUUUUGAGUUGAAAUCUAUUGAAUGUUGAGGGAUUUCAUGUUUCUAAGUGAUUGGGGCUGGAACCNNNNNNNNNNNNNNNNNNNNNNNNNNNNNNNNNNNNNNNNNNNNNNNNNNNNNNNNNNNNNNNNNNNNNNNNNNNNNNNNNNNNNNNNNNNNNNNNNNNNNNNNNNNNNNNNNNNNNNNNNNNNNNNNNNNNNNNNNNNNNNNNNNNNNNNNNNNNNNNNNNNNNNNNNNNNNNNNNNNNNNNNNNNNNNNNNNNNNNNNNNNNNNNNNNNNNNNNNNNNNNNNNNNNNNNNNNNNNNNNNNNNNNNNNNNNNNNNNNNNNNNNNNNNNNNNNNNNNNNNNNNNNNNNNNNNNNNNNNNNNNNNNNNNNNNNNNNNNNNNNNNNNNNNNNNNNNNNNNNNNNNNNNNNNNNNNNNNNNNNNNNNNNNNNNNNNNNNNNNNNNNNNNNNNNNNNNNNNNNNNNNNNNNNNNNNNNNNNNNNNNNNNNNNNNNNNNNNNNNNNNNNNNNNNNNNNNNNNNNNNNNNNNNNNNNNNNNNNNNNNNNNNNNNNNNNNNNNNNNNNNNNNNNNNNNNNNNNNNNNNNNNNNNNNNNNNNNNNNNNNNNNNNNNNNNNNNNNNNNNNNNNNNNNNNNNNNNNNNNNNNNNNNNNNNNNNNNNNNNNNNNNNNNNNNNNNNNNNNNNNNNNNNNNNNNNNNNNNNNNNNNNNNNNNNNNNNNNNNNNNNNNNNNNNNNNNNNNNNNNNNNNNNNNNNNNNNNNNNNNNNNNNNNNNNNNNNNNNNNNNNNNNNNNNNNNNNNNNNNNNNNNNNNNNNNNNNNNNNNNNNNNNNNNNNNNNNNNNNNNNNNNNNNNNNNNNNNNNNNNNNNNNNNNNNNNNNNNNNNNNNNNNNNNNNNNNNNNNNNNNNNNNNNNNNNNNNNNNNNNNNNNNNNNNNNNNNNNNNNNNNNNNNNNNNNNNNNNNNNNNNNNNNNNNNNNNNNNNNNNNNNNNNNNNNNNNNNNNNNNNNNNNNNNNNNNNNNNNNNNNNNNNNNNNNNNNNNNNNNNNNNNNNNNNNNNNNNNNNNNNNNNNNNNNNNNNNNNNNNNNNNNNNNNNNNNNNNNNNNNNNNNNNNNNNNNNNNNNNNNNNNNNNNNNNNNNNNNNNNNNNNNNNNNNNNNNNNNNNNNNNNNNNNNNNNNNNNNNNNNNNNNNNNNNNNNNNNNNNNNNNNNNNNNNNNNNNNNNNNNNNNNNNNNNNNNNNNNNNNNNNNNNNNNNNNNNNNNNNNNNNNNNNNNNNNNNNNNNNNNNNNNNNNNNNNNNNNNNNNNNNNNNNNNNNNNNNNNNNNNNNNNNNNNNNNNNNNNNNNNNNNNNNNNNNNNNNNNNNNNNNNNNNNNNNNNNNNNNNNNNNNNNNNNNNNNNNNNNNNNNNNNNNNNNNNNNNNNNNNNNNNNNNNNNNNNNNNNNNNNNNNNNNNNNNNNNNNNNNNNNNNNNNNNNNNNNNNNNNNNNNNNNNNNNNNNNNNNNNNNNNNNNNNNNNNNNNNNNNNNNNNNNNNNNNNNNNNNNNNNNNNNNNNNNNNNNNNNNNNNNNNNNNNNNNNNNNNNNNNNNNNNNNNNNNNNNNNNNNNNNNNNNNNNNNNNNNNNNNNNNNNNNNNNNNNNNNNNNNNNNNNNNNNNNNNNNNNNNNNNNNNNNNNNNNNNNNNNNNNNNNNNNNNNNNNNNNNNNNNNNNNNNNNNNNNNNNNNNNNNNNNNNNNNNNNNNNNNNNNNNNNNNNNNNNNNNNNNNNNNNNNNNNNNNNNNNNNNNNNNAUGUAUAUGUAAAUAUUCUAUUUUGAGACUCGAGUUGCCUUUUUGGCCAGAUGUGUAUCAUUUAAGUUGUUUAUGUCUUUGCACGGCAUUGAGUUAUUCUGUUGAGUAGGUUUCCGCUGAGUUAAGAAAGCCAGGCCAAGGGUUCGCUUGGGGCCAGCAAUGGUCUCCGAGUGCCGGUCCCGCCCAGGGUGUAGGCUCGGGGCGUGACAGUAAGAUUGCACACACCGUUUACGAUAUAAGUUGAUUAAUAUGUGUUAUUUCAUAAAUUAAAGUAUAGCAACAUAAUAUGAAAUUUCAUAAUUGAAUUUCAACGAGAAAUUAAAUAAACAUAUCCAAAUGAUAGCUUUGUGUAUAAUAUUUUUUUCAUGUUCUUCACUAACUUUAAAGUGUAUGGAUAUAUACAGUUACGACUCCUGCGGCAAUGUCAAUGCUCUCCAAAGAAAAGAAAAAAAUUGACAUGAUGAUAAUCGUUGUCAAUUCAUCAGAUUUACAUUGUUUUGAACUCUUCACACCAGCUGUAACCUUAAAUAUAAUCUCUCUUGGUAAGUAUUUAUAAUUCUAUUUUUCACUUCUUGUUAUAAAUAUUGUGUAAAGUCAGUUGUUUCAAUUAAUACACCACAAAAAUAUAAUUAGCUAUAAAAUUUAUCGUUAGUCUAUUGUCAAGAGACAACAUCUAUCCAUUGGUAAUCUUGUUUUUAGUUAUAGUUAUAUGAUAAAUGAUUGUUUCGUAACAAAGUUGUUGUCGUAACAGAUAAAAUUCAGUAAAUAUAUGUGUGAAAUUAACUAUUUUCAUAAUGUAUGAUAUAAUUUAAUUUUAAUUUUUGACUUCUCAAUAUAAUUAUGCAGUUGUAUGUGAUAAACUCAAUAGACUCUUAGCCAAGAGCGCUUUGGAAAAUGGGGCUUAUUUUUGCUUGGAAAACCAAUUCAACAAGGAAAUUGUGAAAUACUUAUGGCAACUUGUAUUGAGAGAAAAAAUACAAAGGGAGAAAUCGAUAAAUGGUUUAGAAGCAAAUGGCCGAAAUCAUAUGAAUGUUGAUGAAAUUUAUGAUAAUAAUAUUGUAAGAGAUGAACAACAAUUUGGAGAGAAGAAUAUGAAUGUUGAUACUGAGGAACAUAACAAUAAUAUCCAUAAGGCUGAAAAUGAUGGUGUAUCAACUGGUAAAUACAAGUUGAAGAGGAAGAGAGGGAGAAAAGGUAUAAAACAGAUUAAUGAAGGAGAAAGUCGUAGAGGUGUUAUUAAUAAGACUGGUACACGUAAGAAUUGCGCAAAAUGGACUGUUGAUCUUCAUUCCAAAUUCACAAAAGCUGUGGAACAACUUGGUCAAGGAAGUAAGUUUACCUCGCUAGUAAUUAAUUUUGCCUACAAUUUAUUUCUAUAUAUAUGUAGCCAUAUAAACAAUGAGAAUUCAUACUUUUAGCUAAUGUUACUUAUUUGGGAUUACAAAAUAGUGAUUAUUGUAUUUACAUGUACCUUGACUUGAUAUAGAAAUAUUGAAGCAGUGAUUAGCUCAAAGUUACAUCCUUAUGGAACAUGUAGAAUGUUAUCCGGCGGAGAUAGUUGAAGUGAUGAAUGUGUCUGGCCUUACAAGGAAGCAAGUAUCCAGUCACUUACAGGUACAUCCUUUAAAAAAUUGAAGUGGUAAUAUAUAUCAAUCAUUUAUUUAUGUUUGUUUGGGGGGUAUUAUUUUGCAAGAAAAUAUAUUUUUAAUGAAGUUAUUUUCUGAUACUCGAUUAUUAAAAAAUAUUUAGCUUGGAAUGAUUUUUCAACUAACACAAGAUCCACUUUUCUACAAUGAUCUUAAUUUUAGUUUUUUUUUUUUUUAUCAAAAUCAUUUAUUAGAACAAAAUUUUAAUUUUACAUCAUUUCCACUAGUAAAUGUUUGGAAAUUAUUCUCAUCUUUAGUCCUCAUUUUUUUUUAUUAAAACACGCGCUAAGUAGAGAGGAUUAGCAACAAACUUUUAUUAAAUGUUUAGUUAUUUGUUGCUAAUUUCUAUUUUCUUUUGUUAUGUUUAUUCAAUGAAAUAAUAAUAUUGCCAAUUCAAAAGAUUUUUGUCGUUCCUCGAAUAGCUACAAAAAGUAUAUUAUCAGAAAUGACUUGUAUCAUGCAAUUUAAACAUACAUAAAUGACAAUGAAUUUGAGAUAAUAAUUAUAUCCAUAGUCCAACUCUCCUUUGAGUUUUUCUUUCUUUCAGAAAUGUCGUGAAAACAAUUGGAGACCUCGAAAAGAGAGAAAGAAUAUUCAUCACGGAUCCUCAAGUGAUUCUCAACAAAGAAGUAGUUGUAACACAUCAUUAGAAAGAAAAAAAAGGAGCUGCAAAAAACUUGGAAAAAUGCCUCGUCUUCAAACAAAUGUUCCAAAUCAAAUCCAAAGAGUCUUAGAGUUCCCACCAGUUAAUACCAACAACAUUUUUGCUAUUUCAACUCAGCAGCAACUCCAUCACCCACAACUUCAGGCUCAACCACACUACCUAAACCCAUCUUUGUCGGCCCAAAAUGAUGUUGGUGGUCAACUACAACAACACAGUCUGUUAUUUGGAAUGUCGGGUCCAAUUAUUGGAAGCACUAAUUAUAGGUCUUCUCUGGCGUUUAAUAGUGGGGAUCAUCAUGAUUACGGCUUGGAUAAUCAUACUCAAAAUGGUUAUAGCUUGGAUCUCAAUCCUGCCUAUGUAACAACACAUUCAGGUAACACAAUGAUAACUAAUACAAAUGUUGGAAAUGUGACACUUAAUGGAUUGGGAGCAACAAAUGCUAAUUUUCAGCAAGAUAUUGGUGAACAAAACAUGUUUGAUCCAAGCAACAUCGUUGCGAAUGAUAUUGAAGGAAGGGAUCCAAAUGAGUGGAAAUAUUGGGAUGCAUUUGCCGAUUACAAUCCUAUGGGUGAUCUCUUCCAAAAUUCUACAUCUCCAAGUGCUACCCUACCUAAUGAACAUGGCAGUAAGUUUAUGCUUUUAUUUCACUUCCCUUACUACACUUUAUUUAUUUGAAAUAUUAGUUCGAUAGAAUUAACUUUUCAGAUGGUCACUCAAUUAUCUCAUAAAGUUACUUUCUUCAUAUGCAGAUAGUAAAGACAUUGGGGGUCCAGUUUUCAAGAAUAACAAAUUUCCUGAUGAAUAAUCAACAUGAUGAUUCAGUUCUAUCAGUGACAAAAUUGUUUUCUCAAAUUGAAAUUGCUAUCUUUCAUUGUAAUUUUCUACAAACUAUUUUGUUUUGUAUGAUUUGAAUUGCUUGAACUAUUGGAAAGUGAUCGUAAAACAAGAAUCUAGAACUUUAGAGAGAAAAUAUCUAAGGAAGAAGAAGGCUCUGUUAUUUAUCAAAAAAGUGUAGUUUACAAUGAUAGAAGAACUAUUUAUACAUCACAUUAUUUGUUAGUAACUAACCUUCUGUUUAACCAACAUUCUAAAGGUUGUUAUAACUAACUAAUGGAAAUGACUAGUUUACCCCUAACUAUAACCGUGCUAACUCACUACUUAGCUUUUCAUAUCACAACACUCCCCUUCAAGCUAGGUAGUGCAAAAAUGUUUAGCAUUCCUAGCUUGGAUAUAAGAUGUUCAUGCUGCAGUCUGGAUAGUCCUUUAGUCAUUAUAUCAGCAGGCUGUUCUUUGGUAGGUAUGUAAUUGACUUUGAUUAGCCCUUGCUGCAACCUUUCUCUUAUAAAGUGACAAUCGAUCUCAAUGUGUUUGGUCCUCUCGUGAUACACUGGAUUUGCAGCAAUCUGUAUUGCUGCUUUACUAUCACAAUAUAUCAGAACUGGUAAUUGCAUUUCAACACCUACUUCUUUUAAUAAUCCAAGCAGCCAGACUAGUUCAGACACAGUAGCUGCAAGACUUCUGUAUUCAGCUUCUGCUGAACUUUUUGACACUGUGGUUUGCUUCUUAGCUUUCCAUGACACAAGAGAACUCCCUACUUUGAUCAUGUAUCCAGUUACAGACUUCCUGGUAAGUGGACAAGAUGCCCAGUCUGCAUCACAAAAUGCAGUAACCUUUUGAUCAGAGGAACUGGCUAAUAAUACUCCCUGUCCAGGUUGUCUUUUUAGAUAUUUCACCACUCUUAGUGCAGCAUCCAUAUGUGACUUCUUUGGUUGUUGCAAGAAUUGACUUAAGGUCUGAGUGCUGAAGGAUAUAUCAGGCCUGGUCAUGUUGAGGUAUAAUAAUUUCCCUAUCAACUUCUGAUACAUUGUUACAUCUACCAAGGGAUCUUUCACUUGUCCUUUGUGUAUAUGAUCAUCAUACAACUUAGAUGUUAGUUUGACAUUAAUGUCAAUGGGAGUUCCAGCAGGCCUUGCUGCUGACAAACCAACUUCAGUUAUAAGUUCCAGGGCAUAUUUCCUCUGAUGCAUAAGUAUACCAUCAGCUGACCUGAUGAAUUCAAUUCCUAAGAAAUACUUUAAUUCCCCUAGAUCCUUCAUCUUAAAUGCUUGUUGUAAUGCUUUCUUUGUCUCUUCAAUCAUCUUCAGACUGCUGCCAGUUAUUAACAUAUCAUCCACAUACACUAGUACAAUCACAAUCCCUUCCUCUGAUCUAUUAAUGAACAAAGAGUAGUCAUGUGGACUUUGUUUAAACCCGAGUUUGAUGAGAGCUUCUGUUAGCUUAUGAUUCCAUUGUCUUGGAGCCUGUUUGAGUCCGUAAAGAGACUUUGUCAGUCUACACACCUUCUCCCCUUGACUGACAAAACCCUGAGGUAACUGCAUGUAAAUUUCAUCUUCUAAAUCACCAUGUAAAAAGGCAUUAAAAACAUCCAUCUGAUGAAUGUGCCAUUGUCUAGAGGCAGCCAAAGCCACUAUGGUUCUCACAGUGACCAUCUUAACAACAGGGGAAAAAGUCUCUUGAUAGUCUAUCCCUUCUUGUUGACUGUAGCCCUUAGCAACCAAUCUUGCUUUGAACCUCUUUAUUUCACCAGUAGAUUUGUACUUUACUUUGUAUACCCACCUGCAGCCUAUAGAUUUCUUUCCUAUGGGCAAGUCAGUGAUUACCCAAGUGUUAUUGGUCUCCAAAGCAUGAAUCUCAGUCUGCAUGGCCUCUACCCACCUUUUGUCUUUAAUAGCUUCUGCAUAAGACAAAGGUUCUUGGACAGUUGAAGUAGCAACAAUAUAACAUUUAUAAGAAGGAGACAAAUGAGCAUAGCUCAUGUAGUUGCACAGUGGAUAUUGCACAUCCUUACUGAUAUUCAAUGAGCAAAAUCUUGCAUCCAUUUAGGAGUAUGUGUAGUUCUAGAGGACCUUCUGGUAGGUGCUUGGACUGCAUCAUGUGGUGAGUCACACACAGUGGUAUCAAUAACCUGAGCACUUCCAUCUUGAACCUGUGCUACAUCAGUAACCUGAUCACUCCCAUCUGAAAGUUCCUCAUGUACCUGUUCUACAUCAGGCAUAUUAGAACUUGAAACGUCUUCACUACCGUCUGUAAGAACAACUUCCUCAUCACACCUUAGAGGCAUAUGAGAGAAGUCUUCAUACAGCACACCUGAUCCUUGGACAGUGUCCUCAAACACAGUGUGAGUGUUCAAGCGAUUCUCCUUCUCCUGGGCAAAGGGAAAGACAUCUUCCCUAAAGACAACAUCCCGACUGACAAAGAAGGACCUAUUAGUUAUAUCAAAUAGUACAUACCCCUUCUGAACUUCUGAAUAUCCCAUAUGAACAGCUGAUCUUGACCUGGACAUCAGUUUGUCAUGUUCACAUAGAUUUUUAGCAAAGCAUAAGCAACCUAUUGUUCUUUAAUGAGACAGACCUGGUGAGCAUCUAUACAAUCUCUCAUAAGGAGAUUGAUAAUGGAUCACACUACUUGGUAAUCUAUUGAUUAGAUAUACUGCUGCCAGAACACAGUGCCCCCAAAAUGUCAAAGGAAUUUUAGCCUGAAACCUGAGUGCUCUUGUAACAUCAAGUAUAUGCCUAUGUUUCCUCUCAGCAACACCAUUUUGCUGAGGGGUAUAGGGGCAAGAUCUCUGAUGUAUAAUUCUCAAAUCUUUAAACAUUGUGUUGCAUACUGAGUUAAGAAAUUCAGUUCCAUUGUCAGACCUGACAAUUUUAACAGUCUUACCAAACUGAGUCUUAACAUAUUGCAAGAAAAACUUAAGAGACACAGACACAUCAGACUUAAGUUUGAGUAGAAAAAUCCAGGUCAUUCUUGAAAAAUCACCCACUAUUGUGAGAAAGUACUUGUUACCAUCAAAGGUAGGUGUGUUAUAAGGACACCAUAUGUCACGACCCGGGAAUACCCCCUAGUCGUAACCGGCGUACUCGACCUCGAAGAGGUCUAAUACAAGCCUCUUAGCAUUCAUUCAUCGCAUAGACACUAAAAAAAACCAUAAGGAAUUAAAAACUUUCUUUACAAAGAAGACAUUUAAUUAAAAAUAGCAAGCGGAAGACUUUCUAGACUUUAUACAUGAUGUCUCAAACCAUCUAAUACUUUAGAGUACAAAAUUCGGGACUAAUCCCGUACACAACUUAAACAAUACUAAAANNNNNNNNNNNNNNNNNNNNNNNNNNNNNNNNNNNNNNNNNNNNNNNNNNNNNNNNNNNNNNNNNNNNNNNNNNNNNNNNNNNNNNNNNNNNNNNNNNNNNNNNNNNNNNNNNNNNNNNNNNNNNNNNNNNNNNNNNNNNNNNNNNNNNNNNNNNNNNNNNNNNNNNNNNNNNNNNNNNNNNNNNNNNNNNNNNNNNNNNNNNNNNNNNNNNNNNNNNNNNNNNNNNNNNNNNNNNNNNNNNNNNNNNNNNNNNNNNNNNNNNNNNNNNNNNNNNNNNNNNNNNNNNNNNNNNNNNNNNNNNNNNNNNNNNNNNNNNNNNNNNNNNNNNNNNNNNNNNNNNNNNNNNNNNNNNNNNNNNNNNNNNNNNNNNNNNNNNNNNNNNNNNNNNNNNNNNNNNNNNNNNNNNNNNNNNNNNNNNNNNNNNNNNNNNNNNNNNNNNNNNNNNNNNNNNNNNNNNNNNNNNNNNNNNNNNNNNNNNNNNNNNNNNNNNNNNNNNNNNNNNNNNNNNNNNNNNNNNNNNNNNNNNNNNNNNNNNNNNNNNNNNNNNNNNNNNNNNNNNNNNNNNNNNNNNNNNNNNNNNNNNNNNNNNNNNNNNNNNNNNNNNNNNNNNNNNNNNNNNNNNNNNNNNNNNNNNNNNNNNNNNNNNNNNNNNNNNNNNNNNNNNNNNNNNNNNNNNNNNNNNNNNNNNNNNNNNNNNNNNNNNNNNNNNNNNNNNNNNNNNNNNNNNNNNNNNNNNNNNNNNNNNNNNNNNNNNNNNNNNNNNNNNNNNNNNNNNNNNNNNNNNNNNNNNNNNNNNNNNNNNNNNNNNNNNNNNNNNNNNNNNNNNNNNNNNNNNNNNNNNNNNNNNNNNNNNNNNNNNNNNNNNNNNNNNNNNNNNNNNNNNNNNNNNNNNNNNNNNNNNNNNNNNNNNNNNNNNNNNNNNNNNNNNNNNNNNNNNNNNNNNNNNNNNNNNNNNNNNNNNNNNNNNNNNNNNNNNNNNNNNNNNNNNNNNNNNNNNNNNNNNNNNNNNNNNNNNNNNNNNNNNNNNNNNNNNNNNNNNNNNNNNNNNNNNNNNNNNNNNNNNNNNNNNNNNNNNNNNNNNNNNNNNNNNNNNNNNNNNNNNNNNNNNNNNNNNNNNNNNNNNNNNNNNNNNNNNNNNNNNNNNNNNNNNNNNNNNNNNNNNNNNNNNNNNNNNNNNNNNNNNNNNNNNNNNNNNNNNNNNNNNNNNNNNNNNNNNNNNNNNNNNNNNNNNNNNNNNNNNNNNNNNNNNNNNNNNNNNNNNNNNNNNNNNNNNNNNNNNNNNNNNNNNNNNNNNNNNNUUCAAUUCCCCUAGAUCCUUCAUCUUAAAUGCUUGUUGUAAUGCUUUCUUUGUCUCUUCAAUCAUCUUCAGACUGCUGCCAGUUAUUAACAUAUCAUCCACAUACACUAGUACAAUCACAAUCCCUUCCUCUGAUCUAUUAAUGAACAAAGAGUAGUCAUGUGGACUUUGUUUAAACCCGAGUUUGAUGAGAGCUUCUGUUAGCUUAUGAUUCCAUUGUCUUGGAGCCUGUUUGAGUCCGUAAAGAGACUUUGUCAGUCUACACACCUUCUCCCCUUGACUGACAAAACCCUGAGGUAACUGCAUGUAAAUUUCAUCUUCUAAAUCACCAUGUAAAAAGGCAUUAAAAACAUCCAUCUGAUGAAUGUGCCAUUGUCUAGAGGCAGCCAAAGCCACUAUGGUUCUCACAGUGACCAUCUUAACAACAGGGGAAAAAGUCUCUUGAUAGUCUAUCCCUUCUUGUUGACUGUAGCCCUUAGCAACCAAUCUUGCUUUGAACCUCUUUAUUUCACCAGUAGAUUUGUACUUUACUUUGUAUACCCACCUGCAGCCUAUAGAUUUCUUUCCUAUGGGCAAGUCAGUGAUUACCCAAGUGUUAUUGGUCUCCAGAGCAUGUAUCUCAGUCUGCAUGGCCUCUACCCACCUUUUGUCUUUAAUAGCUUCUGCAUAAGACAAAGGUUCUUGGACAGUUGAAGUAGCAGCAAUAUAACAUUUAUAAGAAGGAGACAAGUGAGCAUAGCUCAUGUAGUUGCACAGUGGAUAUUGCACAUCCUUACUGAUAUUCAAUGAGACAAAAUCUUGCAUCCAUUUAGGAGUAUGUGUAGUUCUAGAGGACCUUCUGGUAGGUGCUUGGACUGCAUCAUGUGGUGAGUCACACACAGUGGUAUCAAUAACCUGAGCACUUCCAUCUUGAACCUGUGCUACAUCAGUAACCUGAUCACUCCCAUAUGAAAGUUCCUCAUGUACCUGUUCUACAUCAGGCAUAUUAGAACUUGAAACGUCUUCACUACCGUCUGUAAGAACAACUUCCUCAUCACACCUUAGAGGCAUAUGAGAGAAGUCUUCAUACAGCACACCUGAUCCUUGGACAGUGUCCUCAAACACAGUGUGAGUGUUCAGGCGAUUCUCCUUCUCCUGGGCAAAGGGAAAGACAUUUUCCCUAAAGACAACAUCCCGACUGACAAAGAAGGACCUGUUGGUUAUAUCAAAUAGUACAUACCCCUUCUGAACUUCUGAAUAUCCCAUAUGAACAGCUGAUCUUGACCUGGACAUCAGUUUAUCAUGUUCACAUAGAUUUUUAGCAAAGCACAAGCAACCUAUUGUUCUUAAAUGAGACAGACCUGGUGAGCAUCCAUACAAUCUCUCAUAAGGAGAUUGAUAAUCGAUCACACUACUUGGUAAUCUAUUGAUCAGAUAUACUGCUGCCAGAACACAGUGCCCCCAAAAUGUCAAAGGAAUUUUAGCCUGAAACCUGAGUGCUCUUGUAACAUCAAGUAUAUGCCUAUGUUUCCUCUCAGCAACACCAUUUUGCUGAGGGGUAUAGGGGCAAGAUCUCUGAUGUAUAAUUCUCAAAUCUUUAAACAUUGUGUUGCAUACUGAGUUAAGAAAUUCAGUUCCAUUGUCAGACCUGACCAUUUUAACAGUCUUACCAAACUGAGUCUUAACAUAUUGCAAGAACAACUUAAGAGACACAGACACAUCAGACUUAAGUUUGAGUAGAAAAAUCCAGGUCAUUCUUGAAAAAUCAUCCACUAUUGUGAGAAAGUACUUGUUACCAUCAAAGGUAGGUGUGUUAUAAGGACCCCAUACAUCAACAUAUAUCAAGUCAAAACAAGCAUUACUUUUAAUACUACUUGAAUGAAAAGGUAAUCUUGUCUGCUUAGCACAAGGACAAACUGUGCAUUUAGAAACCUUACACAUACUGUCUUUAUUCAUAUCAAACAGUCUAGCAAGUACGAUAGAAGAAACAUGUCCUAAUCUUUGAUGCCACACUUCUAUACUGGAGAGCACUCCAGGAACAACACAAACAGACUUCUUCACUUCACUUUCAGGUCCAUGUGUAAACUGGCUUAACAACAAAUACAAUCCUCCUUCCUCUUUACCAACCUCCUUCACCUUUCCAGCGUAAAGUUCCUGGAAAACACAAAAAUGAGGAAAAAAGGUGACUGAGCAACCUAGUUCCUUUGUGAUUUUACUUACAGACAACAAAUUAUGUUGAAAGUCUGGCAGAUGAAACACAUUUGUAAUGACACUGUGAGCUGACACAUCACAAGUACCCACAUGAGUCACUUUAGUAGUAUCACCAUUUGGAAGAUAAACAAUUUUAGGAGUAUCAAGUUUUGUCACAGAAUUCUUGGACAACAUUUCCAAGUUAGACACCAUAUGAUUUGUAGCACCCGUAUCUAUAAUCCACACCUUAUUAUUUGCAGAGACAAAGAAUGCUUUACCUGCAGUAUUCACUGCACUGCAAUCAGGUAUAGCUUGCUCUGGUUUUUGCUGCUGAAACAUUCUGAGAAUGUGAUCAUACUGAUCUUUUGUGAAAGUGCACCCCUAAAGUAGUUGCUUGACAUCUUUUUCAGCUUGACUGAACUGCAGAUUAGCUUUAGUAUUCUCAGCUAUAUAUUCACCACCAAAAUUAUGAGAGUGAGAACUUUCAACUUUCUUUCCCCACUCAGGAACCUGGACAUUUGUGUUGGAACCAUAAGAGAAAUGAGCCUGAGCUGCUGAAGGUUGACUGUACUGUCCAGAUUCACUUCCCUGACUCUUUCUUUUAGACUUGAAGUCAGGUGGAUAUCCUACAAUUUUGUAGCAAAACUCUUUGUUGUGUCUUUUACAUUUACAGAAAUCACAAACUAGCAGAGAGUUCUUCUUGAACCUUUGACUCACCCCUGAGCUACUACCAGCUUUGGAAUAUAAGGCAGCAGAUUCCAUAUUCAUAGCACUCAGUCCCAAACUACUACUGGAUGUAUGAACUACUGCUUUUUGACUCUCAUCUCCCACAAUCAUAGUAUAUGCAUGAUUAAUGGAUGGUAAAGGGUUCAUCAUAAGAAUUUGGCUCCUAGCUUGGUGAUAUGAUUCAUUCAAUCCCAUUAAGAAUUGAUAUAAUUUCUGCCUAUUCAUAUGUUCCACAAAACCUUUCGAUUUUUCACAAUUACAACCAGGAGAUGGUACCAACACCUCAAACUCAUCCCAUAAGGUCUUAAGUCUGGUGAAAUACACAGAUACAGAAGCAGUACCCUGUUGUAAUGAAACUAUAUCUUUGUGCAAACUGUAUGUCCUAGAUCCAUAUUGUAGUGAAACUAUAUCUUUGUGCAAACUGUAUGUCCUAGAUCCAUCCACUCUAUCGAAUCUUUCCUUCAGGUCAUUCCACACAUUUAAAGCAGUUGAAGCAAAAGCAAUACCACUCAACAAACUUUUAGAAACAGAAUUCAUUAGCCAGGAUAACACUAUAGCAUUAACUCGUUCCCAAUGUCCCCAUAGUUCCUCACCAUAUACUUCUCUCCUGCAACUCUCAUUAAUCAGCCCUAACUUAUUUCUUCCUAACAAAGCUAGCUGAAUCGAUCUACUCCACAACAUAUAAUUUUCAAUGCCAAGCAAUUGAAAAGAAAUCAGGUUGAUCCCACUGAUAUCAGUAGGACUCAAAAAUAGAGGAUGAUUAUAGUCGAUACCUUGAUUUGAAGAAGAACUACCAUUGUUAUGAGCAGAUGUACCAACAUUUUGACCAAUAUUGAGAUUCUGAGCUAGAUCCACUGCUACAUUAUCAGAAGCCAUUGAUCAAACUCUGAUUCAACACCUGACUGGAACUGCUUUGACAAAUCUCUUUUCGCGGAAGCAAAAAAUGCAAAUUUCAAAUUGAAAUCUGCCGCUGAAGGAAAUCAGCAACAAUGAAUCGAUGGAUCUACAAUGAUCCUUUGAUUCUAGAUCCAACUCGUCUUCACCAGUAGCUACUGGGAAGAAAGCUCUGAUACCAUGAUCGUAAAAGAAGAAUCUAGAACUUUAGAGAGAAAAUAUCUAAGGAAGAAGAAGGCUCUGUUAUUUAUCAAAAAAGUGUAGUUUACAAUGAUAGAAGAACUAUUUAUACAUCACAUUAUUUGUUAGUAACUAACCUUCUGUUUAACCAACAUUCUAAAGGUUGUUAUAACUAACUAAUGGAAAUGACUAGUUUACCCCUAACUAUAACCGUGCUAACUCACUACUGAGCUUUUCAUAUCACAACAGAAAGUGAAAGGAAUGCUCUCGUAAUAUUUGUAUCUUAACUUAUCGAAUGCAUUUAUGUAUCUUCCUGUAUUGCAAAAGCUAUAAUUGGGAAAAUAUUUUCAUCCUUUGAUGAGAAAUUUCUUAACCUUUACUCAUUUCUUCGUUUCCUUAUUAUGUAUUGACUGUUUAAGAUUGUAGUAUAUUAUUACAUUCUUAAAUCUUGUUUAUGAAUUUUUUUUAAUGAUUAAUGUUUGGAUUAGAUCUCUUGUUUUGCCUAUGUAUUGAAUGAUUUUUACUUUUAAUGAACUGAGUCAAAUUGUUUCUUUAAUUAUUCUUGUAUUUUAAUAUUUCUAAAAGGAGUGACUAAUUCUAGGACUUGCUCAGUUACUUUGAUUUGAGCUCGAGAGAGUGAAAAAAGAAUAAGAAGAGAGAUUGGAAAAGAUUAAUUAACAAAAGUUGUGGUACUAAUUGGGGUAUUGAUUAACAAAUCCUUACUUGAUCGCAUAUGUGUUGUUCUGUGUGAAAUUUGCCUCUGACUUAUAGUUGACUAAAUUAUAUUGCAUAUGUUUGUGUACAUUUUCUCACUUGGAAGAGUGGAUUUGGAUGUUAUUAACCAUCAUCAUCGUUUAGGUAGAGAAAGAAAAUAACUAAUAGUUGAAUGUUUGAAUACAUAAAUGAUCAACUAAUAUGAGACGGAAAGAGUAGCGUAAAUGUAAGAUUCACUUCUCACCAAGAAUCCUCCUUUAUUUCCCUUUUAGAGGUUAAUAAUUAUUAUGUAUCCCUAGAAUAAUUUAUUGAAAUAGUAGAUUUGAAAGAAAGCAAUUAUUCUCUUCUUCCUAUGCGGGACUUUUUGAACAAAACUAAUUUGACAAAAACCACAAUUUUAUUUAUUUUUAGGUGGGAUUAUAUCAAUAAGGAACUAUGCUUAUGAUAUUAAUCUAAGACCAUUAAUUGUUACUUGAACACAUGGAUUCAUCAUCUCAACAAUUGAAACAAUUAAUACUUCUGUGAACCUCUUUUUAUUUCGAGUGAUGUGUCAGAAUCUUUAGCCAACUAUUAUGCGUAAGGACGGCUUAAAAUGGACUGAUGAUCUUUGUGUCAAAUUCACAGAAGUUGUGGAACAACUUGGUGACGGAAGUAAGUUUACUCACUAAUAUAUAUAUAUAAGUAAGAAUUUACACUUAUAGCUAACGUCAAUCUGUUUGGAAUUAGGGAGUAGUAAUUAUUGUAUUUAUAUAUAUCUCAGCUUGAUAAAGGAAUACUGAAAUAUUGAUUAAAUUAAUUUUACAUUCUAAUAAAACAUGUAGGAUGUUUUCCGUCAGCUAUCCGCGAAAUGAUGAAUAUGCCAAGUCUUACCAUUAAGCAAAUUUCAAGUCGUUCCACCAGUUUAUACCAAUAACAUUUUUGGUAGUUCAACUCAGCAGCAGCUCCAUCACCCACAACUUCAGGUUCAACCCAACUAUCUCAACACAUUUUUGUCAGCCCAAAAUGAUGUUGGUAGUGGACAACAACAACGCGGCCCGUUAUUUGGAACAAUGGGUCUAGUAAGUACAUUUAUUGGGAGCACUAAUUAUAGGUCUUUGUUGGAGUUUAAUAGUGGAAAUCAUCAUGAUUACGGUUUUUAUCAUCAUACUCAAAAUGGUUAUAGCUUAGAUCUCAAUGCUGCCCAUGUAACAACAUAUUCAGGUAGCGCAAUGAUAACUAAUACAGAUGUUGGAAAUGUGACACUUAAUGGAUUGGGAGCAACAAAUGCUAAUUUUCAGCAAGAUAUUGGUGAACAAAACAUGUUUGAUCCAAGCAACAUCGUCGCGGCAUCAGAUGCAAAUGCUAUUGAAGGAAGUGAUCCAAAUGAGUGGCAAUAUUGGGAUGCAUUUGUCAAUUACAAUUCUAUGGAUGAUAUCAGCUUCCAAAAUUCUACAUCUCCAAGUGCUACCCUACCUAAUGAACAUGGCAGUAAGUUUUUGCUUCUAUCUCACUUCCCUUACUGGUUCGAUGGAGUUGACUUCUGAGACGGUCACUUAAUUAUCUCAUAAAGUCACUUUCUACAUAUGCAGUUGGUAGGGACACCGAGGGUCCAGAUUUCAACAAUAGCAAAUUUCCUGAUGAAUAAUCAACAUGGUCGAUAAUCCAGUUCUAUCUAUCAGUUAUAAAGUUGUUUUCUCAAGUUGAAAUUGCUAUCUUUAGUUUUAAUUUUGUAGAGACUAUUUUGUUUCGUAUGACUUAUAUUACUUGAACUUAUGGAAAGUGAAAAGAAUGUAUUUGAAAUACUCAUUUGAAAUUGAACUUGACAAUGUUUUAGCUCUCAUAAAUUCUGCCUUGCUGCAAUCUUGUCUAACUUAGCUUUCCGCUUAUCUUCUUUGUCUUCCGCUUCUCCAUUAAUAGAGGUGUUACAAGGUGUGUAAGAUUAAUCCUUGUGAGUAUCGCAGUCUGUAUUCACUAGUUGUUUGAAGUUAUUGGAGUUUUGAGAAAACUACAGGUCAUGGUUUUUUCCUCCCUUGAGCAAAAAGUUUUCCAUGUUAACAUCUGUGUUCUUACUUUAAGCAUUUACAUUACUUCUUGUUAUCAGUAUAGUCAAGUGGUUAGAACAAUAGAAGACAUGUCACUAAACAACAACAUAGGAAAAAACAGACUCUGCUAAGUGAUCGAUCCGCGUGUGAUAGUUGAUGAGUUGAACUUGGAUAUGUAUACAAAUUAGUAGUUGAUGAGUUCCCAAACAUCCGCGCAUAAACAAUUUCCCCUGUUGACAUACCACCGGGGCUUAGCAUAGGUUCUGUCAUAUAAGGUUGAUAUGUUGGAGACUGUAGUGAAUGAUUUCGAUGGUGAAGUUGCUGUGAUGGAAUUGAAUCAGUAGUUCCUCUUAGUCCGUGACUCCUACAUCUCGGACUAGGAGGUCUUUGUGGUAUGACUAUACCAAAAUUCGGGGCAUUAAUUUCAGAUGUUUUUGUAGCUUGACCGCGAGCAUAGAGUGGAAUCAAUGUU
rnacentral:lncRNA from 1 species